rnacentral:lncRNA from 1 species
AAGCACCUGAAGGCAUGAAAAGCCUCGGAACUGCCUAUUUUACGACUAGUUUUGGAGUUGGAUACUUCAUAAGUAGUUUUCUGCUGAAAACUGUGGCUGACAUUACCGAGAAACGUGGAAAAGGAUGGAUUUUGGACAACCUAAACGUCUCUCGUUUGGACUACUAUUAUGCUUUUUUUGCUGUGCUCUGCUUUCUCAACUUACUUUACUUUCUGUUAGUUGCAAAGCUCUUUGUUUAUAACACAGAACUGAAGGAUACCGAAACGGAGUUGCAUGAAGCAAUCGAGGCUCGACCGAACAAGUCUACACGAUCGGAGGAAAUAACGUUGGAUGAUAAAGCAAGCUCAUAGAAAUAUAAAAAAAUCCCAUGAAAUUUUCCAAGUCUUUUUUCUCAAGCAUGUUUAUCGUUUUCCUUUACUACUCUUUUUUCAUUGUAUCUAAUUAUAUUUCCGCAAUAUAACAAUUUAGAUCACAUUGUAAUAUAAGAAUAAGAUACAAAAAUUCAUCACUUGUUUUGUAAGUAGAUAGUAUUUCCUAAAAAAAAGAAAUUAAAAUCUUGUAUAUCAUAUGACAGUGUCUUAUCUCACACUAUGACUAAAAAUUCAUGGCUUCUUAUGCUACCAUCUGUAUCGCGUUCUUAAUGGCACCUCCACAAGCUGCAAAUAAGGGCUCGUUCGAUAGUGAUUAUAAAAAAUAAUUUUUUUAUCGUUAAAGAGAAAAAUGGAUCCCAUUUAUAAGUGAAAAAGUCAAAAAUGACGAUUGAAAAUAGUGAAAUAAUGGUUAAAAAUUUGAUUUUUUUUUGAAAAAUUGUUAACAAACCUCUGUUUGGCUUCCAUUCUCCUUCUCAUUCUCUCUCUCUUAUUUUCAACAAUAUAAUCUUCCAUAAAAUAAUAUUACAGGCAAAUCAAAAACUUUUGAUUUUUUUUCAACCACCUAUUUUAAAAAAAAAUCAUUAUACCAACCAUUAAAAUUUGAAAAGAAUUGGGGUCAAAUGGGGGCUAAAUCUAAGAGGUCACUCUCGUAGGCCAGCACAAAAUCCAUGCUAAAUAAUGACAUACAUGACUAAACGUAUUGUACUUAUUAUAGCAAUUGAAAAAAGGAAAAUAUUAAGAGCUGACUAUUUUACACCCCAACAAUCUCUUUUUGAAUAUCAAACUUUCAUUUUGGUCCCAACCUACUUAUGAUGAAUUAUGGGAUAAUGACAUAGAUAUGCCAAAAAUUGGGACCGUUUUGAAAAGUCAGCAUAAAACUUAGGCUAGCUAGAAAUUACUUCAAACUAUAUAAUAUUCACUGUUAAAGCACAAUUAACCCUAACCCCAUCGUUUAAAAAUUUCUUUCAAUGAAAUUGAAAGUUAGCUAAACAUGAUUUUUUUGUGACUCGAAUUCAUGAUUCUGGCUCUGAUAACAUCUGUCAAGAUUGAAUUUCAACUAUCUCAAAAAGUUAAUUGGUGAGCACUAAUGGAUUGAGGUAUUCUCAAUUAAGCUAUUAAUGUUGUAAAAAGUAAGUUUAUUACGGUUUAGAGGUGAAUGACAAUUAUACCCCUACAGUUCUAGAAAUAAUUACUGUUGUAUCCUUGAUUCUGCCCUAUAAAUACAGUGCUUUGAUUCUUAAUAAAAUACACACAAGUCUAUUGAUUUCUCUCUGUUCUCUUCUCUUUUCAAAAUACGUUAUCAGUACGAAAAACAUAAUUCUUCAAAUUUUUGAGAGGAUAGUCAUUUUUUUUUAUCACAUAUAUUAAAAUUAAUUUGAUAACACCUGAUUUUUUUUAUCUAUUCUAUUCAUGCAUCCAACUCACGUCUAUAAUUGGGUAAAAAUCAUGUCUAAUUAUUCGUGCAUCAUAGCGGCCGUCAAUUAGUGCCUAACAACUCGCUACCAUCAAUUUGUAGCUUUUGCCUUUACAGAGAUAAAAUAUUACUUGUACAAUGCCUUUUUCGUUUGCUUCUUUAAUUGUCGUCAAACGUGUAAUGAUGAAAAUUUAGCCUGCAGCAUGUCUACCAAAUUAACUGUGUAAUGGUUUACACGUAAUCCUAUGUUCAUGCCUUCAAUUUACUUGGAAUUGCCAAAUUAAUUGUUUAUUUGGUUUACACGUGAAUUUUGUUCAUCAAUUCUGCUGCCUAACAUAUGAUAUAGUCUAAACUAUUUUUAUAGCUUUUGCCAUCAAUCUUUAUUUAUGAUUUGAUUUGAUCAAUGCACGCGUCAUCCUCAUUAAUUAUUGCCAUCAUUAAUAAUUUUUAGUUGUAUUUACGUUUCUUCAUGUGUAAAUUUGGUGAGAAAAUUUAACUAUUCAGUAAUUUUAAUUAUCGUUCAAUUAAUCAUCGAAUUUUUGUUACAAAAUUUUGAUGCUCCUGAAGUAGCACAAUAUUAUAAUUACUAUUGAAAAAUAUUAUUCGCUCCUGAAGAGCAUGAAUUUUAUAUAUAUUUUUUCAAUAUUCCAGAAGAAUAUAUUGACGUAUUGAUCUUGAAAAAAUCAUAAUAAAAUACAACAUGCUCCUGAAGUAGUAUAUGUUUUGAAGAACAUAUUAUUUUUAUGUUUAUCUCUAAAGGAAAAUACGUAACUUAUUUUAUGUUGAUAUUAUUACUUGAUUACUUAUUAUAUAAUGUUUAAUCAUAUUUUUUGAAACUUAUUAUAUUUUCUUUUACUUUAUUGUGUAGUUAAUCAAAUGACAAAUAUCAUGAAACUCAAGUUUGAUGCACUUUAUAUAUCUGGCAAAAAUUAUUUAUCAUGGGUACUUGAUAUCGAUACCCAUCUUAUCUCAAAAGAUUUUGGAGAGACAAUAAAAGAAGGAAACAAAGAAUCCCUACAGGAUCAUGCAAAAGCACUCAUCUUCCUUCGUCAUCAUCUUCACGAUAGAUUAAAAAUUGAAUACCUCACUGAGAAAGACCAACAUGUUCUUUGGAAAAACUUAACUAAAAGAUUUGAUCAUUAGAAGACUAAAAGCAUUCAUCCUCCUUUGUCAUCAACUUCACGAUAGACUAAAAAUUGAAUACUUCACUGAGAAAAAUUCACAAGUUCUUUGAAAAAAAUUAACUGAAAAAUUUGAUCAUUAGAAGACUAUAGUCUUUGCCAAAGUCCGUUAUGAGUGGAUGCACUUUCAUUUGCAAGAUUUUAAAACUGUUAGUGAGUACAAUUCUGAAUUGUUCAGAAUGUGUUCAAAAUUGACAUUGUGUGGAGAAAAAAUCACUGAUGAAGAUAUGUUGGAGAAAACUUUUUCCACCUUUCACGCCUCGAAUGUGCUCUUACAGUAGCAAUAUCGUGAGCUUAGUUUCAAAAAAUACUCAGAACUUAUAUCUUACCUACUUGUUGUUGAACAGAAUAAUGAACUGUUGAUGAAAAAUCAUGGGUUACGUCCAACUGAUUUUGUACCAUUGCUUGAAGCAAAUGCAAUAUCAAGAUAAGGACGUGACAUAGAUGUGGACACGUAUUUGGACGUGGACGCGGACGUACACGCUGAAUAAAUCAUGGACAAAAUAUUCAACAAAGUUUUCAACAACCAGGCAAUAUUUUCAAAAGGCACAAAACAAAUGAAAGUAGCACAUUGAAAAGGGUACAUGAAGAAAGUUGCUUUAGAUGUGGAAUGAAAGAGCAUUGGGCACGUACCUUUCGUCUGGAAAAACACAUUGUGGAUCUCUCCUAAAAAUCAAUACAGGGAAAGGGGAAAGUGGAGACAAAUUUUACUGACUAUGACGGUUAAAUUGAUGUGACUCAUUUGAAUGUUUUCGAUUUCUUUGCUGAUCCAAAUGGGAAUAUUGAUCAUUUGAUUAGGGAUGAUGUGAUGGAAGAGAUAGAUUAGUUUUUUAUAUUUUUAUGUUUCUAAUAUUUCAUUUUAUUUUAGAAAUUUAGUUUGAAAUAUGUUUUUACUUUUCGUAAAAAUUUUGAACUUUAUUAUGCAUCGUUAAUUUCACAGUAUUAAUUAUGCUUAUUAUUUUGAAUUUAAAUUCAAGCUUCUUUUUUUAAUAUUGAUAAAUCAUGAUGGAUUGUCAAAACACCUGUUUGAUUGAUAGUACUACUACACAUACUAUUCUUCAAGACAAAAAAUAUUUUUGGACCUAACAUUAAAAGAAAAUAAUGUCAAUACAAUAUCAGAUGCAUCAAAUAUCGUUGAAGGUUCCGGAAGAACUUGUGUUAUUUUACCAAAUAAUACAAAAUUGUAUAUUGAUGAAGCACUUUAUUCUAGCAAAUUCAGAAAAAAUUUACUUAGUUUUAAAGAUAUUCGCUACAAUGAAUAUCAUAUUUAGACAAUACAAGAAAAUAAUAUUGAAUAUCUUUACAUAACUUUUUUAUAUCUGAUUAGAAGCAGAUAAAAGAAAAAUUUUAUGCAUUCUCAUUUCGCAUGUAUUAUGCAUUUAUAAAAAUGGUUGAAUCAAAUAAUGUCACGAAUCAGAAGUUCGUUGACCCAAAAAGUUUUAUAAUUUGGCAUGAUCGACUUGAACAUCCAGGAACUGUAAUGAUGCGUCGAAUAAUAAACAAUUCACAUGAACACCCUUUAAAGAACCAAAAGAUUCUUUUACCAAAUGAUUGUCUAUGUGUAAUUUGUUUGUAAGGCAAGUUAGUCAUUAAACUUUCGAUUACAAAGGUCAAUAUUGAUCCCCAAUUUUUUUUGAAAAAAAAUCAUAGAGAUAUAUGUGGGCCAAUACACCGACCAUGUUGACCAUUUUAUUAUUUUAUGGUAUUAAUUGAUUUUUCUACUAGAUGGUCACAUGUUUGCCUACUUUCCACUAAAAAUGUAGUUUUUGCUAGACUACUUGCUCAAAUUAUAAAAUUACGAGCAUAAUUUUUCGAUUACUUAGUUAAAACUAUUCGCCUUGACAAUGCUGGUGAAUUUAGAUCACAAGCAUUCGAUGAUUAUUGUAUGUCAAUCGGGAUUAUAAUUGAAAAUUCAGUUGCGCAUAUCCAUACAUAAAAUAGUUUGGCAGAGUCGUUUAUUAAACGUCUACAACUUAUUGUUAGACCAUUACUUAUGUAAACAAAACUCCCAGCUUCUGUUUGGGGUUAUGUCAUAUUACAUGCUACAUCAUUAGUUCGUAUUGGACCAAUUGUCUAUAAUCAAUAUUCACCUUUGCAACUGGCAUUUGGUUAUAAACCUGAUAUUUCUCACAUACGGGUUUUUGGUUGUGCAGUCCAAGUCCCUAUUUCAGCUCCACAACGUACUAAAAUGGGUUCCCAACGAAUACUUAUGAUUUAUGUGAGUUUUGAUUCAUUAUCAAUUCUUAGGUAUUUUGAACCUUUAACAGGGGAUUUAUUUGCUGCACAUAUUGCAAAUUGUCAUUUUGAUGAUAUGACUUUUCCAACUUUGGGAAGGAAAAACUACAACCCGAAAAAUAAUGUAAAAUUUUUUGGAAUGAAAUAACUCUAUCUUACUUUGAUCCCCGCAACAAUCAAUGUGAGCAAGAGGUUAUAAAAUCAUUCAUUUGUAAAGAGUUGCAAAUCAAUUACCUGAUGUAUUUGUUGAUACAAGAAAAGUGACAAAGUCAUAUAUUCAAGCAGAAAAUAUUUCAGCAAAAAUUGAUGUCUCUACAGGACAAUCUACUGUUGCAAAUAAAUCUCAAAUACGUCAGAAGCGUGGUCGACCAGUUAGUACAAAACACUAUGUACCUCGAAAAAGAAAGGUACAUGAGAAAAACCAACCAAAAACUUCCAAAAAAGUAACAUUAGAAAAGAUUGAUCAAUCAAAUAUUGAAAAUAUGGUUCUCGAAGAACCACAUGUGCCUGAAAAUAAUGAGAUUCCAAUAAAUUAUAUGUUAUCUCAUAAAUUAUGGGAACGAAAUAAUGUUGUUAUAGACAAUAAUUUCGUCUUCAAUGUGGCUCUUGAUAUUAUGCAAAAUGAUGAUCCUGAACCAAGUCAGUUAAAGACUGUUAAAAUAAAAAUGAUUGGCCAAAAUGAAAAGAAGCCCUACAGGUGGAAUUGAAUUCCUUAGAGAAAUGAAAAAUGUUUGGACCUGUAGUUCGAACACUUGAAAAUGCAAUCCAUGUUGGAUACAAAUGGGUUUUUUUGCGAAAGAGAAAUGAAAAUAGUGAAAUUACAAGAUAAAAAACCCGACUAAUAGCUCAAGGUUUCUCACAAAGACAAAGAAUUGAUUAUGAGAAAACAUAUUCUCCCGUAAUGGACACAAUCACUUUUAGAUUCUUAAUUAGUUUGACUGUUUCACAAAAACUUUAUAUGCGCCUUGUAGAUAUAGUAACUGCAUAUUUGUAUGGUUCACUAUAUAUGAAAGUCCCUGAAGGACUUAAGGUACUAGGAACAAACGAUAGAUGGUCGAGAACUAUGUUUUCAAUUAAAUUGCAAAGAUCAUUAUAUGAAUUAAAACAAAUCGGACGCAUGUGGUAUAGUCACCUUAGCAAAUAUUUGUUGAAUGAAAGUUAUAAAAAUGACGAUAUCUGCUCAUGUGUUCUCAUAAAGAAAACAAAUAGCGAAUUUGCAAUUGUGGCAGUUAUGUUGAUGAUUUAAAUUUAAUUGAAACCCUUAAUGAGGUAUUAAGUUUCUAAUUCUAACUGCCAUUAAUUUAGGCUUUAUAAGUUUGACAAGAGAUUAAUAAUCCGAAUAUUAUAGAUUAUCUGGGUUUACAUGAUGAUUGCAUAAUUGUUCAUUAUUAGAUUUAAUUGUUCUGUCAAAUUACACAACCAGUAUUAUGUGUUAGAUCUAGCAGUAGCUAUGCACUGUGUGAAUUCUUCCACAGUAAAAUUUGAAGUAUUUUCAAAAUUAAUAAAAACAAUUGUGCUUCUGUUAAUACAAUGUGACAACUAUCUUAUUAUAUUUUAGAUAUCUAUAACAUUAUUCAAAUCAAGCUGAUUAUUUUUCUUUGAAUUAUGGCAUACUUUUAUACUGUUACCUAGAAUUUUUUUGGUGAUACUUGAUACUUUCUAGCUUAAUUAGAGAAAGUGUCGAAUAAUUAUAUAGCUUCUUCAAAAUAAGUAAUUCCACCUUACUCAUUUUCAACAGGUUCUCUUAAGUCCAUUGUAUUACACAGGCUUUCAAUCUUUCUAGACAUUAAUUUGCAAUGAUAAAAAUGCAUAAGAUAUAAUUAGAAUAAUUUCUUUAAGGUGAUUCAUAUUGGUCCCAAGAAUCUUGCCAUGGUGUGCGGCAGCUCAUUAGCGUAUUACACUAGAAUAUAAUAGUCCAGCUAGCACAAUGCUCUCUCAAGUUUAUACUUUUUUUUAGAGAUCCCAAAAAAAUGUUUUUCUGCAGCAUUAUGUGUAAUAAUAGUAAGAGAAAUUUAUGCCAGAAAAGGUGAUAGUAGUAUCCAUCUCAACAAAUUCCUCAUCCACUAACGUUUUAUGCAAGUGUUCAAGAGCAUAUAUCUAUGUCAGUAAUCGUUAUGUAAAUUGCCGGAAUUAACUAUUCUAUUAUCUUAUAACUAGCAGGAUAGUAUUAUAUACGUAAUUCCUUAUUAUCAUGAUAGCAUUAACUAACUGGAUGUAGCACACAAUAGAUGCAUUUUUCUUACAUUAACCAUUUGGUACCCAUUUUUUUCAAAAUGCAUUUUUCUCUCUCUUCUUUUCAAUCACACAUUCUUUAUUAAAAUAAUAUUACACAUAAAUAAAAAAACUUUUCAUUAAAAAAACUUUUCCCAUCAAUUUACUAUUCAAAAAUGUAUUUUUACAUAAAAAUGUCUCCUAAACACUCCCUAAAUAUUAACAUCGAUAUUAGUAUUUUUUUCGAAAUUUUCCAAUAUUAAUUGAUGGAAUGGUACAGAGACGAUACCUACUCCAUUUAUGGAGAAUAUUGUAGCCAUUUAAAAAAACUUUGAUGCUACUUUCAAUGCAACUAUUUUCCUGCUCUUUUCUUCUAGUAAUAACGCCGACAAUCCUUACAAAGAAUGGUUUCUAGAAUUCUUGAUUACAUUUGACCUCUCUAAUUUUAACUCUUGGAUCACCCUAGAUGCUGGAAAAUCGGGACAUUCCCCAAUUUCAAUAUUAACUUCCACUACUAAAAAUCAUGGCUUCAGGCAUAGAUUUUUCGUUCCUGAAAUCUCAAUAUCCGUUGCUAUAACUCUUUACUAACGGAAUAUUUGCAAUCGCAAAUCCGUUGCUAAUUUGAGGGUCGCUGAUAGUUACCAACAUAUCCUGCAGUAGGUAAAAAAUAAACAUUUUAUCAACGAAUUUUUCAUAGGUAAAGUGUGAAUCUUUUACCAACGAAAAUUUGAAUCUUUUACCAAUGAAAUUUUCGGUAAAAAUCUUAACCAAUACCAAUCGACUUUUCGUUAGUAAAUCUCUACCAUUACAAUUGGUAAAAAUCAAUGUUUUAAAUAGCCGCAUAUGUGUGAGGCAUGGUAAGAAAAAAUAUUUAUUAUUUUAUAUUUGUUAUUAUUAUUUAUUUAAUUAUUCUAUUUUAUUUUUUUUACUUUUAGCCAACCAAACUGAAAUGCCAAAAUAUUGUUUAACCACUCAUUAGAUCACAAAUUAAUUUAUAGAGAGCAACUCCGAAGACUUUGUUGUGAACUUUCAAUAUGGGAUAAGUGAAUUACUUUUACCAGCGGAUAAUCCGUUUCUAAUUACCAACGGAAUAUCCAUAGUUGAAAUAUCCAAAUGUUAACGAUUACAUAAGGCACAAAAUAUCCCUUGGUAAAAAGAUACUAUCGUUACCAAUGAAAAAUUCGUUGCUGAUUAUCGUAGUUGAAAGUGAAUUAUCAUUACCAACGGAUAAUCCGUUUCUAAUUACCAACGGAUUGAAUCCGUUGGUAAUAUUCGGUACGUCGCCUACGAAUAUUCCGUAGGUGAAAGAUUCAAAUGUUAAAUGGUUACAUGAGACACAGAAUAUCCGUUGGUAAAGAGAUACCAACGUUACCAACGAAAAAUUCGUUGCUGAUUAUCGUAACUGAAAGUGAAUAACUUUUACCAAUGAAUAAUUUGUUUCUAAUUACCAACGAAUUGCAUCCGUUGGUAAUUUUUCGUAGGUGAAAAACUGUUUUUUAGUAGUAUUCUGACAUAAAUUUGAAAAGGAAACCCAAUGAAGCUGGACAUCGAGAGGGAAAUAAGAAGUCCAAUGCUUCAUUUAUCAACUGUGUUCUUAAUGGAACUGAUUCAUCUGAGAGAACUGACAAAAGUGUGCAAUUAAGUGAUGGUAGGAAUGGAGAAUUUGAGAAGCAAGGUGGAUGUGACAUGUUUUUCAAAGUUGGCACUCAGGUAUCUCCAUUGCAGUCGUCCGAUUGGAAUGACAAAAUGACCAGUGUGUAAGAACUAGAUAUGAAUCAGGUUUUGAAAUUUUCACCUGGUGGCUCUCCUUCCUUUGGUGAUGCCAAAGAUGCAGAUGUUUGCACUGAUGAUAUAGGUAGUAGAAAUGGGGUAAGAUUCAAACCCUCAUUUCGUUUGAGUAUAAUUGGAAGUACAAAAUUUCCUUCGAUUACUCAACUUGCUGCAUCAUUCCUUUAUCAAUUGAAUUCAAGGUAACACAAGUUGGGUUCAUCUGUUUACCACAAUAUUGAUCGCUGGGUGAACUAUUAGAGUAAAAAUCUCAAAAGGAAAUAACUAUGAACAUUUUUUCCUACUCUCGUAAUUGAACUUACUACCCAUCAAUUGAAUUUAUACACCAUGAAAACAAACUCAAUUGUUGUAAGAUGAUCGACAUGUCAGGACUUUGAUCACAAGAUUGUUCUUUCCAAUUGAAUAUUGGUCAUGUUGAAAUAGCUCUCCAGUUGUCUUAGAAAAUCGAUAUGAGUUAACUUCAAUAUCCCUUGGAAUUAUGGAGUACUCUUGUCCUCUUUCCUUGGUCUAAAGCCCUGCAUGACAUUUCUAUCCACUGAAGUCCUCGCCUUGUUAUGCUGAUUGAUGGAACCACGUAUACUAGUAGAAAUUUUUGCCUUUAUGAUCAUCAUGUCGAGGCGAUUAGAUCACUCCCAUUUUCAUAAAAUGCGAUGUUCACUGAAGUGCUAGUAUCAGUGAUUUCAGGUGAUUCAUCUUUCUUAAUAGCAUAAUCAAUAGCCAUCCAUCCUAAAUGGAGAAGAAUUCUCUCCUUCCAUACUUUAUAGUUGUCACCCUUUAAUUCAUGAAUAUCACAACGAAUAUAAGAGAAAUUAGAAGGUUGUGAAGUUGCAUAAUAUUAAAAUUUGCUUAUGUUAACUUAAGGCUUAAUAGAUUGCAUGUUUUACCGAUGUAAAUGUGCUAAAAUUGAAUACAAUGACAUAAAAAUUGCCUAUAUGUUGAAUUUUUAAUUCAAACAUAUUCAAUUAUUUUUUAGAUAAAAUUAUCAAAUUAUAUAGUCAAUUCAUAAUUUGUUCAUUAUGAAAUCAAUUUGAUAUUCUAUCCUAAAGAAAUCUUGUAAUAAAACUAUCAAAUUAUAUAUUUAUUCAUAAUUCCUAUGGGAAAAUUAUGAGAUAAUUUGAUAUUUUAUUCUAAUUAAUUAUAUAAAUAUAACAAAAAUCCUCGUGGGAUAAAAUUCAUAAUAUUGAGUAUAAUUAAUUACUAUUUAAUAUCAUUAAUCAUUAUGUGAUCCCCAUCUUAAUAUAUAAAUUUAUUUAAUUAAAGAUGCUGUGGCUAAUAAUUAAAUAAAUAAAAUCAUACUCAUCCCUAGACAUUAUCAUGUUGUGCAUAAACGAUUAACUUAAUAUGAGAAUAGGUCUAAUUGCACAAUAUUAACUAAUAUGUUAUGAUUAUACACAAAAUAUUCUCAUAAACAUUCUAAAUUGAAUAAAAUAAUUUAAACAUAAUCAAUUUAUGCAAACUUAAUAUGAGCAUAAUUCAUAAUUUAAUACAUCCUAAAAUUGCAUAUAUUAUUCCAAACAUAAAUAAUUAACAUAUGCAAAAAUUAGGCCAAGAUAUAAGAUAUGCCCAUAUAUCAAAUAAAUAGGGCAACUUACAAAAAUACCCUUAAAAUUAUGAGGAUUUUGAAAAAUCAUAUGAAAAGUUUUUUAGAAGUAAAAAAUACUAUGUAAAAUUAAAAAGUGACACGAUGCCACUUUUUUAUAAGAGUUGCGUCACUUUUUUUUAGAAAAAGUGACACAAUAUCACUUUUAAAAGUUUUGUAUCACUUUUUUAUUAAAAAAAUUACAUACAAUGUUACUUUUAUUAAAAAGUACUGUUUGUAACUAAAAAAGUGAUAGAAAUUUCAAAUAAGCAAUUGAAAAAAGUGAUAAAAACUAAAAAAAGUGAAAAAUUCAAAAAAGUGGGAAUUACUAAAAAAAAUGACAAAAAUUCAAAAAAGUAACAGAAACUUUAAAAAAGUGACAAAUAUAAAAAAGAGACACAAAUUUAAAAAAAAGUUACACAUAUUCGAAACAAAUGAGAGGGCAUAGAAAUCAAUUGUUAAGUGUCAUUUUCUUAUUAAAAAAUGAUAUAACUAUGUCAUUUUUAUUAAAAGUGAUGUUUGUCAUUAAAAAAGUGAUAGAAAUAAAAAAUGUAAUUGAAAAAAGUGACAAACACUAAAAAAAAAAAAGUGACAAAUUCAAAAAAGUAACAAAAAAAAAGUGGCGAAUUCAAAAAAGUGACACAAAUUAAAAAAGGACACAUGUUGAGCUUGUUCAUCACAUGCACCUUCCAUCUUUGCCUCGUCAACAAUGUGUAAGCUGAAAUCCAAUAGUACCUAUGCUACCAUGAACAUUAUCUAACUAAUAUUUUCUAUACAAUUAGACACAAACUUGAUAAGUAAGGGAAAAGAGGUGUCGACUAUUCGUUACUGAUCGCAUGUAAAUUAAUAAUUGAUUUUAGAUGGUAAUGGACUCCUUAAUUUAUUGUUCAGUGUACUAAAAUAUAUCAUAACUCCAUUGAACAAUGAAUCAAAAGACUACUCAUAUCCACCUAAAUAAAUAUUGGGCACAACCUAUAAUGUGGCCAUAAGACUAUCUGGAUUGUCCAGUUUGAGGCCAUUAGACCUUAAGGGACUAAUCCUAAUACAACCCUUUUUCGAUGGUGAGUCGAGGACUCAAUCAGAGAAGUAUAUGGUGCAAUCACAAUGCUCCGCCCUCACACUGGUGGCUUCAGACACUUACUAGAAAUGAUAUACCAUGUCACUUUUAUUAAAAGUGAUAUUUGUCAUUAAAAAAGUUAUAGAAAUCAAGAAUGUAAUUGAAAAAAGUGAUAAACACUUUAAAAAAAGUGACAAAUUCAAAAAAGUAACAAGAAAAAAAAGUGGCGAAUUCAAAAAAGUGACACAAAUUAAAAAAUGAUACAUGUUGAGCUUGUUCAUCACACGCAUCUUCCAUCUUUGCCUCGUCAACAAUCUGUAAGCUAAAAUCCAAUAGUACCUAUGCUACAAUGAACAUUAUCUAACUAAUAUUUUCUAUACAAUUAGACACAAACUUGAUAAGUAAGGGAAAAGAGGUGUCGACUAUUUGUUACUAAUCACAUGGAAAUCUUCUAAGCAAAGAUUGAGAUUAGUAAUUCAAAAAUUUGUGAGUUUGUAGUAACAUUUGUUUUCAUACAGAAAGAUCUAAUCACCUUUGCCACAAGGGCACCUGAAAUGAAAUUUAACCAUAGACAUAAGAUGCAAAUUAUACACUCAAGAUGUAAAUAAAUACCAAAGCAACAAUGGAACAAUUACAGAAAAAUCAUAAGGUCUACAAUUAUUAUUUUUUAAGAUUAAGCUAUGAAUUUAUACCAGAAAAAGAAAAACAAGAACUCAAUCUUUUUCUUCACAUUCAAAACACCUUAACUAGUCCUCCAAUUCAUGAUUUCACAAUGGAUUUUAGUAUUAUUCAUUAAAUAAAUAUUACCCAUGGUGACGAGGAAUGCAUUGAUGAUGGGGAAUAGCGGGCUAGAAACACUGAAAGUUUAUUGACCAGAAAUCACCAUAAUGAAAUUACAGAUUUAGGACUUGAUUGAGACUGAUUCAUGAAUGAUUAAUAGUCAGAUUUGGUAUGAUAGUGGACGGCGGGAGAAAAAACAAAUCAUUAUAUUAAUUUGCGUGUCCGUUUCCUUGUGGAUCCACACAUUCCUUCACAAGAAUCAACUGAAUGGUAGGGUGCGGUGUUCGUGGAAUUAGAUUAGUUUUUGCCUUGUUUGAUUUUAUUGUAACAGUAAAAUUUACGGUUAAUUAAUGCUAAUGAAAAGAUAAAACUUUAAAAGUGUAUUAAUCAAUUUUUUAAUAAAUGUGCCGUACGGGGCCUAAUUUUACCAAAUAAAUAUGUCGAAGAAUUAAUUGGCCCAAUAGACAUAUAUGUGCCGAAGAAUUAAUUCUGUAAAAAGCAAUCUAGUAAAAGUGUCGGUUAUAGCCCAACUAUUAAUUGCAUAAAGAAAACAGGCUUCAUGAAAAUAACAGGCCCAAUGAGAAUUAAUCCAAUUAAAAACGGGAAUUUUCACGUAUAUCCCAAUAUAGAAAGAUAAUUCCAAAAUCACUAACACAUUUUUUUUAUUCCUAAAAUACUAUAUCUGGCAACAUAAAAUUACCAAAUAACCCAAUUAACAUAAAUAUAGGUAACUGAUUGCAAUCAAGAUACAGACUUAUCUCCAAGUCAUUAAGUAGUUCCUAUAGUGUAAGGAUUUAUUAUAGAAACAAUUGGAUUAUUAAAUAACAUCCUGUUAUAAAAAGAGAGAAAAGAGAAGAGAACAGAGAAAAGUCAAUAAACUUGUGUCUUUUAUUAAGAAUCAAAGUCCUUUAUUUAUAGGGCAGAAUCAGAGUUACAACGAUAAUAAUUUCUAGGGUUGCAGGGGUAUAAUUGUCACUCACCAAUAAACCCUAAUGAACUUUCCUUUUUACAACACUCCCCCUUGAAUGACACAUUAUAAAAUAUGUAUCUCAUUGAAACGUUAAUUAGCAAAAAUCCAAUGGGACAAAAUGUCAACAAAAAGAGUAAAAAUAAUUUGAAAUAAUAAGAUGCUGCCUCGUUAAAACUUUGUCAAGAAAACCCAGUGGGACAAAACUUGAUUGAAGUAAAAAGAAUACGCUACUCCCCCUGAUUUCAAUUCUUGUAUUAAUUCAUCAUUGCCUUAUACAUCACUCAAUUUUUGUGAAAUGCCUUAUGUUGUCUUGUACAAUCUUCAAAUAAUACCAUCUUCGUAAGUGAUACUUUAUCAUUCUUUGAUAACUGUAGUAACAUGAUAAUUCGAAAAUAACUCUUGUUGAUUUUUUCAAGAGUCUCAUACAUAUAAUGUAUUAUUUUGAGGGUAAAUGUCUUGCAUAUUAUAGACAUUAAUUACACGAAGAAUAUGCCUCAUUAAAACCUUAUUAGGAAAAAACCCUGCGGGAAAAAGUCCUAAUGAAGGAAAAAGAGUGCAUUAUUCUUUUGAAUACACUACAAAAGUUGCCUCAUUAAAAACCAUGCCAGGAAAAUCUAAUGGGAUAAAACCUUGGUCAAGGGAAAAAGGGUGCAACGCGUAUUUACUCCCUCUCAUAUUAAUAUCAAUUGAAUUAUGAUUCAGGCAUAUUAAAUCUUUCAAGGUAACAUGGAUAGCCAAAUGUAUUGUCUAUAAUCAAAUUUGUGUCAAAUUCUACGCAUUGUCAGGCUAAUAAAACUGAGACUUGUAAUUAUAUUCACCACAUGAUAAUUUAUUUAUCUAUAUAAGUUUUCACGAAAUUCAUUAUGUAAAAAGUUGUACAUUUCACAUUACGACUUUACUUUUUCCAUUUUCAUUUCGCACAAGUAUACACCUCUUGGUGUUUGAACUGUAUAUCCAGAAACUUCAGGUUUCUCUAGUAAGUUUAAUUUGACUAGGAUCACGUUCAUUUUAUUUGGCCAAUCACUAUUUCGAUAGAUAUAUUUCAACGAAUUUAUUUCAAAUCCUCGCUAUAUGAUCGAGCACAUCAUAUGUAAAACUAUUGUCCACAACAUUUUCUUCUCUUGUUCGAUUCUAUUUCUUUUUUUAUGAUGACAUAACUUAUUGAGAUAUCUCAGUUUUCAAUAUAUCAGGUACCUGAACCUCUUCUGGAAUUUUAUAAUAUGUUAUGUCUAAAUACUCAUAAGUGUGUAUGCCUCAUCAAUGAGACCAUCUUUGUUAAUUGCUCCAUUUGGAGAUUUUUUGUGUUAGAAUCGAAUAUCAUCACGCUCAGGCGUGUUAUUAAAUAUCAUAUUAACUAAUUGUCCUCUGUAACGUUAAUUCAAGUUGGAGCAUUUGAAACUGAUGUGAAAGAUAUUAUUGAUCCAUUUGAUCAGUAUAUGCAUCUAAAUAAAUUAUACUUCGAACUUCUUGUUCGAGUAAUCUUUUGCUAGGAUUUAGAUAAUGAUGCAUUUAUACAUUAUUUUCAACUUCUUAAUUCCUCCCCCUAAUGCCGAGAAAAUUGUCAAAUCAAAUUGAUAAAUAUUUUUACUACGUUAUAAAAUAUCACAAUUUGUAAUAAGGGUUCAUCAACACAUUUAUUCUCAACAUUCAUUACUUUUCAUCUCAGUGCAUUGUGGUGGAUCAAUUUUAUACAUACUGCAUUAUAAAAAUAAUUAGAUGAAAAAAUUAGGCUACGACCAUAAGCCAAUUUUAAUAGGGAAAACUAUGAUAUUGGCAAGAUGCGUAAUAACAUUCCCUAGAUGGAAAUAGGAAAUACAUUAUUUUCAAUUAAAUUAAUUGUAGACGUUUAAUAAAGAAACUUGUUAAAUCAUUUAUCAACAUCUCAAAAAGAACUCAUUAAAAUGUUGAGAAUUAUACCUACUAGCAUUAACAAGACACAGUUUUGAUUAUUUAAUCUGAAAAUUAUGCUCAUACUUUAAAAUUUGAGCAAUAAUUUCUCAAACUUCAGGUUGCGAAUAUCAUGCAAUCAUCUACUAUUUGUAUCAAAUUUAUUAUAUACAAAUAAUAUUCAGAUGAUCAACGUGGUGGGUGACGGGGCCCAUAUAUCACCCUAAUUAAUUUUCAGAUAUAUAGAAAAUUCAAUCCCAAUUUUAGCUAGUGGCCUUUAAUGAUCAACUGUCGAUAAUGAGAACAAAUGAUACAUAGAAAUUUAUAGAAUUAAAUAAUCUUCUAGUUCUUGAUUUUGAUUUCGAUCAUUGUUGAUCCAGUGAUGGUCCAACUGGUCAUGCAAUCAAACUGAACUUCUGGUUCAAUGUAAGAUAUAAUCCAAUUAUUUAAUUUCGAAGAAUAUGAUUAAAUAUUAUAUAAUCAUAUAAUGAUCAAUGUCCACGUGACAUAAGUCGUAUACUUUCCUCCAGGGAUAAACAAAAAUUCAAAAUGAUAUAUUCUUCGAAAACUUGCUACUUCGAGAGCACAUUAAUUAUUGCUUCUUCAAGAGCAAUACAUAAAUAUUUUUCUGAAAUAUUGAUAUAUACCUAGUUUUGAUUAUUUACAAGUGAUAGGAUAAUAUUCUUCAGGAAUAUUGACACAUUUAAAUUAAUCAUAACAUUUUUCUAAAUUAUUAAUAUGCAUAAAUUUGUGCUUCUUUAGGAACACAAUACUGUAUUCUUCAAGUAAACUAGUAUAUAUUAUUUUUACUUCUUUUGGAACAAUAUAUCAAUAUUUUUCUUAAAAAUAUUGAAAUUAUAACAACGUGCUUUCUAAUAGCAUAUCAUUCUUUGAGAAUAUUGAAUCACCAAAUAGUAUGCUCUUCUAGAGCUAUAAAAUUGUUUUGAAUUAUUUGUGUUUCUACAAGAACACAACGAGAUAUAAUUCUUCAAAAUGUGUGCUACUUCAAGGGCAUGUCAUGUUUUAUUAUUAAUUCUUCAAAAGAAAUAUAUCAACAUUCUUCUGAAAUAUUGAAAGUUAUACAAUAAUUUAUUCUUCAGGAGUAAAAACACAAUUUUCUAAUGAUGCUCUUUGGGAGCAAGUAAAAUAUAACUAGAACAUUAAUAAUAAUAUGCUGAUUCAAGAGCAAAAAUAUUUUAUAGUAGACAAAUAUACGAGUAUUAAAAUCAUGUAUGAUAAGGGUAAGAACGAGAUAAUUAAUCAAACGAUAAACAAUAGUAAUUGACAUUUAGCGAUGAACCUAGUUUAAUAUAUGAUAUUUAUACAAUCACAAACUGUAAUAAUUAAGUGCCUACUUUGUUUAAUAUAAACUUAAAAUUUGUCACCAAAAUUUAACUAGAUACCGUGACAUAAUUAUGUAUACAUAUACGUGUAAAAUUAAUAUUACCUUCUAUCGAAUAUGAAGAUGAAUUGCAAACUUGCAUAGAUAGCAUUGUCUCAGAACCUCCAAAAAGGUACAAGAAGGAAUUGAUGAUAAAUUUGGGUGGCUGCAACCUUGGAUAUCAAUCAUUAACCACGAAGGAGAAUUACACACAUGGUGGUCACACAUCUUGAAAAUGGUCAUGCACAUAAUUUAGAUAAAUACGUCUAUUAGUAAUAUGAUGCUCUUUUGGAGCAAUUAAUAUUCUUUUGGAAUAUUUUUAUAGCAUGGGUUGUGUUUUUUCGAGAAUAUCAACACUAUAUUCAUUUAAAAUAAAUAUAAUUUAAGUUAUACUUCUUCAGAAAUAUUGAGUUAAUAUUCUUCUGGAAUAUUGAAAUUGUAAUAUCAUGUUCUUCUGGAACAAUUAAUAUUCUUUUAGAAUAUUAAUAAUGUUGUGCUACUUCAAGAGUACCAACAAACUCUUGUAAAAAUAUUAACUCUAUAGGAGUGUUAUCAUUAUAAAAUAUUUAUCUGUAUGAAGAUUCGCUCUUCAAGAGCAAUAAGCAUAAUAUUCUUCUAAAAUAUUAAUUAUAAUGUUGUGCUACUUCAAGAACAAAAUAUUUGUAAUAAACAUAUUUAUGAUUAAUAUUCUUUUGGGAUAUUAAAAAAAAUAUUGUUCAUGUAAUGUUGUGCUACUUCAGCAACAACAAAAUACUCAUCUUUGAUAUCGAUCUAAGAUAUUUCUCAAAUCAAGAAAUAAACUAAAUUUUAUAAAAUCCGCUCUUUGAGAGAGAGUAAUAUUCUACUAGAAUAUAACCAUCAUAUGAAAUUUAAUAACCAUGAAUUUUGGAUUCUUCAGGAAUAACAAAAUAUUCUUCAUGACCAAUAUGUCAAUGUUGUGCUACUUCAGGAGUAACAAUAAAAUAUUUGUAGUAGACAGAUCUACAAAUAAUAUUUUCAACAAUUAAUCCGUAUUUGUAAAGCUUUAUUAUUGUUAAUUUAUAUGAAGUACACGAAAAUCGAACAAACAUUUAUAUAUAUAUAAAUUUCAGACAUUAUAUUUUACCAUAUAAACAUGAUAUGAAUUUAUAUGGAAAAAUUAAUUACCAAACAUGUAUUAGGAAAAAAAUCUCCAUACAUAAAAGUUAACAAAAAUGGCUACAUCUUUUAUUAACUAAAUUUUUUACCAAUAUGCAAAAAAUACUAAACAUGCAUGUGAAUUUCACAUAGAUAGAAAUUAAAUGUAGAACUAAUAUGUGACAAAUUCAAAAGACAGUAUUAACACUGAAUAAUGCAUGAAAAAAAUGAUUGAGUAUGAAUCAAAAGACAUGAACUGAUAUGUGUACAUAUUACACACAUAAACGUGAAUUAGAAUUAAUAUGUAUACCAACGAAAAGUAAAGGAGAAUGAACAACUUUGUUAUGAUGUACAUGUAUAUCGAAAGAAUUCACAUGACACCAAAUUAAUUUUGGUACAUAUGAUAAAUAUUUAUACUUAUAAAAAAAUUACCCCAUUCACUAAACUUUUAAAAAUUAAGCUAUCGUGCUGACAACGUGUUAUAAAAAGAGAGAAAAGAGAAGAGGAUAGAAAAAGUCAAUAAACUUGUGUCUUUUAUUAAGAACCAAAGCCCUCUAUUAUUAGGGCAGAAUCAGGGGUACAACGGUAAUAAUUUCUAGGGCUGUAGGGGUAUAAUUGUCAUUCACCAAUAAACCCUUAUGAACUUUCCUUUUUACAACACAUCCGUGUGUAGUUGGAGGUAUAAUUCUAAAAUCCCUUUUUAUUAUUUUUGAAAUUUCUAUUUCAGAUCACUUCACAUUACUAAAUAAUGAAAAUUCAUGUCUGGCAAUUUACAGUCUUAUGUUAAUUUUUAUUUUUAUUUUUUUCCUUUCCGAAAUGUAAGGCAAUACAUUGUAAGUGUUGCUAUAAUAUAACUUGUAAUGUCUUAACAUUUUUAAGUAUAUUAUUGUUAUGUGUGGAUAUAAUUCUUAUUUUUGUAUCAUAUUGUAUAUUCUAUAGCAAUUAUGGAAUGUCUAAAGGAGCGAUAUUAUGUAAUUUAUGAAAAAUGGAAUGUUGCGAAUCUUGAUAUGUUCUUAUAUGAAUCUUGAAUAAUUAGUGGUUGCAUAUAUAACAUUUUGUUACAUCCAUCAAUCAUAUUUUGUUAUGAUGUUAUGUCAAAUUAAUAAUAUAUAUGGUAGAUUGUUUACUAUAUUUUUGUCAGGUUUUGUGAAAUUGUAUUGUAUAUUAAAAUAUAUUACACUUGGUACUUUGACAACUUACAUGUAAUAUAUUUUGUCGUGUCAAUCAAGGGUAUUCUAAGACUGCUAUUUGAUUUUAUAUUUGACUAAAAAAUACUAUAAUCUUUGAAUUGUAGAGAGAACAUACAAUCUUUGAAUUGUAGAGAGAACAUACUGGAAUUGAUGCUCAAAAUUUGGAGUAAAAGGGACUGAGAUGAGAAAUCUUUGGGAUGCUUUGAAAUUUUUUGGAUUAUCAUAGCUUUGAUUUUGAACGUAUUGUUAAAGUUUGGGGUCCAUCUUAAUAAGGUCAACCUUGUUAAGAGGAGUGUCCCAAUCCUUUAUAUAUUGGUCAUUGUUUCGGUAUUUUACCGAUGUGGGAUUAUAUUCCCUUAACAUGCCCCCGCAAGAUGGUGGCUCGUUUGAGCAGACCAAUCUUGAAAUCCGUGUGCUCAUUUUUAGAGACUUAAUCGGAUCGAAUUGCUCGUUGGAGCUUAAUGGGCUCUGAUACCAUGUUAAAACUUGGGGUCCAUCUUAAUAAGGUCAACCUUGUUAAGAGGAGUGUCCCAAUCCUUUAUAUAUUGGUCAUUGUUUCGGUAUUUUACCGAUGUGGGAUUAUAUUCCCUUAACACGUAUGUGGUACUAUGAUUUGAGAAAGUUUGGAUGGUUCCACAUUACUUUGGGAUUUUUAGAUGAUAAAUUUGGUGUAUUUGAUUAGGUGUGUUUAGAGGAGUGAUAUAAACUGGUUAACUAAUUAAUUGUAGGAGUGAAGUUGUUUAUGAUAUUUUACUUUUACUUACUAGAAUACAGUAUUUCUAGGAUAAAAAAAUGUGAAAAUGUAAAAUUUGAAUUAGUAAGUAAAAUGGAGUAAGACGUGCAAUUUCAACAUUCAAAUAUCUUAUAACCUUUUUUUUUUUUUUUUUAAAUGGACCAGACUCUAUAUAUAUAUAUAUAUAGUCCUUAGCCCAAUAAUUGACUAAUUCAAAUGAAUGCAAAUGAGUUACGUUCAUUCCUAAAAUUAUAGUCAACCUCUAACGAGUUGAAAACAAUCCGACUCCAAACCCACCUCAAACUCAACAUUUCCUCCAUCAAAACUCAAGUUUGAAAACAUACAGAGUCUAGAAAGGUGAUUUUAUGGACAAAUCUGAAUUUAUUUUCAGAAAAGGAUUUCGACCAAAAUUCAUAUUUUUACGUAUUGCUCCAUAAACAUCAAGGCAGAGGUAAAAUGAAGCUCUAAUACCAAAGGUAAGACAAAAAAAUCAAUCAUAAACAAUUAUAAUGUAAUGAAUUGGAUCGAAAUAUCGAAAAACCUGUGGAUCGAAUCCAUACCUCCGACAAUUGAUGUUGAUUCAACACUCUUAAUUGAUGGUGUAUAUUGUAUUUUCCAGUGCCGGAGGGGGGGGGGUGCUGAGCUUGAGUAUCAAAACCCAUCUAUAUAUAUAUAUAACCAAAAUCCCCAUCAAAUUAUGGCUUCAGUUACCAGCCUUGAUUGUCCAAUUGAUGGGCAAGUUUUUGAAAAACGUUGGACCACACUGAGUGAAGAAAUGGAACGAUUACACAAUGUUGUACCAGAUUCCUCCUAGGAACACACAAUAACUAGCGGUGGACUUACGAUUAUCUAUACAACUAGCUCACUUUGCAUUUGAGUAAGCUUCAAGCAACGAACCUAAAAUGAAGACCAAAGUUUAGUAGUAUGCUUAAGAUAUAUUAGAUUUUGUUUGUAGGCCUACCAAUACAUUCAGAGUUAAAAUAAUUACACAUCAUCAUAUCAUCAAUUAAAUCGAGACACGGUUUGAAUAGAACAUGUAAUCAAAGAUCUUGAUUGUAUAACACCCACAAUAUCUAGAUUGCUCGGAUACCAAUUAUUGAAAAGAGAACGAGAAUUACCCAAAAAAAAAAAAAAUCCUUAAUUUAAGAAACUGAGAUCAUACUAGAUAUUCACAUAUAUGUUAUAUUCUUGAAUAUAUAAAUUUAGAAUUUUCCUAAAUUCGAUAACCAAAUUCAUGGCUAGAUCACGAACUGUCAUCUUUUUAUUUCAAGAACACGAUGCUUCCAACUUUCAAAUCUUCUAUGAUAUUUGUUAUAAAAAAGUGAGAUGGGAAAAAAAAAAAGACUGGUAGGGAAGGAGAAAUUAACCAUAUCAAAGAUUAUUACAAGAGACGCUACCACUCCGAAUAAUAUAAUGUUAUGAAACCUUAAUAUGUAUUGUAUAUGCAAUAAAAUAGGUCCAUAUCCCGAGUGGAGCCCCUACACCACCGUAGGGAUUAGUGGUGGGCUGCAGGUCAGGCCUCUCAGCCUGAUCACUCCGCUACCUUUUUCUCAUAAUUUUAUAGUUUCACCACAUAUGUUGCACCACCAGAUUUCCGUUUUGGGUCAAAUAAAAUUCAGGUCACCAUGUUUUAACAAUAUUCUUUAAAGUCAAGAGUACAAAUGAUCCUUUCAAGAUACUCCAUAUGUACAAGUGUCAUCAUUAAACUAUUUAUGCAAUAAAGACAAAUCAUAAUCUCAAAUAAUAAAUUAGUCAACACGACAAGUUUCUAAUACAAGUCAGACCUUAUAUAUCAAUAUUGAACAAGUUUAUUUAUGAUCAAAAUAUAAGUAUAGUGUACUUCUUCACUGAAACACCCACUUAUAGUAUCACUACUGAUCAUUGACAUUUUUAUUCAAAUGCUCUAUAUUAAAUAAAAUGCAAUAACACUAAAUAUAUAAAAAUAAUGUGUUGUUUAAUAAAAUUUUCAUUUUACAACUCUGAAAAACUAUAUUAUAUAGACAUGCAACCCAGUGAUUAUCCUCCUUGGGAGAAAGAACACUUCUUAGAGUUGGAAAAUUCUUCCAUAUGGAGGAAAUGACUGAUUUCAUGGACUUGAGGAUUUGAGUAAAGAAAUUGAGCUCUUGUAUUGACGUUGUCACCGUUAUCUUUCUUCUAGUCAUCAUUAGUCACUACUUCUUUCACUAGUUUGACUUGACUGACGAUAAACGAUAGGUUUUCCAGUCUUUGGGAGAAGGGAUUCAACUUGGUCGUGUUGUUGCUUCCCAUCUUGGCGGCGCUUCCUACAAGAGGUGUCAUUUUGUUGAUCCAUGAUUUUUUUUGGCAAAUAUUGGCCAACAUAGAGUGAGUUGUAACUUGUCUAGGCAACAGAAUCUUGCUUCUUUUACUUUCUCUCCAUCUUAGACUCCACAAAAGUUAUUUUACUUAAUGCACUUAGUUCAACUUUAGCGAUCAAGUAUAUCUAAUUAAAGUCCAUAUUUUCCGUGUAAUUAUCUAUAGAUUGUGUUCCCUUUAUUUCUAAAUUUCUAAUUCUAUAUUGUAUUUCUCCGAGAGUUAUGUAUAUUUUAUUUAUUCUAUUAUUUGUAUUGAUUAUUCUAUCCUAAUCUUUCUAUAAUUUGCUAUGGUUUUUACGUUUAUUAUGAAUUUCUUCUUUUAUUCCUAAACAAUUAUUACACUAAAUUUUCAAACAAUUUUACAUUAAUUUCUAUUCUUAUGCACUAGGUAUAUUUUACAUAUUUUAUAUUUAUCCAUCAUUUAUGGACACAUUUUUAAAAAUUCUAUCUCUUCUAAACUACUGUUCUAUACCUGUCUUCAGAACUACUUAAUAUUUCUAAAUUGUCUAAUUCCUCAUUUGUAUGAAUACUAUAUACAUACAAAAUUCAUUACCUGAUAAUUUUAUAAUGUUGUACUAUAUUUCUUCAAUUAUCAUAUAUUUAUUUAAAAUUUCUCUAUUUUUAUUUUUAUUAGUGCAUUUAUUAGCAAAAGGUUUGGGUUCUCCACAAAUAUAACAUUAUAGUCUUUUCAACUUUUUGGCUUUUUAACAUGCCUUUAGUAACUGGGUCUUUUAAUUUUGUAAUAUGUCAUACUCGGUCUAAUAUUAUACUUUCUUAUUUUGGCAUUUUCUUUUGUAUUUAUGAUUUUUUUAAUAUUUUUUAUAUAUUUUUUUUCUUUCUUCUUCUAUAAUCAUAUGCCUAUCGUAAUGAAUAAUUUAAUUUCUACAUUUAUUUUCUAAUUAUUUCUUUUAUACAAUAAUUUUUUAAUUUAUCAGUGAUUAAUUAUGUAUUAGCACUAUAAAUUUUUCGUUUUAUUCCAGGUGCUGAUUCUACAUCAUUUUCUAAUCUUAUCAUUCCAAGGUGAUAAUAUCUUUCUAUAUAAUCUGUGAAGUAUAGAUACAUCUAAUGCUAAUCUUGCUACACUAGCUAGUCUUUCAAAGUCUAAUAAAAAUAGUUUUGUGUACUUCAUGUUGCUUAUAAUUAAUUUUUCUAAUUCUUCAAAGGCUUUGUUUUGUUCAUAUGAUUUAUCUGUUCUAGGGUUAGAUCAUAUAAUUAUUUCUCUAUUAAAGCUAGUAAUCUUUCUUGGAUUUUCUCCUUUGAUCAUUAUUAAUCUAAUUUCUUUCGACUUUAGACUUUUGGCUGUAACAUAUAUGUAUAAUGUCAUCUUUCCUAAAUAAGUUUCUAAAUAAGCCCACAUUUCUUCUAAAGUCCUUUAUGUAGGUACACUAUUAUAUGCCUUAAUAACAUAAUUUUUUCCAUUUAGUUAUUGUAUUAGGUUUGUCUUGAGGUUUACAAUUAUUUAUUUCUAAAAUUAAUCAUCUAUCACUUGCUAUAGGUAAACUACAUUCUCCUUCUACUUGUCUUUUUCUCAAACUUUUAUAUUAUGUGUAAUAUCCCGAAAUUUUAGUAGAAUAGAAUUUAAUUUUUUGGUAUACUAUAUUUUAAUGUUUUGAAAGUUUAGGGACUAAAGUAUAUAUAAAGUAAAUUUCAAUUGGGUCAUAUAUUUAGAUAAAUAUGACCGAGCAAUAAUAAAUAUAUAAAUAUUGGGCUCGUUGGAUAGAUCAUAAUUAAAAAUGCAUAUUAGGCUCGAUAAAAAGUUAAUUUGGAUUAGCGGAGCCUAAGUUAUUGAAGUCGGAAGAUAUAACCUUAAAUUAUAUUUUAAAUGAGUUUAAAAUUAGAAAAAAAAAAAAAGAAGAUAAGAGAGAGAUAAGGAACCACGAGAGAGAGAGACAGAGAGAGAUGAGUUGUUUAAAUUGAAAUUCAAAUUGUUUGAAAUACUGCCACGAGUAGUCGAGUAUGGAAAUAUAUUGAUUUUUGGGUGAUAUGAUUGAUUGGCAAGACUUUGUCUAAUAUUUUGUUUCAAAUACGAUUUCCUCAACUUUUAUCCCAUUUAACCACUAUAUCUUACACGUUUCCCACUACAUGCCAUCUGUUGGGAAUUAGGUUAUUGUUGCCCAUAUAUAUCUAUACAAAUAUGAUAGAGGGGACAAAAAAAUAACACGAUGAUCACAGUAGAAGCAGAAAAAAGGGACGUGAUUCUUAUUUUGUCUUUCAAAAAUCAAAGCAAGUUCACAAGGUAGGAUAUUGAGAUCUAGUGUUUUUCUAACCCAUUUAAAUAUUUGUUUUUCAUGUUGAUGAAUUUCAUACACAUAAAAGUUAAAGUUAUAAUAUGAUAUACUAUGAUAUGAAUCAUAUGACCAUUUCGGUAUAAUGAUAUAAUAUGAUAUGAGCUCUUACCGAAUUUAAAGAUUUAAGACAGUAUAAUAUUCUGACACAUGUUUUAAAAUUUUUAUAAGGGAUUGCACCAUAAAUUUUUAUAUCCUACUGAGUAUUCUCAUGUACUCACCAUUUUUCUUACACCUCAUAGCUUAGAUCGGGUCGUGUCGGAGCACGAUGGUUCGAUGGUGUGGUUGUGCCUCGUUUUGCUAAAUAAAGAUGUAAUUUAGAACGUAAUUUUAUUUCUUUUAAGUUUAUUGUAAAAGAUGCUUAUUUCAAAAAAAAAAAAUUAAAAAAAUACGUACAUGUUUAUUCGCAGAUGAACAUAUGUAGUUUGCAUUUUAAAUAAAAUUUGAAUUAAAUAUUAUUUCUUCUACUGAUUUCAUUGUUUAAAAGUAAUUGGUUAUGUAGCCUUGUUCAUGUGAAAGAUUAAUGUUAUGUACUUUUUCGUGACCUUCCCAGAAUUCAUGAAAAUUUAAGGUCAAAGCAAUGAUUCCUUACUUGUCACAUCACGCUUUCAUUGUCUCCCUUGGGUAUACUACACGACAAAUUGGAGACUUUAAACAUGGUUGACUGGUAGACAUAUCCAUACAUUCAAUAUAUGUCUCAUAGCCUUGUGAUGUAGUGUGUGAAUUCUUUAAUAAAGUAAGACAACUUUUGGUAGUAUUCUCUCAUUUUGGAGCCGUGUCCCAAGUCUUGAAAAAAGAGAAAAGCAUAUUAACUUUGAUUGGGAAUUUCGCUUAUUCUAUGUAAAUAUUUGGAAUUCAUCUCAUAUAUAUAUAAUGUCAGAUGGUAAUUGUUUCACACGUGAACAAUUAAAAGAACGGGUUUUUUCCUCUAAUCAUUAAAUUGCAAAUUUUAUGUGUUCUUUUUUUUUUUUUAAUGUACACGUGGAAGAUAUGGCGUAGGAAAAUAUUUUUUCUUUCCUUUCUAUUGAUUAAUAUGUAUUUCUUUUUAUGCAAAUUUGAGUAAAUUAUCAUUUCAUAAUUAUCUAUUUUAUUGUGCCACGCUAUUUAAAUUUACAUGAAAAUUUUGGUAACGAUUCAAACCUUUAAUUAAAUUUGGGUCGUUGCAUUUUAUCUUCCCAUUCAUAUAAUUUUUUAGGGUAAAAAGGGUACUUCCCUGCAAUAUCAUAUUUUUUUAUUCAUAAUCUCUUUUCCUUUUCUAGAUUUUUGGUCUGUUUUCAUUUACUUUCAACAUUCUUUUGAUCUUCCUCUAAUAAAGCUUUUAUUUCUACUUCUUUGUACUUUCCAAGAUUCAUAUAUUAUUCAAUAUCUAUAUAUCUAAAAAAAAUUUCAUCAUCUUCGCUUUCGUCUUCACUUUGCACUUCUUCACUAUAUAUAUAUAGUGAAGAAGUGCAAAGUGAAGACGAAAGCGAAGAUGAUGAAUUUUUUUUUAGAUAUAUAGAUAUUGAAUAAUAUAUGAAUCUUGGAAAGUACAAAGAAGUAGAAAUAAAAGCUUUAUUAGAGGAAGAUCAAUAUAUAUAUAUAUAUAUAUAUAUAUAUUCUUCUUUCAUUCUCAUCUUUUUUUUCUUUUGUCUAAUAAUUAUAAUUUUCAGUAUAAUACUUAGAGUUCCAUUACUAUUUUUAUAAAUGAUAUUAUACAAUAUUGGUUUUUUCAAAAAAUUUCUUUGUUCCAAUCUAAACCUGCAUUUAUUUUUGAAGAGAAUUUUUUUAGCUAGGAUGGUUUUUAUACCUUUUAGUUCUAAUAAAAUAAUUAUUUGAUUAUGUUCUAAUUUAUAAUUAGUAGUGCUAUUUUCACUAAAUCUUCUUAUAAAUCUGUACAAAUUAACAAAUUAUCUCAUCUCUUUUCCUUUUUGUUCUAGUAACAUAAUUGUUUGAUCAUUUCUAAUGUAUAAUUAGUAUUGCUAUUUUCACUGAAUCUUCCAAUCAAUCCUGUACAAAUUAACAAAUUAUCCGCAUCCCUUUUCAUUCGAUAUUCUUUAGAUUUCACUCAUAUUUUAAUGUCUAUAUAAAAACUUUUUGUUUUAACUAAACAAUAUAGUGUAAGGUAAAUUAUAACUCCUUUAUUAUUCAUAUCUAAUUUUAUUCUUCCUAAUAGUCCUUAUUCUAAAAUUGUAAAUCUGUUAUCAUAUAAACAUAUUUAUAUUUUAGCUCCUAAAUUUUCUCUUUGUAGUCUUUUUACUACUACUAUAUUUAAUCCUAAAUGAGGUCGUUGAAGAUUUUUAUUAACAAUUUCUUUAUACGAUUCUUUUUCUAUUAGUUUUGAAGAUACGAAUUGGUCUUCGUGUGUACAUGAAACAUGUCUUUCUACAUAAUAUUGCUAUAUUAAAGACUUGUUAAAGAUAUAUUCCUUUCUUAUAAAUGUCUAAAACUUUUUCAAAUUUUUAACAUAUUUUGUCUAAAAGUUUUUAUCUAUUCCUCAACAUCUAUUAAAGAUUCUGAUCUUGUUUCCGUUUCUAUUUUUUUCUUAACUUAAUGAUCUUAUUAAAGGAUUGCCUAACAUUCUACUACAAGCCACAAUUUGUUUUCCUUUAUUCAAUACGUAUAAAUCCACUUAGUGUUCUUAAAUCUACUAGAUUCUUUAGUUUUUCCCAAGUCUAAAUUUUCUAACUUAUUUAUUAAAAUGUCAGUCUUGUUUAUGAGUACCUAUUGAUUUUUCUUUUUCUAAUUUUUGUAUUCUACUUUCUAAUUUGUUGAAGCUAAUCUUUUGUAAAUUAUUACAAUUUUCUUGUAAAUUUUCAAUCUGUUAUAGAGAUUUUUCUAUGGAAUUUUUAUAUAUAUUUCACUUGUGUUGCAAAACUUUAUUUUUUGAAUUUCACAAUUUUGAUUUCUAAUAUAUUCUAAAUUAUUUUCUAAGGUCUUUAUGUUUUUACUUAUUGCUCGUUGAGAUAUUUAUUUCUAAUCUUUCUCAUAGAUUUACAAUUAAAUCUACAAUAUUAUUAACUGUUUAUCUUCAAAACGUAAAAGAUGUUAAAACUUCUCUCAACAUAUGCAAUUGUAACUGGUACAUCAGUAAUAUUCUAUAGACAAAUCACACAUUUAAAAAACAACCGAUAUUUUUAUAUAGUCUAAAACUUCGUUCACCUUUUUGGUGUCUUCUAACAAACGAUUUUUAAUCAUUUGUUGCUUAGAAAAUAAAUUUAUGUUUAUAAAUAUCAUAAUCCUUGUCAUGCUUAAUUUUUUUCAAGCUUAUUACAUCAACACCUCAAACAAUUAUCUUCUUAGUUUGCAAAUUUUUUUAAAUCAAACAAAAAAUCAAAAGCAUUUUCAUAUUUUAAAAAUUGUUCAAAGAUUAACCUAGGAGAAGAAAGAACUUAAUCAACUAUAGAUAAUAAAUAAUAAACUCUAAAAGAUUUCUCAGCAUAAUGUUUUAUCUCACCUUUAACAUUUUGAUCAAAGUGCUUCUUUCUAUGAUAAUACAUGAAAUGUAGAUUCAACUUCAACUCAAGCAACGAUAUCUUUAAGAGUAAUCUUGUCAGAUUCAAAUUCAGUUUCUCUACAUAUUUCAAAGAAUAAAAUAUGUUCUUUUAAAGUUGAUAAUAGUAACGCCAAUAUACAUAUUCUUAUUUUGUAACAUUUUUCUUACUCUAAUAAUGGUACACAAUGUAUUACACCAAUAAUCAUGUCAAAUAAGAACUCAAAAUUCUUAUUGUCAUAAGAUAAAUUUUUAGCAUCCCCAAAUAUCUUAGCAUCAUCACAUGUUUUCCCUAAGUGUCUUAAAGCAGCUUUUAUUUCUGAUGAUUAAAUUUUAUUGCUUUGGCAUUUCCAACUUAGCGUUCUUAAUGUGUUUGUGAAAGUGCCUUAAGUCUUAGAUCUUUCACAUUAUCCCGAAGAAUUUUUCAUUGCUUUGUAGAAGAUGAAAACAAUAUAUGUACAAUUUCAAAAAACAUUUAGCUUCGAUACAAAAAAUUGUCAUAUCACAAAGUUCAAUAAUGUAAGACCCCUUUUUUGUGUGAAAUUUUCUUUUAUAUGUACACACACACACACACACACACACCCCUUGUAGCCGAAUAAGGAAACAAAGCAACAAAUAGAAACAAACGGUGUAUGGAAACUCUAUUCUUAUUCUUCUUCUCUUUGGCACUUCAUUUUAAGUUGGAGGGAAAAUAUUAAAAGAGCGUAACUUUGACAAAAUCUAUUGGACCUUGAUUGCAAGAUUCAAUGGUAAAUAUAACAGCCUACUCUUGGUUGCUCCAAACAAAUGGGGUGCAUAUUACAUUAGAUUGCACAAUUUCUUAAACAAAAUGACAAUCCUCGUAAGAUGUUUAGUUCGUUCAUAUAAAGCAAUCGUAUAACUUCUUGAUUGUCACCAAACAAUUUGGGUGAAGAAAAAGUGGCAAGCCCCAAAUCUCCAAGUAAUGUAGGCAAUCAAGUUACUUUACUAGUGAUUGAGGACAUAGUGUGAUCUAUGAAGCUUCUGCAAUAGAGUUCUCAAUAACAUUCAAUUGAUUGCUUUUCAUCUCACUAACUUACCCCCAAAAGAUGUAUAAUAUCCAAUUGUAGAUUUGCAAUUAGAAUCAUUAUAUGCAUCAAUGUCUUUCUAGAUCCUGUCACAAUACACACAAGAGGUAAUUUUCAUUCAUACAUUCAAUAGGUGGGUUACAGAGUUUAUAUAGGAAAAAAAACUCCUAAUUUUGGAUAAUCACAAAUCUGUAGCUAAUUAAUUGAUUCUACACAUAAUUGCCUAAUUCUAUUCCCUUAAAAUGAUACAAUUAUAUAUGAUUUAUGUUUCUAGAAAAAGAUUUCUAACAACUCACGCCAACACUCCCCCUCAAGUUGAUGCAUACAGGUCUCUGAUGCCCAACUUUUCAAGUGAGUUGUGAAAAUACUUGCUUGAAACUGCCUUUGUGAGUAUGUCUGCUAGUUGAUCCUCGGACUUUACAAAAGGGAAACGAAUUGUCUUUGCUACCAAGUUUUACUCGAUGAAGUGUCGAUCUAUUUCUACAUGUUUUGUUCUAUCAUGUUGAACCGGGUCAUGAGAUAUGGCAAUGGCAGCUUUGUUGUCACAGUAUAGAUCCAUCUCAGUAAUAGGAGCAAAGCCAAGUUCAAUAAGCAGUUUUUUGAUCCAGAGGAGUUCACAAAGUCCUUUUGCCAUUCCACGAAACUCCGCUUCAACACUCGAUAAUGAUACCACUUUUUGCUUCUUACUUCUCCAUGUAACAAGAUUACCGCCUACAAACAUGAAGUAGCCUGAGGUAGACCUCCUAUCUGAAAUGUUCCCAGCCCAAUCUGCAUCUGUAUAGCCAUCAACUUUCAAGUGAUCAUUCUUUGAAACUAUCAGUCCCCUCCCUGGUGAGGACUUUAGAUAUCGAAGUAUUCGAGUUACAUCAUCCAUGUGGUCUUUGCUAGGGCUAUGCAUAAACUAGCUAACUACACUUACGACAUAGGCAAUAUCUGGACGAGUAUGAGACAAGUAUAUAAGUUUGCCAACUAAUUUUUGAUAUCUCCCUUUAUCCGUUGGCACUUGAUCUGAACACUCACUCAGUUUAAGGUUUUGAGUGAUAGGAGUAUCUGCUGGUUUACAUUCCAACAUCCCCACCUCAGCCAGCAAGUCUAGCACAUAUUUUCUUUGGGAUAGGAAUAUGCCUUGUCUUGAUCUAACCACUUCAAUUCCCAGGAAAUACUUGAGGCCUCCCAAGUUCUUUAUCUCGAACUCAGACGCCAGCUGUUUCUGAAUUGUGGAUAUCUCUUCUUUAUCAUCCCCUGUGAUAAUCAUGUCAUCCACAUACACUAUCAAUACAGUUACUUUGCCUCCAUUAUGCUUAAGAAAGAGUGUAUGGUCUGAGUCACUCUGUUUGAACCCAUAUUUCUUCAUUGCCACACUAAAUCGUCCGAACCAUGCUCGAGGUGACUGCUUCAAGCCAUAUAAUGCUCGCUGCAAUUUACACACGACAUUUUGUGAAGACCCUGUAUAGCCCGGAGGGAGGUCCAUAUAGACUUCUUCUUCAAGGUCGCCAUGAAGAAAUGCAUUCUUCACAUCAAGCUGAUGUAGUGGCCAGUCAAGAUUAGCAGCGAGGGACAAUAGUAUUCUAACAGUGUUUAGUUUAGCAACUGGUGAAAACGUCUCUUGGUAGUCUAUCCCAUAUGUCUGUGUAUACCCCUUCGCGACUAGCCUUGCUUUGUACCGCUCAAUGGAUUCAUCUGCCUUGUGUUUGAUGGAAAAUGCCCAUCUGCAUCCUACUGUCUUCUUUCCUUCAGGUAAUGGAACUAGUAUCCACGUGUUAUUCUUUACUAGUGCCUCCAUCUCAUCUUUUAUUUCCUGAGUCCAUUUGGAAUAUGAUAAGGCAUCCUAAAUUCCUGUUGGAACAUGAUUCGAAGAAAGAACAUGUAUAAAAGCUUUCAGUGGAUCAGAUAACUUCGUGGUGGAUACAUAGUUGGCAACUGGAUAUCUUGAUCUUCAUUUUUCAAUGUCUGGAGAGUAUCUGCUUGGUGGUUGCCUCGAUUAUGCCUGAAAGGUAAAUUAUAGCCACCAGGAGUAUCUAAAUUGCUUAUAUGUGAAGGAGUGCUUACCUCAGAGAUAUUCUCAGGAGAUGGGCUUGCGAAUACUGAAGAGAAAGGGGGCUCUGGUUCGGUGGAGUUUGGUUCAGCUUCUACAGUUGGUUCUGGAUCUUGAGUCAUAUCAUUCCUUAAGUCAAUAUCUAUUGGAGCUGUCUCUAUCUCAGUAUUAUUUGACCACUCAAACUUCAACCAAUUCAACUCUUCAUCCCUUGUCUCCCCCUGAAGAGGAGAAUUGGAUGUUGGAGAAAAAAAUGUGUCAGACUCCGAGAAGGUAACAUCCAUAGUUACAUAGGUCCGUUUGGAGGAUGGAUCAUAGCACCGAUAGCCCUUUUGAUGUGUAGCAUAUCCCACAAAAAGACAUCGGAGAGCACAUGGGUCAAGUUUUGUCCGUUGAUUCUUGUGAAGACGUACAUAGGCCACACAACCAAAUACUCGAGGAGAGAGCAUUAGAGUUGGUAGUAGAGCAACAUGGGAUGAUAGGACCUGGAGUGGAGUCUUAAAAUUAAAGACUUUAGAGGGCAUCCGAUUGAGUAAGUAUACAGCUGUGGACACUGCAUCAGGCCAGUAACAGUUUGAAACAUAUGUUCCAUGAAGGAGAGCUCUUGCAGUUCAAGAAUAUGUCGAUUUUUUCGUUCAGCAACGCCGUUUUGUGGAGGGGUUUGAGGGCAAGAUGUCUCAUGAAUGAGACCGUGUUGUUCAAAGUAAGUGCGAAACUGUUGGUUGAUAAAUUCACCACCAUUAUCGGAACGAAGAACUCUUAGUUUGGCAGAUAACUGAGUUUGAAUCAUGGCAUGGAAUGACUGAAAUACUUUGAACACUUCAUCUUUAUUUUUUAGUAGAUAGAGCCAGGUCAUGAGAGUGCAGUCAUCAAUAAAUAUAACAAACCAACGAACCCCAAACCUUGUAGCAAUAGGUGAAGGGCCCCACACAUCAGAAUGUACUAGGGAAAAAGGAAUACUACUUUUAUUCAUGCUUGAUUGAUAAGAAGUGCGUUGACUUUUCGCUAAAAUGCAGGUAUUACAUUUAAAAUCAGACACUUCCGUAUUCGAAAAAAGGCUAGGUAAUAAAUGCUUUAAAUAACCAAAUGAUGGAUGCCCAAGACGACGAUGCCACAUCCAAAUCUGUCGUUCCUUCACAUUACUCUGAACAUGAUGAGUGCGACCGACACUGAAAUCCUCCAUGUAGUAUAACCCCUCUCUCUUAGUACCACGCCCAAGUAUCUCCUUGGUGAGAAUAUCCUGAAGAAGACAAAAGGUUGGAUAAAUAAGUACCACGCAAUUUAAUUCAGCCGUCACUUGGCUUACAGACAAUAAUUUAUGUGAGAGUGAUGGAACAAGUAAAGUGUGGGAUAAAUGUAGAGAGGGAGACAGAGAUACAGAGCCAGCCCCGGUGACUGGGGAAAUAACUCCAUUUGCAUUCGCAACCCUGUUGCGUCGAGGUGAGGUCCUUUGAAUAAAAUCUCUUUCAUCAUAAGUCAUAUGGUCGGUUGCCUCGGAGUCAAGUAAUCAUAAAUUAUUAUUCUUGUCACUGGAGGAUGUAACACAAGCUGAACCAAAAUUACCUGGUUCUGAUGAGGGGUCCGUAUCCUGAAAAUAAUCAUUUUCAGGAAUCAAAGAUAGCUGAGAGUCAGAUGUUGCCACGGCCGCCUUGCCUAUUCAUUUAUUGGUGCCCGUCCCAUUUUUGUUCCUUUUUUCCUGCAACUCAUGCCACCAAUCGGGGUAUCCAUUAAGUUUAAAGCAGUUUUCUCGUGCGUAAUUGUUAUUUCCACAGUAUGAACACUUAAUUUCCUCAUCCAAACCCUUUAACUUAUUUGGCCCACUUUUAUUUGGGCCUCCACCACUUUUAUUUGGGUCUCCCUUUAAAGAAUUUAUUCUAGCAACAGCAAAUGAUCCCAUCUUCACGCCUUUGGUUGCCAAGAUCGCUCCAGGAAGACCAUUGUCGGAGUCUAUAGAAACCAUGACUGCUUGUCGCAGUGCCUCACGACGGACGUACCCAUACGCCUGCUCAACGGUAGGAAACGGGUCCAUCUGCAAAACUCCACUACGGAUGCUAUCGAGACGUUCAUCGAGCCCAUCAAGGAAAGUGUAAACUCUGUCUUCCUGGGUCAAAUUAUUGAAGUGGCGGAUGUCAGCGGCACACUUCAUUGGAUUUGGGCGACGAAAGUCAAUUUCGCGCCACAACCCCUGCAGUUCAGUGUAAUAUUUCUCCACAGAUCCGCCUACUUGUUUUAGGCGACUCACCCUUCGUCGAAGAUCAUAGACUUGGGAUUUAUCAUUCCCAUCAAAGUAUGCAGUGGCAAUAGCAUCCCAAACUUCCUUAGCAGUGUGGAAACAAAUGAAAUUGCCAAUCAGAACAAGGUCCAACGAAUUGAUAAUCCAUCCCUUGACAAUGGCAUUCUCAGUUCGCCAUUUUCGGAAGGAGGGAUCAGUUGGUAGGGGUGGAGGUGUAUCUCCAUUAAUGUAACCCAGUUUAUCUUUCCCGGAAAUAUACAUUUCCAUAACCUGAGACCAUAGGUCAUAGUUUGUAUCAUUCAGUUUGAUACCAAUCUGGGGCGAAUUUUCAGUGAGUGGGGCUGAUAUGUGUGUCUUGGUUAAGGCUUCAAAAAUUGGUGGAAAUAUCUGUAAGUAUAGCAUCAGAAUUAGGUGAAGAUUGGCUGGGAUCGGUGAUGAAGUUGGGGUCUUCCAUGUGUUUGUGAAAAUGUUCACAAGAAUCGGGCUACAGGUAACUUGGAGAAGAGGAACCAGGACCGUGUGUCCUGCUCUGAUACCAUGUCACAAUACACACAAAAGGUAAUUUUCAUUCAUACAUUCAAUAGGUGGGUUACAGAGUUUAUAUAGGAAAAAAAAACUCCUAAUUUUGGAUAAUCACAAAUCUGUAGCUAAUUAAUUGAUUCUACACAUAAUUGCCUAAUACUAUUCCCUUAAAAUGAUACAAUUAUAUAUGAUUUAUGUUUCUAGAAAAAAGAUUUCUAACAACUCACGCCAACAAAUCCAACACAUUCCCAGAGUGGCAAUUGCGAUCCCUAGAAAUAUUUUCUCAUCCCCAGAUCCUUAUUAAACAACCUUUGUGUAAUAGUAUUUAAGUUUUGAGAUUUUAACGUCAUCUUCACAUGUAAUUACAAUGUCAUCAAUAUAUACCAAUAUGAUCGUGGCACUUGUAGCUCCUUUUAAGCAACUAUUGAGAGGGUUAAGUAAGAUCAUUUUAAAGUUAUUUUCCAGAAGAAUAGUAGCUUUAGCAUGUUGAAAGUUGAUUCAGAAAUUAUCCAAAUUUAAUUGAGUCUUUAAUAUUUAUUUUUCAUGCAGAUUCUUGCUGCUUAAUUCACUAUUUUUUAUUAGUAAAUAAGUCUGAAAGUAGUGGCAAUAAUAUAUGAUAUUAGUUGAAAUUUUUUAGCUUUUCAGUUUGCUUGUAAGCCUAUAAAUAAGCACUUUCAAUUCUGGAAUAAAUGAAGCGGCAGAUAACUUGCAUAUUCUGCAUUUUUUAGUUUUAUUUUCUCCCUGCAAUUUCCUUUUUUAAUACUCCACUACUCUAAAUUCCCAACAAGGCAUACCAAGCUAAAGGUGACUACUUGAGCUUAUACAAAGCCUUCUAUCGAAAUGUGAGUCUUGCAUAUGACACGGUGGGACAUUUAUAUAAACUUCUUCUUGCAAAAAAUGCAUUUUUUUCACAUUCUUUGAAAUAAUUUUUAUCCUUGACCACGAAAAAGAUAAGUACUUUAGCCAUGUUUGGUGUAGUUAAACUUUAUAUAUUUACUAGAAUUUUAUAAAAGUUGAUGAGAUGUGUAGUUGAAAAGUUGUGAAUUUCAUAAAAUGUGUGAUUAAAAUUAAUUGUUCACUUUAACUUACAUUAGACAAAGGGUAAACAACAACAUGAACAAAAGUUUUCCUAUAGCAUUUUGCACAUGUUCAAGUAAAACCAGUUAUAAACUCGUGUCGUUCAAUAAUGUCACCACUCUUGUAUUUAUUCUUGCAAGUCCGGCUACAGCUCAAUGUUUUCUUUACCCAUGGCAGCUUAACAAUUUCCUUGGUUUUGUUCUUAUCAAGAGCACUUAGUUAAUUUUCCAUAGCUUUUCUCGAAUGAUGUCUGAAUUUUCUUUGACAUAAUCUUGGUUUUUGAUGGUCAAAUAGCUAAGAAUACAUAAUAUGAUUGUGCCACAUUUUCAUAUGUCAAAUACACUUGCAUAGGAUAGUUGACAUCAGUAUUUUAAAAUGCAUGCAUAUGUUUCGCAUAUGUUUGAUGUAUUUUCGAAACACCUUGUAUAUAGGGUAUGCACAUGAUAAUGCGGUCAACCCAUUUUGUUGAUUGCAUAUGCACACUUAAAACGCCAAAAUGCACAUUCAUUUCUAUUAAAAUCGUGUCAAAAUUAGUGUGGCAAAGCCAACGCAUUUUUAUCUUGAAAAAAUGUAAAUUAAGCUCAAUAAAUAUCAAAUUAGCCCAAAUCACCCAACUUCAUGGAUUAUAUACAACAAUAUGUAAGUACUUAUCUUUAUGAAAAAAAAUCAGAAAUCAAGAAUUUUUUUUCGUAGAGUUGCAAACUAAAUACAUCGACCUCGAGCCUCCUUCUUCUUCUGUCUUCCGCUAGUUUUACUUGCAAGUGAUGCUAGUUGUGUCCAAUCUUGAAUUGUUGAUGAUUAUGAUAAUGAGGAGGAGAUUGCCAUUAAUAUCUUACCAUCUACAAGAAGUAAUACAAGUUUUUCAAUUGAAAUGAGGGAGCAUGAUAAAGAUGAUUUUGUAUUGGAAAACACGAAAAGAUGAUUUGGAUGAAAAAGAGGAGAAUGAAUUGGAAUCCGAUAAACAACUAGACAAGAUUUAGAAUUUUUUAAAUCGAUGUUUGUGUCUAAUCUAAUUAUAAGAAUUGAUUAUCAAGUAAUUGUAGUAUUUAUAUUUUUGAGCAAUAUAUUUUUGUUGAAAUUAUGAAAAACAAAUAUAAAGUUCAAGAAUUGUAGUGUUUAUAAUUUUAAGCGAUACAUACAUACAUACAUAUUUAUUGAAAAUUUGAAGAACAUGUAUAAGGUUUAAAGAAUCCAUUACUUUAUUUAUUUAUUAGUUUAGAAUAUUUAAAAUAAUAUUAAAAGUUGGAAAAUAUAUAAUUAUGUAUAUGCUUCGCAUAAGCACGCGUAUGCUUGUAAUGCUUGAUGGUUAAUCGAAAUGUAUUGUUAUGCAUUAGUAUUUUAGAACCUCGGUGACAUUAUAAUACAUGAGAAGCUAUCUAUCUACUUGAUUUUCUUUGAAGCAUAGAGUCCACUAAGAGUUUGAAUUUCUUCAUUGUGAGCUACAAUUUCACUCGUAAUCUCUGAUUCUAAGAAUUUCUCAAGUUCUUUCCUUAAAAGAAAUAAAACCACCAAUUACUUGUGGGAGAGAAAGCAGAUCAUAUACAUUCCCUUUCUAAGUUGAUUGUCAAAUCUUAUUAUUUCCAUAUACGAUUUCAAUUCUCAAACUAUACAUCACGGGUGAUGUUAAAAUUAGGGUGUGACUCGAAUUCUAUUUUGAAGAUAACUGGAGAUUCUAAUUAAAGUCAACUUAAGAAGAAUUCCAUUUGAAAUGCUUCUUGGAAUCUUAUUCAAAGUCUAUUUGGCAAAUUCUGUUGAAAUUCUAUUUGAAAGCCCAAUUGGGAGUUAAAAUUUGUAUUGAACUUGAAGAGAACAAGAUAUGGAGAAAAGGAAUGACGAAAAACAUCAUUGGAGCAAAAUUUCCCGAGAUCGGGUGCUCCAACGCCAUAUUAUGCUCUAGAAGAAAAAAAAGAACAGUGGUUGUGAACCCUGGCAUCAGUUGGAUGCCUUGGGCCAAGAGGACGAUGGUGUCCCAGCGCCACCUGUACAAGAAAAAUCCUAUUUUGACGUUGAUUCUUGAAUUUUACUUCAACCAGAAUUUCACUAUAUAUACUUAGCACUUCAUUCUUUUUAGAUUAUGCUAGACAAAAUAUAAAUAUAAAAUCAUUGUAUUCUUUCUCCAUAUUUUAAUAAAUUCUCCUUUUCUCUACAAAUUAUUUUGUUCUUGAGUUUGUGAUCAAUUACUAAUUACUUAAUAUUGUGCCAUGUUUUAUUUUUUCGCCCAUUAUUACAAUAAUUAGUAUCAGAGCAAAGGUUUUAUUCAUUGGAGAUUUGAUUUUGGGAUGGCAACCAUGAAGUAGGAUAUUUUUCUUUUGGAUUGCAGCAUAAGAUUUUCAUUGUUGCAGGUAAAAAUGUGAGCAAUACUCACUCAAAUGAAUUUGGACGAUACAUUGUUGGGAUUUGACAAGAUGCCCACAACUUGGAAUAAGGAGGAGAAACAACGUAGGAAUCUAAAUAUCCUAUAACAAAUACAUCUUCAUCUUUUUGAAUAAUAUUCUCUAUGAGGUUUUGAAAGAGAAGUCCACGGCUGCGUUAUGUUUGACAUUGUAGUAAUUACGCAUGACAAAGAGUCUAACUAGCAAACUGUACUUGAAGCAACACCUUUAUUCUCAUUGUAUGACAGAAAUUACAUCUCUUAAAUAACACCUAGUUGUUUUUAAAGAUAUCGUAGCUGAUUUGGAACCCUUGGAAGUUAUAUAUGAUGAAGAAUAUUUUGGUUUUGAUAUUGUUGUGUUCAUAUAUAUAUAUGAUGCCCUAUAUUCAAAGGAGAAGAUGAAACAUCUCGUUAGAAUUGAGGCUCAUGGAGAUGCCCUUAUUGUUGAUGGUAGUUGUUCAAGGAGCCAAUAAAGGUCUAACUUUACAAAUAAAAUUUGUAAUUAUUACAAGAAAAAGGGACACUUGGUUACCUAUUGCUAAAAUUACAGAAUAAAGAAAAAUUGGCUGCAGAUAAUCAGAAGAGAAAGCAAUUAGGUACUCUAGGUGAAGCUAGUGUUGCAGGAACGUUUCACAAUGAUGGAGAUAUUUUGAUUGUUUCUGAUGGCUUCAUGGCGACUUCAAACAUAAAGAGGAUUUGAUUUUUGAUAUGGCUUGCACUUUUCAUAUGUGUUCUAGGAUUCAUUUACAACAUAUGAAGAAGUUUCCAAAAGUGUUGUGAUGAUCAAUAAUAAUACACCUUGUCGGAUAGCUGUUAUAAGAAGGAUCAGACUUAAGUUGUUUGAUAGAAAUAUCAGAACACGUGUUCCUGAUUUAAAAAAAGAUAAAAAAAAAAAUCUUACCUCCUUGAGUACCCUUGACUUGAAAGGGAACAAAUUCAUUGGUGAAGGCGGAGUCUUGAAGGUUCGUAAAAGUGCUCAUAUUGUGUUGCAGGGAUAGGAAAAGACCUAAUUAUAUGUCUUGUCAAUUCCUAUAGAAUCUCUGAUCAAUCAUCACAAAUAUGUAGCUCAAAUGGAUUGUGAGUUUAGUUUAGUAUCGUCAGAGUUUUGCUUGGGGUCUACUUUGAUGAAUAUAGGAAUGUAAACGAGCCAAGUCGAACCAAGCCGAGUAAUUUAUUUGUAUAGUUCACUACAACAAAAACAACAUUUUGCAACGUUCAAAAAAUGUUGCUUAAGACCUUUUGCAACGUUCGUCCACUUGUUGCUAAUCCCGAUGUUGCCGUAGAGUAAAGGAUAAGGCAACAUUUUUCGAACAUUUUGCAAAAAUCUCUUUCACAAUGUUUUUCAAACGUUGCAACAAGAACUUUCGCAACAUUUUUCGAAUGUUGCCAAAAACCUUUUCGCAAUAUUUUUUUUGACCUUUUUACAAUGUUUUUCGAACGUUUUUAAAAACCUUUUUGCUGCAUUUUUCGAACGUUGCUAAAAGGCGAAGAGACGAGUUGCUUGUCGCGAGGAGUGAGGAGUAAAAUUUGUCGUUUGAGGAGUAUGAUCUUUGUGUGUUUUUUUUUCUAGUCAUCCAUUAAUAGUUCAAAACUUUAAAAAAAAAUGAUAAUAAAAGUUAUUUUGAUUGGGCCCAAAUAUCAUUUCAAAUUUUUGCAACGUUUUAUAAACAUUACGAAAGAAAAAACUUUUGGCAACAUUUCAUAAACGUUGCGAAGAAAACUUUUUAUAACAUUUCAUAAGUGUUGCAAAAGAUAAAGUUUUUUGUUUUUUUGCAACGUGUCAUAAACGUUGCGAAAGACAAAUCUUUUUGCAACGUUAAAUAAACGUUGCAAAAAGGCAAUAUUAGCAACAAUUCACUUAAAAAAUGUUGCUAAAGCUCAAUUAUGCUGAGCAAUGGCAACAUUCAUGUAUUGGAAUGUGGCGAUAGUCCUCUUUAGCAACAUUUACUUGACAAAUGUUGCCUUUUGCAUGUUGCAAAAAGCCAUUUUCAUUGUAGUGUUUAAUUUUGAACGUGUCUCUUGACAUGUAGAUCGUAUACAUUUUUCUAUUAAAAACUUCAGACAAAUUUUUUUGGUCAAUGAUUAUCAUCCUGAAUCUUCGUUAGAGUCUAAUUUGACUAUGUGAGAUUAAUCAUUUUCGAUAAAAAGCCAAGAAUUUGUUUGUUUUCUUCUCUCAUAUAUGGUCCGAUAUUCUUUGGAAUUCAAACCUUGUUGAGAGUUCCAUUAAAGAUCAAAAAUUGCCGAAACAAUAACUUGAAGAUCCUUAGCUUGAUAUGAUGGUAUAAUCAAUUUUACAGGCUGACACCAUCUUCAAGGAUUAGAAGGAUGCUUCUUAUCUUGCAGUCAUAUUUGGCACAGGAAGAUCACGUAGACAGCAAAAUAUAUGGAAGCAUGCAUUCAUGUCGGUGUUUUGUUACUAAUAAACGGGCAAACUUGCAAUCAAAUGCUAAGAACCUAUAUGGGAACAUUUUAAGAAAAGAUGACUCAAGAACAUUUUUUAGUAUAUUUUGAACUUUGAAGUAGUGUUUAAAAUUUUAUCUCAUGAGGGCAAUAUUGAUGAAAAACGAAAAACAUGUUUACUUGCUCCAUUCCAAAGAUGUUACAAAUACGAUUUUAGUUUUCCUUUUUCAACAGAAACACAAAAAUCAGCUAAUGCGUACCUGAUUGAAGAUCUAACAUUUGCACCAGCAUAAAAGAAAUAUUGAUGCCAGCUACGGCCAAAGGAUACUCCCAUUUCGACCUAUCCCCAACUCUCUUGUGCAACAAGUUUUGAAAUGCUUCCUGUUAAAAAGAGAAGUAGAUACAAAAUACUACUUUUAAAAUUUUUCGAGUCUAAUAGAGUCGAGCUGACUCUUUUUUGUGAAAUUCUAAUUUUUAUGUUUGUAAAGAUAGUCAUUGCUGCCUCGGAAAUUAAAGGCAAUUGUAAAUGCCUUUUUCAUUUAAAAACAUGGGCCAAAAAUGGCCCGUAUUGGUAUGACUAACAGAGGCUGGCUCAGGCUCGAGGCCAGUACUCAAAAAUGAGGCUCGACCCAAGUCGAGGCUUGAUUCCAAUGAGCCGCGAGACGAGCCAGCACGGAUUUUUCCCGGGCCGAGCCUCGAGCCGCUCGAGCCGAAUUGACAUCCCUAAAUGAAUACAUUUAAGUCAACUUCGAAAGUUAUAGAUAAUUCCGCUACCACCAUUACCAGUGGUUUUUUUCAAUCACUUGCUAGAAACAGAAUCGUUUGUGAUAUUUUGCCUUGACAUAGGUAUAAGAUGCAGAUUUAGUUGCAUACAUUUUGAAUGUGGUUGAAGGUAUUGAUUCUAGCCAAUAUUUUUUUGUCGAAGCAUUUUGUGGUGAUUCUGUUAUAGGUUAUUCGUGAUUCGAGCAACUUUGGUGUCCAAGGUAGUUCUUAGAAUUUUGUUACUCAGUUUUUGGAGUUUGAACCUAUUUUAGGUUUGUGGUAGAGGUAAAGGUUGAUGAUAUUUUAAAGUUGGAAAAUUUUGAUAGAGAAUUUCUUUUGUGUUUUUGACACAGAGUUGAAGUUUAAUCCUCAUAGUAGAAUUUGUCUUUAGGUGGAGAUUCUUUGAACUUUAUUCAUGGCAGUGAAUUUGUGUGAAGGCAGAGUUUGUAGAAUUAGGAUGUCAUCUAAUUUCUAUUUUAAACAUAAUUGAAAAUUCUAAUUAAAGUUGACUUAAGAAGAAUUCUAUUUAGAAUGCAUUUUGGAAUUUUAUCCGAAAUCUAUUUGAUAAAUUCUAGUUGAAGUUAUAUUCGAAAGCCCAAUUGAGAUUAAAAAUUUGUAUUGGACUUGAAGAGUAUAAGAUACGAACAAAGGAAUGAAGAAAAAUAUCAAUGGAGCAAUAUUUUGCAAGAUUGGCCGCCCCAGCGCCUUGUCUCUGCGCCUAGAAAGAAAAAGGAAAUAGCGGUUGAGCGCCUCAAUGCUAGGAGAGCUAAUUAUUGCAUUCUACUUCAAUUGGAACUCCAAAAUUGGACUUCUAUAUAUAUUUGGCUCUAUAUCAUAUUUUAGAUUAAAUUAGACACAGCAUAAAAAAAUUAUUGUAUUCUUUCUCCAUACUGUAAUGAAAUUUUCUUUCCUACGCAAAUUAUUUUGUUCUUGAGUUUGUGAACAAUUAGUUCAUAUUGUGUCAUAUUUUCUUUUCUUGCCUAUUAUUACAACAGGUAACAAAACUUGCGAUAGCCACAUUUCAAUAAAUAUACAUAUUUCUUUGUUCAAGAACAUGAAGAGAAGAUACACUUCAAUGCCCCAGCAUCAAACUUAAGGUGCACAACUUAUACAAUCAAAUACUCACAAAUGAAAAAUAUUUGGACUAAAGCCCUACCUAAUUUAAGAAUAUGUUGUCUUUUUCUUCUUCAUCUCACCAUUUUAUUGUGGGUUCAAGUGCAACUAUAUGAUGUAUAAUUCUAUGUCUAUGGAGAUUAUAGCGGAAAUCCCUCGAUAAAUUUUGAUUCCGGGCUCAGAAAACAAUCAAACAAACACCGGUUUACCUUAGUUCGACCCAAGACUUUUGCAUUCACUUUGGAUUGUCCAAACUCUCUCAAACCCCUCAAAAGGAGAAGGGAUGGUGGUGGUAAUAGGAAGGAGAGGAAGAGGCAACAAUGAUGUGAAUCACUCCAACAAACCCUCCAAGUCGGCUGCCCCUCAACCUUCUCGGCCCUCUCUCUCUCACGACCCUCUCUUUCACACACACCCACUCAUCACCAUCGAGAAAACGGCUGGGAAUAUAUGGAUAUAUAUAUAUAUAUAGUAUAGGUUAGACACAUAACUUGGGGCAAAAACUUGUGCAAAAGGGCUUCUUAAAACCUAAACUAAUGGGCUACCAAUUACUCCAACCCACAAUCUACUAAUUCAACAAAUACCCUAAAGCCCAACACUAAUCAAGACUUGCGACAUCCAAAAGUGUAAUUCGUCUCUGAGUCGAGUCAAGUCCAUGGUGUCGAUAAAUAAUCCGACAACUGUUUUAAAUCAUUGGGUAUCAAAAAACCCAACAAAGAUGUUCAUGAAAAUAGUUAACCUUUUAUCUAGUGUCAUUGUAAAAUCUAAAAAAAUUAACCCUGGCAUGUAAUUAAUUAAUUAAUUAACAAAAUUAUGUUAAGGACGUUAAUAAAUAAAAUUCUUGCAAUUUCUAACUAUUUGAAUGGGUAAAAGAUAUUAUCCAAUAUCGUGUUAAAGUUAAUAUGGUUCAAAUUCAAGUGAAAAUUGGGCACAAGAGAAUAAAUAAUCCGGCAUGUAUGCUUUACUACGAGAACCAUGAAAAUAACAUGAUAGAGAAUUUUUGAAUUUCUUUAUUAUAAAGUGGCAAAACCUAUAGAUCGUUAUUUGGGGUGUAUAUUUCCAUUUGUACAGAAAUUACAAUUUGUAUGAAAAUAACAUGAAUGAAUAUUUUCAUUUGUACAGAAAUUUUUCUCAUAGAAUUCUAUCAGAAUACUCUCAUGUGUAUAGGCCCCAUAUUUUGAUAAAAAAAAAUGCCAAAAAAUUCUCUCACCUCUCCUCUGUGAGUCAAUCCUAUCAUUUCUGUGUGCUUCCAUCCGUACAUGUUGAAGUGCACCUAUAGAAUAUGAAUAAAUGAUUUCUUUUCUUUCUUGAUAGUUUAAGCGCCUGUCCGGCACCAAUUUCUCCCAGAUUUUCAUUAAUUUUUCUCACCGUUGGAGCAGGUUCCAAGUGUGAGAAGCAAGUCAACAAAGCUGUCUACUUUGCCUAGAAGUUGACCGAAGUGUACAGUGACCUACCAGUCGAAUUUUAUUUUUUAUUUUUUAUAUUCAAGUAUCCCAGCUUACACCAGACUAAAUCCUGAACCCAAAGACCCUUGCCCUUAGAACCUUGAAGGGGGUAAAUCGCGGGUUAUACCUCAACUGGAUCACAGGUUCCCCCAUUGCCUGUACACUUCUGCGUACAAGAGACCCUCCUCCACAGUAAUUGCUCCGUACCAAAUAUUUGGACGCAGGUUCUCACUAGGAAUCGAACUCUCCACCCUGCCGCUAGAAGCAAGACAAUGUUGAUUGAUCCACCAGUUGAGUUGUGCCCCGAGGGGCUACCAAUUGAAUUUUCUUAGUAUUCUUUAUUGGUUGAAUCAAAAAAACCGCCAAAGCAUUUCUGCUUACACGGGAAAUUCGGGAAUCGAUCGACAUAACACACCUAUAGCAAAGUUGUAUGCUCAAAGUGCAACUUUGGCCCGUUUUGACCUCAUUAAUUUUCAUUCUAUUAAAUUUCAUUUUUUUCUCUCUUAUUUUCAAUCAUAUAAUUUUAUAUAAAAUAAUAUUACACAUAAAUCGAAAAUUUUUCUUUCUUUUUUAAAUACUCAUUUUUCAAAAAGAUACUGCCCUUGUUUGAACCCCAUUCUUUUGAAGAAAUUCAUUUUUCAACAGUAUUUUGAUAUCAUUUCAACCACAAAAUUUUCAAUAAAAUAAUAUUACACGCAAAUCCAAAAAUUUUCCUUAUUUUUUAACCACACAUUUUCUAUCAAUACACUAUUCAAAAAUUUAUUCUUCCCAAAAAAAAUGGGGCUCAAACAAGGGCACUAUUUUAUGCAUUUUCAUUUCUACAAAAUGGGGGCCAGACGGGGACUUUAUUUCCAAGAGCCUAGGACCAUUUGAUAUGGCCCCACUUGGGCCCUGUCAAAUAUCAUUUUUUUCUCUUCUAUUUUCAACCAUACAAUUUUUCAUAAAAUAAUAUUGCACGUAAUUCGAAGAUUUUUUACUAUUCCACCCAUUUUCAUUUCGAAAUAUGGGGGCCAUGAUGUUAUAAUCAAAAUAUUUUGGCAAAAAAAGUGCACCCAAACAAGGCUAAGUUUGUAAGUAAGUAGUCGUAUCAAAGCGUAUAAAUGACAUAAAUAGAAAAAAUGAAUCUAACGUGUAUAUGAAAAAAUGUAAAAGAAAUAAAUAAUUGUAUCGUAAUUUAAACUCUUAAAUUUGAUAUGAACAUGUAAGAAUAUCCUCAAGUACACAUAUUGAGUUUUUAUUAAAUGCAAGUGUAUUGAGCAUAACACUAAUGCAAUGCAAAGUGCAUACUUGGCCCAUUGAAUUGAACGGACUUUGAGAGAGAGCUCUAUGUGUGAAAAUUUUGUGGCUUGUUUUCACUUUCUAGCACAUUUCCUGGACCUAGCCGAUUUAAUACAUCUCUUUACAACAUAUUUGAUAAGGUGAAAUGGAGAUAUUAAGCACUAUUAAUGAGAAAAAGAUCGUCCAAUCUUAUAAAAGAUUGUCGAAAAUUGAAAAUUGUAGCAUAUCAAACAAACCCGAAGAACUAACGAUUGAAAUUUUUGACAAAACAACUUUAUGAUAUUCGAAAUGUACUGUAUUCACUGAUCCAAUAUGUUAAGAAAAAUGUAGGGAAAUCUGAAAUUUAAUGAACUCCAAGGCACGAAAAACGUUAUCUUUUAAGAGAUGUUUCUCCCCUGUCCAACGAAGUCAUAGUUGGGGUAUGAUAGAAAAUCUCUCUCAGGAUACAAUGAAGGCGUUUGAUUCAAAUUGUGACUAUUUGAUCAAACCAAUAAGACACUCGAAAAGAACUGAUGAUGCCAAGAGAAAGAGAGAAGAAUAAUUUUUUAAUAUGUUUUGCAAACGAGAAUUCGCCCAAAAUUUAUAGAAAUUGAGACAACCGUUUGAAUAGGUGUGUCCCUUGAAAUGAAGAACACAUAUGUUGGAAGUUACUGUUAAAAACGAACAGAUGCACCUAGUCGGGGCGGCUAAUCAUUAGCAAAAAAAAUAAAAAUAAAUAAAUACAUGCAAAAUGAUGAAAAAUAUCUAACACAAUAUAGUGCAAUACUGAAUUAAGUGAAAAAUAGAAUCCAUUAGUCGACUCUAAAUUCAUUAUAAAUAAGAUUUCAUUCGUUGUUAUUUAUUAUUGGCCAUUGCAUAUUAAUUUAUAUAAGUAUAUUCUGAAUAACUUGGCUGCAUUUUAUUGUCAAUUUUUGCUUUCUUUUCCUUAUCCGGCAGCCUAAAUUAUUUGCACCAUAAAAUAUUAAUACUUAGUUGCGUUUGAAAAGGGAAAUGUUUUUGUCAUCUAGAAAACAAAGCUAUCAUGUUGAAAGCGUUACUCGAUGAUUUAUAAACUGAUCCAAAAUAUCAGGAAUCUACUUUACAAAGCCAAAAUAGUGAGUUGACUGACUUAUGAUUACGACGAUUCCUAUAAAUAUCAAAAGGAAAAGUUCAAAGAAUAUUAAAUUGUAGACAAAUACAAAUAAUAAUGACAAGAAUAUGAAGUUAAUUUUUUAUUUUUCUUUUUUCUUUUUUUUCAUAAAAACAUAUUAUUAUGCUAAUAAAAGUUCCAAGUUAAAGUCUCAUAAAUUGAAAAAUGUGCGAGUGACAUCCAAAGAAAAAUUGAAUACAAUUUACAUACAAUGGAGUGUGUUGAAAAUUUAAAUAAUUUAGCACAUGUUUGACAAAGGUUUUUGAGAUUAUAAGUUGGUGGAUCCGAUGAAUAUCAAAUGUACUGUUGAAAAUGCAACUUAACUUCCCUUUUUUUUUUUUUUAGAUAGAUGUUUCUAAUAUUAAACUAUUUAAUAUGCCUCCUGGCUCCUGUUCUCCAAGUUUUACGAGUUAUGAUUUGUCAAUAAUUUAUUGGAUAAAUAGUCAUUUAGACAGCAAAUCUCAACUUCUACACUAAUAAUUUCUCUCCCUUCCCCCCCCCCCUCCCCCCCUCCUCUUCAACUAUUUAACAUGCCUACGGCUUCCACAUUUUACACAUAAUUUCUCGUUCUCUCCUUCUCCUUUCUAGAUCUAUUUCAUACUUCCACGAUGAAGUUGGAAGAGAAAGGCACUGAUUACACACAGGACGGGACUGUUGAUCUAAAAGGUAGACCUAUCCUCAGAUCAAACACUGGCAAAUGGAAAGCUUGUUAUUUCUUUGUUGGUAAGUGAAAAAAACUGGUAGAGUCUACCUAAUUUUCGAUUCUAAACGUGCCAUGAUAUCAUUUUAUCAAGGUUUGCUUUAGAAUUUUCUACAAACUGAGAACGAUUAGAUUUGAACGAAGAAGUUUUGCUUCAGAAUUUCGUGUGCUAAUAGAAACGUAACUCUUUUUGCAAGUUAAAUCUUUUGCUUUGAGUAUGAAGAUUUAGAAUAGAAUUUAUGGAUCCUCAUUGUGAUAUUACAGGGUAUGAAAUUUUUGAGAGGAUGGCAUAUUAUGGGAUUGCAUCAAACUUAGUAAUUUAUUUGACACGGAAGCUCCAUGAAGGCACUGUGACAUCUUCAAACAAUGUCACCAACUGGGUUGGUACUGUAUGGUUGACACCCCUUCUGGGUGCUUAUAUUGCUGACACUUUUCUUGGUCGAUACUGGACUUUCAUCGUUGCAUCAGCCAUUUACCUUGUGGUACUUCCUUUGAUUUCAUUUGAUCUCGAUUCUCAUGGUGUAACUUUAUCGUGCAAGCUAAACAGAACAAGACAGUAUAAAUAACAAUAUUUUCUUAAUCUAUCGGAUCAUGCUUUUAAGAUAACAUAAAAGUACGCAAUAUUAAACAUGAACGGACACUAAAGUGGACAUGUUUUUACUUUCUUUUUCUUGUUUCACAUUCUCUAGUAUUAUAUAUUACGGCUUGCACCAUUAUUAUAAUCAUUUAAACACGAUCACGAAAUCCUUAUAAGAUCAGGGAAAACAAUUCUUGGUCAUAUUUUCGUUCCUUGUAACAGGGAAUGUGCUUAUUGACGCUAGCAGUUUCAUUGCCCGGACUGAGGCCUCCGUCUUGUGGGCACCAAGUAAAGGAGGUAGAUUGCGAUAGACAUGCCUCAACAUUUCAAGUCGGCAUCUUCUACUGUGCAUUAUACAUAAUUGCAGUUGGAACAGGCGGAACAAAGCCUAAUAUCUCUACAAUGGGAGCAGAUCAAUUUGAUGAUUUUGAGCCUAAAGAAAGGUUACAAAAGCUCUCAUUCUUCAACUGGUGGAUGUUUAGUGUCUUCAUUGGCAUCCUUUUCUCCAACACUUUCCUUAUUUACAUUCAAGACAAUGUGGGGUGGGAACUUGGCUAUGGCCUCCCUACACUUGGGCUCACAGUAUCGAUACUUUUCUUCAUUGUGGGUACACGUUAUUAUAGACACAAACCCCCAUCAGAUAGCCCGUUGAAUCGAAUGGCUAGGGUGCUUGUAGCCACCGUAAGAAAGUGGAAGGUAGUCAUCCCUGACGAACCAAAGGAACUUUAUGAGCUGAGCUUGGAAGAGUACUCCAAACCUGGCAUGUUUAGAAUUGACCACACCAAUUCUCUCAGGUGCAUAUUUUUCUCCCGAAUAAAGAUACUUGGACAAGGCCAUGUAGGCCCUGCCUGUGGGAGUGCCUUGGAUGUCCGUCCAGCAUAACCCUUUUCUCCCAUUCUAAGUCUUUUUAGCAUGUGUAACAACUAAUAGAAAUCUCACGUCACUCGUGGAAGGUCUGUCUUAUGGGUUUAUAAGCACAUUAGUGCCCUCCUCUUUCAAAGUCGAUUUUAAACGUAACUCACUCUCAUUUCACUUCUGCAGCUUCCUGGACAAAGCAGCAGUCGAAAUCGGACAAAAUUCGCCAUGGAUGUUAUGUCCGGUGACACAAGUUGAACAAACCAAACAAAUGAUAAAAAUGAUUCCAAUCUUGCUUGCAACUUUCGUUCCCGCUACUAUGUUCGCACAGACAAACACUCUCUUUAUCAAGCAAGGCACAACUUUGGAAAAAAGCAUUGGUCCCCAUUUCAAAAUUCCUCCAGGAUGUCUCUCGGCAUUUGUGACUAUUUUCAUGUUGACUAGCCUCGUACUAUAUGACCGGUUCUUCGUUCCCUUUGUACGAAGAUACACGAAGAAUCCUAGAGGGAUCACCUUGUUGCAGAGGUUUGGGAUCGGCCUCGUGUUGCAUAUCAUAGUCAUGGGAACUGCUUGUUUAGCAGAAAGAAGGCGUCUAAGGGUUGCUAAAGAGAACGAAAUCUUUGAGAAAAAUCAAAUCGUUCCUCUUUCGAUCUUCAUUCUUCUACCACAGUUUGCUCUAAUGGGGGUAGCUGAUACCUUCGUAGAAGUUGCGAAAAUCGAGUUCUUCUAUGAUCAAGCACCUGAAGGCAUGAAAAGCCUCGGAACUGCCUAUUUUACGACUAGUUUUGGAGUUGGAUACUUCAUAAGUAGUUUUCUGUUGAAAACUGUGGCUGACAUUACCGAGAAACGUGGCAAAGGAUGGAUUUUGGACAACCUAAACGUCUCUCGUUUGGACUAUUAUUAUGCAUUUUUGGCUGUGCUGUGCUUUCUCAACUUACUUUACUUUCUGCUAGUUGCAAAGCUCUUUGUUUACAACACAGAACUGAAGGAUACCGAAAUGGAGUUGCAUGAAGCAAUCGAGGCUCGACCGAACAAGUCUACACGAUUGGAGGAAAAAACGUUGGAUGAUAAAGCAAGCUCAUAGAAAUAUCAAAAUAUCCCAUGAAAUUUUCCAAGUCUUUUUUCUUAAGCAUGUUUUAUCGUUCCUUUUCUACUCUUUUUUCAUUGUAUCUAAAUGUAUUUCCACAAUAUAACAAUUUAGAUCACAUUGUAAUAUAAGAAUAAGAUACAAAAAUCUUGUAUAUCAUAUGAAAGUGUCUUAUCUCACACUAUGACUAAAAAUUCAUGUUCUCAAUGGUACCUCCACAAGCUAUAAUUAAGGUCUGUUCGAUAAUGAUUAUAAAAAUCGAUUUUUUGAUUGUUAGAGAAAAAAAUUGGUCCCAUUUGUGUGAAAAAAUCAAAAAUGGCGACUGAAAUAGUGAAAUAAGAUCAAAAAAUUGAUUUUUUGAGGUGAAAAUUGUUAACGAGCCUCCGUUUGGCCCCCAUUCUCCUUCUCAUUCUUUCCCUCUCUCUCUUAUUUUCAACAAUAUAAUCUUUCAUAAAAUAAUAUUAUAGGCAAAUUAAAAACUUUUCAUUCUUUUUCAAUCACAUAUUUUUCAAAAAAUCACUAUUUCAACCAUUAAAUUUUGAAAAGAAUUGGGGUCAAAUGGGGGCUAAAUCCAAGAGGUCACUCUCGUAGGCCGGCACAAAAUCUAUGCUAAAUAAUGACAUACAUGACUAAACGUAUUGUACUUAUUAUAGCAAUUGAAAAAAGGAAAUUAAGAGCUGACUAUUUUACACCCCAACAAUCUCUUUUUGAAUAUCAAACUUUCAUUUUGGUCCCAACCUAAUUACGAUGAAUUAUGGGAUAAUGACAUAGAUAUACCAAAAAUUGGGACCGUUUUGAAAAGUCAGCAUAAAACUUAGGCUAGCUAGAAAUUACUUCAAACUAUAUAAUAUUCACUGUUAAAGCACAAUGAACCCUAACCCCAUCGUUUAAAAAUUUCUUUCAAUGAAAUUGAAAGUUAGCUAAACGUGAUUUUUUUGUGACUCGAAUUCAUGAUUCUGGCUCUGAUAACAUCUGUCAAGAUUGAAUUUCAACUAUCUCAAAAAGCUAAUUGGUGAGUGAUGCUACCAAAAAUCGUAUCUGAGUAAUUUCGAGCUGGACGACUGAUGACGAGCACGAACAUGAUCUUCCGAUACCUGAAACAAAAGCGUCGAGAUGUGUCCUCGUCGCCCCUCCGAUGCUUAAGUCAGAGAGAGAAUUUGUGCGUAAGGCUAUGAACUGAUAAUUAUGUAAAAUGUACCUGAAUAAUGAUGAAGGGCUUCGUAUUUAUAGAGGUAGGUGGUGUGUUCAUAAUACGAUUCCGUAGUGCACUUGUAAUAGGACAGCUUGAUUUUGCAAUCUUAUACCAAUGAGUCCUACGCGAGAUAGGAGUUUGAAUUGCGGUAUAACUGGGAUAUCAAUUAUUUAAUAGAGUUCUUCUGGACAUAGGAGACAUAGGUUGAGGAGUUUUAGUCAGAAUAAAUUUCUCAUUGGAUAAGGCGUUGACGUCGGGGACAUGCCGAUGUCAUAAUCCCGAGGACACGUCGAAUGACGUUCCACGAACUCUUGGGUCAAGAGCUCGGGGCAUGCGAAAGACAUCCCAAGCACAUAUAUCUCGAGCAUACUGAUACACAAAUCGACGAAAUAGAGUCCUCGAGUUUAUAUACGUCGGGAAUAAUAUUUGGUAAUAUCAGUGAGCACUAAUGGAUUGAGGUAUUCUUAAUUAAGCUAUUAAUGAUGUAAAAGGUAAGUUUAUUACGGUUUAGAGGUGAAUGACAAUUAUACCCCUACAGUUUUAGAAAUAAUUACUGUUGUAUCCCUGAUUCUACCCUAUAAAUACAGUGCUUUGGUUUUUAAUAAAAUACACACAAGUUUAUUGAUUUCUCUCUGUUCUCUUCUCUUUCACAACACGUUAUCACGUAGUAAUUUUUGAGAGGGUAGUAAUUUUUUUUAUCACGUAUAUCAAAAUUAAUUUGAUAAUAUGUGAUUUUUUUUUAUCUAUUCAUGCAUCCAACUCACGUUUGUAAUUGGGUAAAAAUCAUGUCUAAUUAUUCAUGCAUCAUAGCCGCCGUCAAUUAGUGCCUACCAAUUCGCUACCAUCAAUUUGUAGCUUUUACCUUUAAAGAUAUAAAAUAUUACUUGUACAAUGCCUUUUUCGUUUGCUUCUUUAAUUGUCGUCAAACGUGUAAUGAUGAAAAUUUAGCCUGCAUCAUGUCUACCAAAUUAAUUGUGUAAUGGUUUACACGUAAUCCUAUGUUCCUGCCUUCAAUUUACUUCGAAUUGCCAAAUUAAUUGUUCAUUUGGUUUACACGUGAAUUUUGUUCAUCAAUUCUGCUGCCUAACAUAUGAUAUAGUCUAAACUAUUUUUAUAGCUUUUGCCAUCAAUCUUUAUUUAUGAUUUGAUUUGAUCAAUGCACGCGUCAUCCUCAUUAAUUAUUGCCAUCAUUAAUAAUUUUUAGUUGUAUUUACGUUUCUUCAUGUGUAAAUUUGGUGAGAAAAUUUAACUAUUCAGUAAUUUUAAUUAUCGUUCAAUUAAUCAUCGAAUUUUUGUUACAAAAUUUUGAUGCUCCUGAAGUAGCACAAUAUUAUAAUUACUAUUGAAAAAUAUUAUUCGCUCCUGAAGAGCAUGAAUUAUAUAUAUAUAUAUUUUCAAUAUUCCAGAAGAAUAUAUUGACGUAUUGUUCUUGAAAAAAUCAUAAUAAAAUACAACAUGCUCCUGAAGUAGCAUAUGUUUCGAAGAACAUAUUAUUUUUGUGUUUAUCCCGAAAGGAAAAUACGUAACUUAUUUUAUGUUGAUAUUAUUACUUGAUUACUUAUUAUAUAAUGUUUAAUCAUAUUUUUUGAAACUUAUUAUAUUUUCUCUUACUUUAUUGUGUAGUUAAUCAAAUGACAAAUAUCACGAAACUCAAGUUUACUGCACUUUAUAUAUCUGGCAAAAAUUAUUUGUCAUGGGUACUUGAUAUCAAUAUCCAUCUUAUCUCAAAAGAUUUGGGAGAGACAAUAAAAGAAGGAAACAAAGAAUCCCUGUAGAAUCGUGCAAAAGCACUCAUCUUUCUUCGUCAUCAUCUUCACGAUAGAUUAAAAAUUGAAUACCUCACUGAGAAAGACCAACAUGCUCUUUGGAAAAACUUAACUGAAAGAUUUGAUCAUUAGAAGACUAAAAGCAUUCAUCCUCCUUUGUCAUCAACUUCACGAUAGACUAAAAAUUGAAUGCUUCACUCAGAAAAAUUCACAAGUUCUUUGAAAAAAAUUAAUUGAAAGAUUUGAUCAUUAGAGGACUAUAGUCUUUGCCAAAGUCCGCUAUGAGUGAAUGCACUUUCGUUUGCAAGAUUUUAAAACUGUUAGUGAGUACAAUUCUGAAUUGUUCAGAAUGUGUUCAAAAUUGACAUUGUGUGGAAAAAAAAUCAUUGAUGAAGAUAUGUUGGAGAAAACUUUUUCCACCUUUCACGCCUCGAAUGUGCUCUUAUAAUAACAAUAUCAUGAGCGUAGUUUCAAAAAAUACUCAAAACUUAUAUCUUGCCUACUUGUUGUUGAACAGAAUAAUGAACUGUUGAUGAAAAAUCAUUGGUUACGUCCAACUGAUUUUGUACCAUUGCCUGAAGCAAAUGCAAUAUCAAGAUAAGGACGUGACAUAGAUGUGGACACGAAUUUGGACGUGGACGCGAAUGUACACGCUGAAUAAACCAUGGACAAAAUAUUCAACAAAGUUUUCAACAACAAGACAACAUUUUCAAAAGGUACAAAACAAAUGAAAGUAGCACAUUGAAAAGGGUACAUGAAGAAAGUUGCUUUAGAUGUGGAAUGAAAGAGCAUUGGACACGUACCUUUCGUAUAGCAAAACACAUUGUGGAUCUCUCCUAAAAAUAAAUACAGGGAAAGGAGAAAGUGGAGACAAAUUUUACUGACUAUGACUGUUCAAUUAAUGUGACUCAUUUGGAUGUCUUUGAUUUCUUUGCUGAUCCAAAUGAAAAUAUUAAUCAUUUGAUUAGGGAUGAUGUGAUGGAAGAUAUAGAUUAGUUUUUUAUAUUUUUCAUAUUUUUAUGUUUCUAAUAUUUCCUUUUGUUUUAGAAAUUUAGUUUGAAAUAUGUUUUUACUUUUCGUAAAAAUUUUGAACUUUAUUAUGCAUCGUUAAUUUCACAGUAUUAAUUAUGCUUAUCAUGUUGAAUUUAAAUUCAAGCUUCUUUUUUUAAUAUUGAUAAAACAUGAUGGAUUGUCAAAACACCUGUUUGAUUGAUAGUGCAACUAUACAUACUAUUCUUCAAGACAAAAAAUAUUUUUUGGAUUUAACAUUAAAAGAAAAUAAUGUUAAUACAAUAUCAGAUGCAUCGAAUAUCGUUGAAGGUUCCGGAAGAUUACCAAAUAAUACAAUAUUGUACAUUGAUGAUGCACUUUAUUCUAACAAAUUCAGAAAAAAUUUACUUAGUUUUAAAGAUAUUCGCUGCAAUGGAUAUCAUAUUUAGACAAUACAAGAAAAUAAUAUUGAAUAUCUUUACAUAACUUUUUUAUAUCUGAUCAGAAGUAGAUAAAAGAAAAAUUUUAUGCAUUUUCAUUUCGCAUGUAUUAUGCAUUUAUAAAAAUGGUUGAAUCAAAUAAUGUUACGAAUCAGAAGUUUGUUGAUCCAAAAAAUUUUAUACUUUGGCAUGAUCGACUUGGAUAUCCAGGAACUAUAAUAAUGCGUCGAAUAAUAAACAAUUCACAUGAACACCCUUUAAAGAACCAAAAGAUUCUUUUACCAAAUGAUUGUCUAUGUGUAAUUUGUUUGCAAGGUAAGUUAGUCAUUAAACUUUCGAUUACAAAGGUCAAUAUUGAAUCCCCAACUUUUUUAGGAAAAAAUUCAUAUAGAUAUAUGUGGGCCAAUACACCGACCAUGUGGACCAUUUUAUUAUUUUAUGGUAUUAAUUGAUUUUUCUACUAGAUGAUCACAUGUUUGCCUACUUUCCACUAAAAAUGUAGUUUUUGCUAGACUACUUGCUCAAAUUAUAAAAUUAUGAGCAUAAUUUUUCGAUUACUCAGUUAAAACUAUUCGCCUUGAAAAUGCCGAUGAAUUUAGAUCACAAGCAUUCGAUGAUUAUUGUAUGUCAAUCGGGAUUAUAAUUGAAAAUUUAGUUGCGCAUGUCCAUACAUAAAAUAGUUUGGCAGAAUCGUUUAUUAAACGUCUACAACUUAUUGCUAGACCAUUACUUAUGUAAACAAAACUACCAGCUUCUGUUUGGGGUCAUGUCAUAUUACAUGCUACAUUAUUGGUUCGUAUUGGACCAACUGUCUAUAAUCAAUAUUCACCUUUGCAAUUGGCAUUUGGUUAUGAACCUGAUAUUUCUCACAUACGGGUUUUUGGUUGUGCAGUCCAAGUCCCUGUUUCAUCCCCCACAACGUACUAAAAUGGGUUCCCAACGAAUACUUAUGAUUUAUGUGAGUUUUGAUUUAUCAUCAAUUCUUAGGUAUUUUGAACUUUUAACGGGGGAUUUAUUUGCUGCACAUAUUGCAAAUUGUCAUUUUGAUGAUAUGACUUUCCCAACUUUGGAAGGGAAAAACUACAACCCGAAAAAUAAUGUAAAAUUUUUUGGAAUGAAAUAACUCUAUCUUACUUUGAUCCCCGCAACACUCAAUGUGAGCAAGAGGUUAAAAAAUCAUUCAUUUGCAAAGAGUUGCAAAUCAAUUACCUGAUGUAUUUGUUGAUACAAGAAAAGUAACAAAGUCAUAUAUUCGAGCAGAAAAUAUUUCAGCAAAAAUUGAUGUUUCUACAGGACAAUCUACUGUGGCAAAUAAAUCUCAAAUACGUCAGAAGCGUGAUCGACCAAUUAGUACAAAACACUAUGUACCUCGAAAAAGAAAGGUACAUGAGAAAAACCAACCAAAAACUUCCAAAAAAGUAACAUUGGAAAAGAUUGAUCAAUCAAAUAUUGAAAAUAUAGUUCUCGAAGAACCACAUGUGCCUGAAAAUAAUGAAAUUUCAAUAAAUUAUAUGUUAUCUUAUAAAUUAUGGGAACGAAAUAAUGUUGUUGUAGACAAUAUUUUCGUUUUCAACUAGGCUUUUGAUAUUAUGCAAAAUGAUGAUCCUGAACCAAAUCAGUUAAAUACUGUUAAAAUAGAAAUGAUUGGCCAAAAUGAAAAGAAGCCAUACAGGCGGAAUUGAAUUCCUUAGAGAAAUGAAAAGUGUUUCGACAUGUAGUUCGAACACCUGAAAAUGCAAUCUAUGUUGAAUACAAAUGGGUUUUUUUGUGAAAGAGAAAUGAAAAUAGUGAAAUUACAAGAUAAAAAACCCGACUAAUAGCUCAAGGUUUCUCACAAAGACAAAGAAUUGAUUAUGAGAAAACAUAUUCUCCCGUAAUGAACACAAUCACUUUUAGAUUCUUAAUUAGUUUGACUGUUUUACAAAAACUUUAUAUGUGCCUUGUGGAUGUAGUAACUGCAUAUUUGUAUGGUUCACUAUAUAUGAAAGUCCCUAAAGGACUUAAGGUACUAGGAACAAACGAUAGAUGGUCGAGAACUAUGUUCUCAAUUAAAUUGCAAAGAUCAUUAUAUAGAUUAAAACAAACUGGACGCAUGUGGUAUAGUCACCUUAGCAAAUAUUUGUUGAAUGAAAGUUAUAAAAAUGACGAUAUCUACUCAUGUGUUCUCAUAAAGAAAACAAAUAGCGGAUUUGCAAUUGUGGCAGUUAUGUAGAUGAUUUAAAUUUAAUUGAAACCCCUAAGGAGGUAUUAAGUUUCUAAUUCUAACUGCCAUUAGUUUAGGCUUUAUAAGUUUGACAAGAGAUUAAUAAUCCGAAUGUUAUAGAUUAUCUGGGUUUACAUGAUGAUUGCAUAAUUGUUCAUUAUUAGAUUUAAUUGUUCUGUCAAAUUACACAACCAGUAUUAUGUGUUAGAUCUAGCAGUAGCUAUGCACUGUAUGAAUUCUUCCACAGUAAAAUUUGAAUUAUUUUCAAAAUUAAUAAAAACAAUUGUGCUUCUGUUAAUACAAUGUGACAACUAUCUUAUUAUAUUUUAGAUAUCUAUAACAUUAUCCAAAUCAAGCUGAUUAUUUUUCUUUGAAUUAUGGCAUACUUUUAUACUGUUACCUAGAAUUUUUUUGGUGAUACUUGAUACUUUCUGGCUUAAUUAGAGAAAGUCUCGAAUAAUUAUAUAGCUUCUUCAAAAUAAGUAAUUCCACCUUACUCAUUUUCAACAGGUUCUCUUGAGUCCAUUGUAUUACACAGGCUUUCACUCUUUCUAGACAUUAAUUUGCAAUGAUAAAAAUGCAUAAGAUAUAAUUAGAAUAAUUUCUUUAAGGUGAUUCAUAUUGGUCCCAAGAAUCUUGCCAUGGUGUGCGGCAGCUCAUUAGCGUAUUACACUAGAAUAUAAUAGUCCAGCUAGCACAAUGCUCUCUCAAGUUUAUACUUUUUUUUAGAGAUCCCAAAAAAAUGUUUUUCUGCAGCAUUAUGUGUAAUAAUAGUAAGAGAAAUUUAUGCCAGAAAAGGUGAUAGUAGUAUCCAUCUCCACAAAUUCCUCAUCCACUAACGUUUUAUGCAAGUGUUCAAGAGCAUAUAUCUAUGUCAGUAAUCGUUAUGUAAAUUGCCGGAAUUAACUAUUCUAUUAUCUUAUAACUAGCAGGAUAGUAUUAUAUACGUAAUUCCUUGUUAUCGUGAUAGCAUUAACUAACUGGAUGUAGCACACAAUAUAUGCAUUUUUCUUGCAUUAACCGUUUGGUACCCAUUUUUUUCAAAAUGCAUUUUUCUCUCUUCUUUUCAAUCACACAUUCUUUAUUAAAAUAAUAUUACACAUAAAUAAUAAACUUUUCAUUAUUCUUCAACCACACAUUUCCCAUCAGUUUACUAUUCAAAAAUGUAUUUUUACAUAAAAAUGUCUCCUAAACACCCUCUAAAUAUUAAAAUCGAUAUUAGUAUUUUUUUCGAAAUUUUCCAAUAUUAAUUGAUGGAAUGGUACAGAGACGAUACCUACUCCAUUUAUGGAGAAUAUUGUAGCCAUUUAAAAAAACUUUGAUGCUACUUUCAAUGCAGCUAUUUUCCCGCUCUUUUCUUCUAGUAAUAACGCCGACAAUCCUUACAAAGAAUGGUUUCUAGAAUUCUUGAUUACAUUUGACCUCUCUAAUUUUAACUCUUGGAUCACCCUAGAUGCUGGAAAAUCGGGACAUUCCCCUGUUUCAAUCUUAACUUCCACUACUAAAAAUUAUGGCUUCAAGCAUAGAUUUUUCGUUCCUGAAAUUUUAAUAUCCGUUGCUAUAACUCUUUACUAAUGGAAUAUUUGCAACCGCAAAUUCGUUGCUAAUUUGAGGGUCGCUGAUAGUUACCAACGUAUCCUGCAGUAGGUAAAAAAUAAACAGUUUAUUAACGAAUUUUCCAUAGGUAAAGUGUGAAUCUUUUACCAAAGAAAUUUUCGUUGGUAAAAAACUUAACCAAUACCAAUCGACUUUCCGUUGGUAAAUCUCUACCAUUACAAUUGGUAAAAAUCAAUGUUGUAAAUAGCUGCAUAUGUGUGAGGCAUGGUAAAAAAAAUAUUUAUUAUUUUAUUAUUGUUAUUAUUAUUUAUUUAAUAAUUCUAUUUUUUUUUUACUGUUAGCCAACCGAAUUGAAAUGCCAAAAUAUUGUUUAAACACUCAUUAGAUCACAAAUUAAUUUAUAGAGAGUAACUCCGAAGACUUUGUUGUGAACUUUCAAUAUGGGAUAAGUGAAUUAUUUUUACUAGCGGAUAAUCCAUUUCUAAUUACCAACGGAAUAUCCGUAGGUGAAAUAUCCAAAUGCUAACGAUUACAUAAGGCACAAAAUAUCCCUUGGUAAAAAGAUACCAUCGUUACCAAUGAAAAAUUCGUUGCUGAUUAUCGUAGUUGAAAGUGAAUUAUCAUUACCAACAGAUAAUCCGUUUCUAAUUACUAACGGAUUGCAUCCAUUGGUAAUAUUCGGUGCGUCGCCUACGAAUAUUCCGUAGGUAAAAGAUUCAAAUGUUAAAUGGUUACAUGAGACACCGAAUAUCCGUUGAUAAAGAGAUACCAACGUAACCAACGGAAAAUUCAUUGCUGAUUAUCGUAACUGAAAGUGAAUAACUUUGACCAACGAAUAAUUUGUUUCUAAUUACCAACGAAUUGCAUCCGUUGAUAAUUUUUCGUAGGUGAAAAACUAUUUUUUAGUAGUAUUCUGACAUAAAUUUGAAAAGGAAACCCAAUGAAGCUGGACAUCGAGAGGGAAAUAAGAAGUCCAAUGCUUCAUUUAUCAACUGUGUUCUUAAUGGAACUGAUUCAUCUGAGAGAACUGACAAAAGUGUGCAAUUAAGUGAUGGUAGGAAUGGAGAAUUUGAGAAGCAAGGUGGAUGUGACAUGUUUUUCAAAGUUGGCACUCAGGUAUCUCCAUUGCAGUCGUCCGAUUGGAAUGACAAAAUGACCAGUGUUGAAGAACUAGAUAUGAAUCAGGUUUUGAAAUUUUCACCUGGUGGCUCUCCUUCCUUUGGUGAUGCCAAAGAUGCAGAUGUUUGCACUGAUGAUAUAGGUAGUAGAAAUGGGGUAAGAGUCAAACCCUCAUUUCGUCUGAGUAUAAUUGGAAGUACAAAAUCUCCUUCGAUUACUCAACUUGCUGCAUCAUUCCUUUAUCAAUUGAAUUCAAGGUAACACAAGUUGGGUUCAUCUGUUUACCACAGUAUUGAUCGCUGGGUGAACUAUUAGAGUAAAAAUCUCAGAAGGAAAUAACUAUGAACAUUUUUUCCUACUCUCGUAAGUGAACUUACUACCCAUCAAUUGAAUUUAUACACCAUGAAAACAAACUCAAUUGUUGUAAGAUGAUCGACAUGUCAGGACUUUGAUCACAAGAUUGUUCUUUCCAAUUGAAUAUUGGCCAUGUUGAAAUAGCUCUCCAGUUGUCUUAGAAAAUCGAUAUGAGUUAACUUCAAUAUCCCUUGGAAUUAUGGAGUACUCUUGUCCUCUUUCCUUGGUCUAAAGCCCUGCAUGACAUUUCUAUCCACUGAAGUCCUCACCUUGUUAUGCUGAUUGAUGGAACCACGUAUUCUAGUAGAAAUUUUUGUCUUUAUGAUCAUCAUGUCGAGGCGAUUAGAUCACUCCCAUUUUCAUAAAAUGCGAUGUUCACUGAAGUGCUAGUAUUAGUGAUUUCAGGUGGUUCAUCUUUCCUAAUAGCAUAAUCAAUAGCCAUCCAUCCUAAAUGGAGAAGAAUUCUCUCCUUCCAUACUUUAUAGUUGUCACCCUUUAAUUCAUGAAUAUCACAACGAAUAUAAGAGAAAUUAGAAGGUUGUGAAGUUGCAUAAUAUUAAAAUUUGCUUAUGUUAACUUGAGGCUUAAUAGAUUGCAUGUUUUACCACUGUAAAUUUGCUAAAAUUGAAUACAAUGACAUAAAAAUUGCCUAUAUCUUGAAUUUUCAAUUCAAACAUAUUCAAUUAUGUUUUAGAUAAAAUUAUCAAAUUAUAUAGUCAAUUCAUAAUUUGUUCAUUAUGAAAACAAUUUGAUAUUCUAUCCUAAAGAAAUCUUGUAAUAAAACUAUCAAAUUAUAUAUUUAUUCAUAAUUCCUAUGGGAAAAUUAUGAGAUAAUUUGAUAUUUUAUUCUAAUUAAUUAUAUAAAUAUAACAAAAAUUCUCGUGGGAUAAAAUUCAUAAUAUUGAGUAUAAUUAAUUACUAUCUAAUAUCAUUAAUCAUUAUGUGAUCCCCAUCUUAAUAUAUAAAUUUAUUUAAUUAAAGAUGCUAUGGCUAAUAAUUAAAUAAAUAAAAUCAUACUCAUCCCUAGACAUUAUCAUGUUGUGCAUAAACGAUUAACUUAAUAUGAGAAUAGGUCUAAGUGCACAAUAUUAACUAAUAUGUUAUGAUUAUAGACAAAAUAUUCUCAUAAACAUUCUAAAUUGAAUAAAAUAAUUGAAACAUAAUCAAUUUAUGCAAACUUAAUAUGAGCAUAAUUCAUAAUUUAAUACAUCCUAAAAUUGCAUAUAUUAUUCCAAACAUAAAUAAUUAACAUAUGCAAAAAUUAGGCCAAGAUAUAAGAUAUGCCCAUAUAUCAAAUAAAUAUGUCGAAGAAUUAAUUAGCCCAAUAGACAUAUAUGUGCCGAAGAAUUAAUUCUGUAAAAAGCGAUCUAGUAAAAGUGUAGGUUAUAGCCCAACUAUUAAUUGCAUAAAGAAAACAGGCAUCAUGAAAAUAACAGGCCCAAUAAGAAUUAAUCCAAUUAAAAAUGGGAAUUUUCACAUAUAUCCCAAUAUAGAAAGAUAAUUCCAAAAUCACUAACACAUAUUUUUUUAUUCCUAAAAUACUAUAUCUUGCAACAUAAAAUUACCGAAUAACCCAAUUAACAUAAAUAUAGGUAACUGAUUGCAAUCGAGAUACAGAUUUAUCUCCAAGUCAUUAAGUAGUUCCUAUAGUGUAAGGAUUUAUUAAAGAAACAAUUGGAUUAUUAAAUAACAUCCUGUUAUAAAAAGAGAGAAAAGAGAAGAGAACAGAGAAAAGUCAAUAAACUUGUGUCUUUUAUUAAGAAUCAAAGCUCUCUAUUUAUAGGGGAGAAUCAGGGUUACAACGGUAAUAAUUUUUAGGGCUGCAGAGGUAUAAUUGUCAUUCACCAAUAAACCCUAACGAACUUUCCUUUUUAGAACACUCCCCCUUAAAUGACACAUUAUAAAAUAUAUAUCUCAUUGAAACGUUAAUUAGCAAAAAUCCAAUGGGACAAAAAUGUCAACAAAAAGAGUAAAAAUAAUUUGGAGUAAUAAGAUGCUUCCUCGUUAAAACUUUGUCAAGAAAAUCCAGUGGGACAAAACUUGAUCGAAGUAAAAAGAGUACAGCUACUCCCCCUGAUUUCAAUUCUUGUAUUAAUUCAUCAUUGCCUUGUACGUCACUCAAUUUUGGUGAAAUGUCUCAUGUUGUCUUGUACAAUCUUCAAAUAAUACCAUCUUCGUAAGGGAUACUUUAUCAUUCUUUGAUAAUUGUAGUAACACGAUAAUUCGAAAAAUAACUCUUAUUGAUUUCUUCAAGAGUUUCAUAUAUAUAAUGUAUUAUUUUGAGGGUAAAUGUCUUGCAUGUUAUAGACAUUAAUUACACGAAGAAUAUGCCUCAUUAAAAUCUUAUUAGGAAAAAACCCUGCGAGAAAAAGUCCUAAUGAAGGAAAAAGAGUACAUUAUUCUUUUGAAUACGCUACAAAAGUUGCCUCAUUAAAAACCAUGCCAGGAAAAUCUAAUGGGAUAAAACCUUGGUCAAGGGAAAAAGGGUGCAACGCGUAUUUACUCCCUCUCAUAUUAAUAUCACUUGAAUUAUGAUUUAGGCAUAUUAAAUCUUUCAAGAUAACAUGGAUAGCCAAAUGUAUUGUCUAUAAUCAAAUUUGUAUCAAAUUCUACUCAUUGUCAGGCUAAUAAAACUGAGACUUGUAAUUAUAUCCACCACAUGAUAAUUUAUCUAUCUAUCUAUAUAAGUCUUCACGAAAUUCAUUAUGUAAAAAGUCGUACAUUUCACAUUACGACAUUACUUUUUCCAUUUUCAUUUCGCACAAGUAUACACCUCUUGGUGUUUGAACUGUAUAUCCAGAAACUUCAGGUUUCUCUAGUAAGUUUAAUUUGACUAGGAUCACGUCCAUUUUAUUUGGCCAAUCACUAUUUCAAUAGAUAUAUUUCAACGAAUUUAUUUCAAUUCCUCGCUAUAUGAUCGAUCACAUCAUAUGUAAAACUGUUGUCGACAACAUUUUCUUCUCUUGUUUGGUUCUAUUUCUUUCUUCAUGAUGACAUAAUUUAUUGAGAUAUCUCAGUUUUCAAUAUAUCAGGUACCUGAACCUCUUCUGAAAUUUUAUAAUCUGUUAUGUCUAAAUACUCAUAAGAGUAUAUGCCUCAUCAAUGAGACCGUCUUUGUUAAUUGCUCUAUUUGGAGAUUUUUUGUGUUAGAAUUGAAUAUCAUCACGCUUCAGGCAUGUCAUUAAAUAUCAUAUUAACUAAUUGUCCUCUGUAACGUUAAUACAAGUUGGAGCAUUUGAAGCUCAUGUGUAAGAUAUUAUUGAUCCAUUUGAUCAGUACAUGCAUCUAAAUAAAUUAUACUUCGAACUUCUUGUUCGAGUAAUCUUUUGCGAGAAUUUAGAUAAUGAUGCAUUUAUACAUUAUUUUCAACUUCUUAAUUCCUCCCCCUAAUGCUGAGAAAAUUGUCAAAUCAAAUUGAUAAAUAUUUUUACUACGUUAUAAAAUAUCACAAUUUGUAAUAAGGGUUCAUACCACACAUUUAUUCUCAGCAUUCAUUACUUUCCAUCUCAGUGCAUUGUGGUGGAUCAAUUUUAUACAUACUGCACUAUAAAAAUAAUUAGAUGAAAAAAUUAGGCUACGACCAUAAGCCAAUUUUAAUAGGGAAAACUAUGAUAUUGGCAAGAUACGUAAUAACAUUCCCUAAAUGGAAAUGGGAAAUACAUUGUUCUCAAUUAAAUUAAUUGUAGACGUUUAAUAAAGAAACUUGUUAAAUCAUUUAUCGACAUCUCAAAAAGCACUCAUUAAACCUACUAGCAUUAACAAGACACAGUUUUGAUUAUUUAAUCUGAAAAUUAUGCUCAUACUUUAAAAUUUGAGCAAUAAUUUCUCAAACUUCAGGUUGCGAAUACCAUGCAAUCAUCUAGUAUUUGUAUUAAAUUUAUUAUAUACAAAUAAUAUUUAGAUGAUCAACGUGGUGGGUGACAAGGCCCAUAUAUCACCCUAAUUAAUUUUCAGAUAUAUAGAAAAUUCAAUCCCAAUUUUAGCUAGUGGCCUUUAAUGAUCAACUGUUGAUAAUGAGAACAAAUGAUACAUAGAAAUUUAAAGAAUUAAAUAAUCUUCUUGUUCUUCAUUUUGAUUUCGCAUCAUUGUUGAUCCAGUGAUGGUCCAACUAGUCAUGCCAAUCAAACUGAACUUCUGGUUCAAUACAAGAUAUAACCCAAUUAUUUAAUUUCGAAGAAUAUGAUUAAAUAUUAUAUAAUCAUAUAAUGAUCAAUGUCCACGUGACAUAAGUCGUAUGCUUUCCUCUAGGGAUAAACAAAAAUUCAAAAUGAUAUAUUCUUCGAAAACGUGCUACUUUGAGAGCACAUUAAUUAUUGCUUCUUCAAGAGCAAUACAUAAAUAUUUUUUUUGAAAUAUUGAUAUAUACCUAGUUAUGAUUAUUUACAAGUGAUAGGAUAAUAUUCUUCAGGAAUAUUGACACAUUUAAAUUAAUCAUAACAUUUUUCUAAAAUAUUAUUAUGCAUGAAUUUGUGCUUCUUUAGGAACACAAUACUGUAUUCUUCAAGUAAACUAGUAUAUAUUAUUUUUACUUCUUUUGGAACAAUAUAUCAAUAUUUUUCUUAAAAAUAUUGAAAUUAUAACGACGUGCUUUCCAAUAGCAUAUCAUUCUUUGAGAAUAUUGAAUCACCAAAUAGUAUGCUCUUCUAGAGCGAUAAAAUUGUUUUGAAUUAUUUGUGUUUCUUCAAGAACACAACAAGAUAUAAUUCUUCAAAAUGUGUGCUACUUUAAGGGCAUGUUGUGUUUUAUUAUUACUUCUUCAAAAGCAAUAUAUCAAUAUUCUUCUGAAUUAUUGAAAGUUAUACAAUAAUUUAUUCUUCAGGAGUAAAAACACAAUUUUCUAAUGAUGCUCUUCGGGAGCAAGUAAAAUAUAACUAGAACAUUAAUAAUAAUGUGUUGAUUCAAGAGCAAAAAUAUUGUAUAGUAGACAAAUAUACGAGUAUUAAAAUCAUGUAUGAUAAGGGUAAGAACGAGAUAAUUAAUCAAACGAUAAACAAUAGUAAUUGACAUUUAGCGAUGAACCUAAUUUAAUAUAUGAUAUUUACACAAUCACAAACCGUAAUAAUUAAGUGCCCACUUUGUUUAAUAUAAACUUAAAAUUUGUCACCAAAAUUUAACUAGAUACCGUGACAUAAUUAUGCAUACAUAUACGUGUAAAAUUAAUAUUACCUUCUAUCAAAUAUGAAGAUGAAUUGCAAACUUACGUAGAUAGCAUUGCCUCAGAACCUCCAAAAAUGGUACAAGAAGGAAUUGAUGAUAAAUUUGGGUGGCUGUAACCUUGGAUAUCAAUCAUUAACCACGAAGGAGAAUUACACACGUGGUGGUCACACAUCUUGAAAAUGGUCGUGCACAUAAUUUAGAUAAAUACGUCUAUUAGUAAUAUGAUGCUCUUCUGGAGCAAUUAAUAUUCUUUUAGAAUAUUUUUAUAGCAUGGGUUGUGUUUUUUCGAGAAUAUCAACACUAUAUUCAUUUAAAAUAAAUAUAAUUUAAGUUAUACUUCUUCAAAAGCAUUGAGUCAAUAUUCUUCUGGAAUAUUGAAAUUGUAAUAUCAUACUCUUCUGGAGCAAUUAAUAUUCUUUUAGAAUAUUAAUAAUGUCGUGCUACUUCAAGAGUACCAACAAACUCUUGUUUAAAAAUAUUAACUCUAUAGGAGUAUGUUAUCAUUAUAAAAUAUUUAUCUGUAUGAAGAUCCGCUCUUCAAGAGUAAUAAGUAUAAUAUUCUUCUGAAAUAUUAAUUAUAAUGUUGUGCUACUUCAAAAACAAAAUAUUUAUAAUAAACAUAUUUAUGAUUAAUAUUCUUAUGGGAUAUUAAAAAAAAUAUUGUUCAUGUAAUGUUGUGCUACUUCAGGAGCAACAACAUGAUACUCAUCUUUGAUAUCGAUCUAAGAUAUUUCUCAAAUCAGGAAAUAAACUAAAUUUUAUAAAAUCCGCUCUUUGAGAGAGAGUAAUAUUCUACUAGAAUAUAACCAUCAUAUGAAAUUUAAUAAACAUGAAUUUUGGAUUCUUCAGGAAUAACAAAAUAUUCUUCAUGACCAAUAUGUCAAUGUUGUGCUACUUCAGGAGUAACAAUAAAAUAUUUGUAGUAGACAGAUCUACAAAUAAUAUUUUCAACAAUUAAUCCGUAUUUGUAAAGCUUUAUUAUUGUUAAUUUAUAUGAAGUACAUGAAAAUCGAACAAACAUUUAUAUAUAUAUAUAUAAAUUCCAAACAUUAUAUUUUACCAUAUAAACAUGAUAUGAAUUUAUAUGGAAAAAUUAAUUACCAAACAUGUAUUAGGAAAAAAAUCUCCAUACAUAGAAGUUAACAAAAAUGGCUAUAUCUUUUAUUAACUAAAUUUUUUACCAACAUGCAAAAAAUACUAAACAUGCACGUGAAUUUCACAUAUAUAGAAAUUAAAUGUAGAACUAAUAUGUGACAAAUUCAAAAGACAGUAUUAACACUGAAUAAUGCAUGAAAAAAAUGAUUGAGUAUGAAUCAAAAGACAUGAACUAAUAUGUGUACAUAUUACACACAUAAACAUGAAUUAAAAUUAAUAUGUAUACCAACGAAAAGUAAAGGAGAAUGAACAACCUUGUUAUGAUGUACAUGUAUAUCGAAAGAAUUCACAUGACACCAAAUUAAUUUUGGUACAUAUGAUAAAUAUUUAUACUUAUAAAAAAAUUACUGCAUUUACUAAACUUUUAAAAAUUAAGCUAUCGUGCUGAUAACAUGUUAUAAAAAGAGAGAAAAGAGAAGAGGAUAGAGAAAAGUCAAUAAACUUGUGUCUUUUAUUAAGAACCAAAGCCCUCUAUUAUUAGGGCAGAAUCAGGGGUACAACGGUAAUAAUUUCUAGGGCUGUAAGGGUAUAAUUGUCAUUCACCAAUAAACCUUAAUGAACUUUCCUUUUUACAACACAUCCGUGUGUAGUUCGAGGUAUAAUUCUAAAAUCCCUUUUUAUUAUUUUUGAAAUUUCUAUUUCAGAUCACUUUAUAUUACUAAAUAAUGAAAAUUCAUGUCUGGCAAUUUACAGUCUUAUGUUAAUUUUUAUUUUUAUUUUUUUCCUUUCUGAAAUGUAAGGCAAUACAUUGUAAGUGUUGCUAUAAUAUAACUUGUAAUGUCUUAACAUUUUUAAGUAUAUUAUUGUUACGUGUGCAAUAUAAUUCUUAUUUUUGUAUCAUAUUGUAUAUUCUAUAGCAAUUAUGGAAUGUCUAAAGGAGCGAUAUUAUGUAAUUUAUGAAAAAUGGAAUGUUGCGAAUCUUGAUAUGUUCUUAUAUGAAUCUUGAAUAAUUAGUGGUUGCAUAUAUAACAUUUUGUUACAUCCAUCAAUCAUAUUUUGUUAUGAUGUUAUGUCAAAUUAAUAAUAUAUAUGGUAGAUUGUUUACUAUAUUUUUGUCAGGUUUUGUGAAAUUGUAUUGUAUAUUAAAAUAUAUUACACUUGGUACUUUGACAACUUACAUGUAAUAUAUUUUGUCGUGUCAAUCAAGGGUAUUCUAAGACUCCUAUUUGAUUUUAUAUUUGACUAAAAAAUACUAUAAUUUUUGAAUUGUAGAGAGAACAUACAAUCUUUGAAUUGUAGAGAGAACAUACUGGAAUUGAUGCUCAAAAUUUGGAGUAAAAGGGACUGAGAUGAGAAAUCUUUGGGAUGUUUUGGAAUUUUUUGGAUUAUCAUAGCUUUGAUUUUGAACGUAUGCGGUACUAUGAUUUGAGAAAGUUUGGAUGGUUCCACAUUACUUUGGGAUUUUUAGAUGAUAAAUUUGGUGUAUUUGAUUAGGUGUGUUUAGAGGAGUGAUAUAAACUGGUUAACUAAUUGAUUGUAGGAGUGAAGUUGUUUAUGAUAUUUUACUUUUACUUACUAGAAUACAGUAUUUCUAGGAUAAAAAAAUGUGAAAAUGUAAAAUUUGAAUUAGUAAGUAAAAUGGAGUAAGACAUGCAAUUUCAACAUUCAAAUAUCUUAUGACCUUUUUUUUUUUUAAAUGGACCAAACUAUAUAUAUAUAUAUAUAUAUAGUCCUUAGCCCAAUAAUUGACUAAUUCAAAUGAAUGCAAAUGAGUUACGUUCAUUCCUAAAAUUAUAGUCAACCUCUAACGAGUUGAAAACAAUCCGACUCCAAACCCACCUCAAACUCAACCUUUCCUCCAUGAAAACUCAAGUUUGAAAACAUACAGAGUCUAGAAAGGUGAUUUUAUGGACAAAUCUGAAUUUAUUUUCAGAAAAGGAUUUUGACUAGAAUUCAGAUUUUUACGUAUUGCUCCAUAAACAUCAAGGCAGAGGUAAAAUGAAGCUCUAAUACCAAAUGUAAGACAAAAAAUCAAUCAUAAACAAUUAUAAUGUAAUGAAUUGGAUCGAAAUAUCAAAAAACCUGUGGAUCGAAUCCAUACCUCCAACAAUUGAUGUUGAUUCAACACUCUUAAUUGAUGGUGUAUAUUGUAUUUUCCAGUGCCGGAGGGGGGGGGGUGCUGAGCUUGAGUAUCAAAACCCAUCUAUAUAUAUAUAUAACCAAAAUCCCCAUCAAAUUAUGGCUUCAGUUACCAGCCUUGAUUGUCCAAUUGAUGGGCAAGUUUUUGAAAAACGUUGGACCACACUGAGUGAAGAAAUGGAACGAUUACACAAUAUUGUACCAGAUUCCUCCUAGGAACACACAAUAACUAGCGUGGACUUACGAUUAUCUAUGCAACUAGCUCACUUUGCAUUUGAGUAAGCUUCAAGCAACGAACCUAAAAUGAAGACCAAAGUUUAGUAGUAUGCUUAAGAUAUAUUAGAUUUUGUUUGUAGGCCUAACAAUACAUUCAGAGUUAAAAUAAUUACACAUCAUCAUAUCAUCAAUUAAAUCGAGACACAGUUUGAAUAGAACAUGUAAUCAAAGAUCUUGAUUGUAUAACACCCACAAUAUCUAGAUUGCUCGGAUACCAAUUAUUGAAAAGAGAACGAGAAUUACCCAAAAAUAAAAAAUAAAAAAAUCCUUAAUUUAAGAAACUGAGAUCAUACUAGAUAUUCACAUAUAUGUUAUAUUCUUGAAUAUAUAAAUUUAAAAUUUUCCUAAAUUCGAUAACCAAAUUCUUGGCCAGAUCACGAAAUGUCAUCUUUUUAUUUGAAGAACAUGAUGCUUCCAACUUUCAAAUCUUCUAUGAUAUUUGUUAUAAAAAAGUGAGAUGGGAAAAAAAAUCACUGGUAGGGAAGGAGAAAUUAACCAUAUCAAAGAUGAUUACAAAAGACGCUACCACUCCGAAUAAUAUGAUGUUAUGAAACCUUAAUAUGUAUUGUAUAGGGCAACUUACAAAAAUACCCUUAAAAUUAGAGGUGUUUUGAAAAAUCAUAUGAAAAGUUUUUAGGAAGUAAAAAAUACUGUGUAAAAUAUAAAAAGUGACACAAUGUCACUUUUUUAUAAAAAUUGUCCCUUUUUUUUUUUUUUACAAAUGCAAAAAAAGUGACAGGAACACUAAAAAAGUGAGAAACACCAAAAUAGCACCAUCCAUUUGGACAGCACCACUAAUUACAUUCUUAAUAUAAUCAGCAUAUCUACGACAAUUCACUUGAGCUUAAUGACGGUUCUUAACAUAAUCAACAUGUGGAUUGUUAAUGUCCUAAUUAUGUGAGGAAAAUAUAACAUAUUAUGUCACUUUUUUAUCUUCUUCAAAAAGUGACAAAUAUUUAAAAAAGUGACAAAAACUUAGAAGGUGACAUUAAAACUCAAAAAAAGUGACACAUUGUAACUUUUAAAAGUUUGGUGUCACUUUUUUAUUAAAAAAUGACAUACAAUCUCACUUUUAUUAAAAAAAAAAAUGAUGUUUGCCAUUGAAAAGGUGAUAAAAAUUUCAAGAAGUUGACUUAAAAAAAGUAAUGAACAAUAAAAAAAAGUGACAAAAUUUCAAAAAAAAAAAAGUGGCAAAAUUUCAAAAAUGUGACAAAUUAAAAAAGUGACGAACACUAAAAAAAGUGGUGAAUUUAAAAAAGAGAUAGAAAUCAAGAAGGUGACAAACAUUAAAAAGUGACGAAAAUUCAAAAAAAAAGUGACGAAUUCAAAAAAAUGCAACCAAGUUUACAGUAAGCUCACAAGUCACAACUAAUGAAAAUUGAUGACUAAACUAAGAUGUAAAUAUCAAAAAAUCAUAUAAACGUUCAUCACUAUUAAUCAAAUAAUAUUUUUUGCGGUCUUCAAAUCAUAACAUAUCCUACAGUUUGCAUACUGACCAAACAGUUUACCAAACUCGGACAAUAUUUUGAGUACCCGAAAAUCACUGUAAUAUGGGAAACGUUGUUCUUCUGGGGCACUGCAUCAAAAAAUCUGCAUGCUAAUUUUAUCUUCCUGCAAUCUUGGUACCCUCAGAUCAUAGCAUUCCAGGAAGCAAAACUAUUCCUUGGCAUCUGUUGAAACAAUGCAUAUCCCUGCCCCUUGCAUAACUAGAAACCAUUUCAUUCCAAGAUAUCACAUCCUUCUUUGGCAUUUCAUCGAACACACUUUGAGCUGCUAAAGUUAUGAUCUGAACAGAAAUUUAGAUUUUGCCUUUUAGCAAACUGAAAAAAGGAGUAUAUAUAUAUAUUGCAUACCAAGUUGAAUAGAUGAGAAUUUAGAAUGUGCUUCUAGACAGAGAAACGCAGAGAUGUAGAGAGAGAUGAGACGCUCCAAAGGGGAUGGUGUAUUGAUGAAACCAUUGCAUUCCAAGAUAUAACAUCCUUCUCUGGCAUUUCGUCAAACACACUCUGAGCCAUUACUAAAUCUCCCCGAUUUCACAUACCCUGCUAACAUCAAUUCCAGAAACAACGUUCUUCCAGCAGUCUGAACAAACAACAUUACAAAAACCAUAUUUGAAUACAAAAACAAUAUUACAAAAACAUAAUCAAGUUCUCGUGCAACAUAGUUUCCAAUUUCCACCCAGGACCACGUCGCAGCAGCCAUUGCAAACGAUAGUGCGGUGGUGUUUGCCUAGAAGGGUGAAACACUUCACGAGUACAAGUGGUGUAGCAAGCGGGCUCUCGAUUGGGGAUCUGGUGGUGAAACCGAUUUGAGUUGUGAAUGACUGUGGCGAUGCUCCUCCCCUCAUUCACGAAGGCUUCAGGAGUUUGGAGGUUUAAGGGAGGUUAUAACGUAUUAAUUACGUUGUUGAAUGAUUUUAUUAAUUAAAUAGGGUAUUAAUCAAAUUAGUAAUUUUUUUAGGGCAUUGGGCCUAAUUUACCCUAUUGUAUAUGCAAUAAAAUAGGUCCAUAGCCUGAGUGGAGCCCCUAAACCACCAUAGCGAUUAGUAGUGGGCUGCAGGUCAGGCCUCUCAGCCCGAUCACUCCGCUACCUUUUUCUCAUAAUUUUAUAGUUUCACCACAUAUGUUGCACAACCAGAUUUCCGUUUUGGGUCAAAUAAAAUUCAGGUCACCAUGUUUUAACAAUAUUCUUUAAAGUCAAGAGUACAAAUGAUCCUUUCAAGAUACUCCAUACGUACAAGUGUCAUCAUUAAACUAUUUAUGCAAUAAAGACAAAUCAUAAUCUCAAAUAAUAAAUUAGUCAACACGACAAGUUUCUAAUACAAGUCAGACCUUAUAUAUCAAUAUUGAACAAGUUUAUUUAUGAUCAAAAUAUAAGUAUAGUGUACUUCUUCACUGAAACACCCACUUAUAGUAUCACUACUGAUCAUUGACAUUUUUAUUCAAAUGCUCUAUAUUAAAUAAAAUGCAAUAACACUAAAUAUAUAAAAAUAAUGUGUUGUUUAAUAAAAUUUUCAUUUUACAACUCUGAAAAACUAUAUUAUAUAGACAUGCAAUCCAGUGAUUAUCCUCCUUGGGAGAAAGAACACUUCUUAGAGUUGGAAAAUUCUUCCAUAUGGAGGAAAUGACUGAUUUCAUGGACUUGAGGAUUCAAGUAAAGAAAUUGAGCUCUUGUAUUGACGUUGUCACCAUUAUCUUUCUUCUAGUCAUCAUUAGUCACUACUUCUUUCACUAGUUUGAUCUGACUGACGAUAAACGAUAGGUUUUCCAGUCUUUGGGAGAAGGGAUUCAACUUGGUCGUGUUGUUGCUUCCCAUCUUGGCGGCGCUUCCUACAAGAGGUGUCAUUUUGUUGAUCCAUGAUUUUUUUGGGCAAAUAUUGGCCAACAUAGAGUGAGUUGUAACUUGUCUAGGCAACAGAAUCUUGCUUCUUUUACUUUCUCUCCAUCUUAGACUCCACAAAAGUUAUUUUACUUAAUGCACUUAGUUCAACUUUAGCGAUCAAGUAUAUCUAAUUAAAGUCCAUAUUUUCCGUGUAAUUAUCUAUAGAUUGUGUUCCCUUUAUUUCUAAAUUUCUAAUUCUAUAUUGUAUUUCUCCGAGAGUUAUGUAUAUUUUAUUUAUUCUAUUAUUUGUAUUGAUUAUUCUAUCCUAAUCUUUCUAUAAUUUGCUAUGGUUUUUACGUUUAUUAUGAAUUUCUUCUUUUAUUCCUAAACAAUUAUUACACUAAAUUUUCAAACAAUUUUACAUUAAUUUCUAUUCUUAUGCACUAGGUAUAUUUUACAUAUUUUAUAUUUAUCCAUCAUUUAUAGACACAUUUUCAAAAAUUCUAUUUCUUCUAAACUACUAUUCUAUACUUGUCUUCAAGACUACUUAAUAUUUCUAAAUCGUCUAAUUCCUCAUUUGUAUGAAUACUAUAUACAUACAAAAUUCAUUACCUGAUAAUUUUAUAAUAUUGUACUAUAUUUCUUCAAUUAUCAUAGAUUUAUUUAAAAUUUCCCUAUUUUUAUUUUUAUUAGGGCAUUUAUUAGCAAAAGGUUUGGGUUCUCCACAAAUAUAACAUUAUAGUCUUUUCAACUUUUUGGCUUUUUAACAUGCCUUUAAUAACUGGGUCUUUUAAUUUUGUAAUAUGUCAUACUCGGUCUAAUAUUAUACUUUCUUAUUUUGGCAUUUUCUUUUGUAUUUAUGAUUUUUUUUUUUUUUAUAUAAUUUUUUUCUUUCUUUUUCUAUAAUCAUAUGCCUAUCGCGCAUAUAAAUUUGAAAAAAAAAUGAAUAAUUUAAUUUCUAUAUUUAUUUUCUAAUUAUUUCUUUUAUACAAUAAUUUUUUAAUUUAUCAGUGAUUAAUUAUAUAUUAGCACUAUAAAUUUUUCAUUUUAUUCCAGGUGCUGAUUCUACAUCAUUUUCUAAUCUUAUCAUUCCAAGGUGAUAAUAUCUUUCUAUAUAAUCUGUGAAGUAUAGAUACAUCUAAUGCUAAUCUUGCUACACUAGCUAGUCUUUCAAAGUCUAAUAAAAAUAGUUUUGUGUACUUCAUGUUGCUUAUAAUUAAUUUUUCUAAUUCUUCAAAGGCUUUGUUUUGUUCAUAUGAUUUAUCUGUUCUAGGGUUAGAUCAUAUAAUUAUUUCUCUAUUAAAGCUAGUAAUCUUUCUUGGAUUUUCUCCUUUGAUCAUUCUUAAUCUAAUUUCUUUCGACUUUAGACUUUUGGCUGUAACAUAUAUGUAUAAUGUCAUCUUUCCUAAAUAAGUUUCUAAAUAAGCCCACAUUUCAUCUAAAGUCCUUUAUGUAGAGACACUAUUAUAUGCCUUAAUAACAUAAUUUUUCCAUUUAGUUAUUGUAUUAGGUUUGUCUUGAGGUUUACAAUUAUUUAUUUCUAAAAUUAAUCAUCUAUUACUUGCUAUAGGUAAACUACAUUCUCCUUCUACUUGUCUUUUUCUUAAACUUUUAUAUUAUGUGUAAUAUCCCGAAAUUUUAGUAGAAUAGAAUUUAAUUUUUUGGUAUACUAUAUUUUAAUAUUUUGAAAGUUUAGGGACUAAAGUAUAUAUAAAGUAAAUUUCAAUUGGGUCAUAUAUUUAGAUAAAUAUGACCGAGCAAUAAUAAGUAUAUAAAUAUUGGGCUCGUUGGAUAGAUCAUAAUUAAAAAUGCAUAUUAAGCUCGAUAAAAAGUUAAUUUGGAUUAGUGGAGCCUAAGUUAUCGAAGUCGGAAGAUAUAACCUUAAAUUAUAUUUUAAAUGAGUUUAAAAAAAAAAUAAGAGAGAUAUAAGGAACCACGAGAGAGAGAGAGAUGCGCUGUUUAAAUUGAAAUUCAAAUUGUUUGAAAUGCUGCCACGAGUAGUCGAGUAUGGAAAUAUAUUGAUUUUUGGGUGAUAUGAUUGAUUGGCAAGACUUAGUUUAAUAUUUUGUUUCAAAUACGAUUUCCUCAACUUUUAUCCCAUUUAACCACUAUAUCUUACACGUUUCCCACUACAUGCCAUCUGUUGGGAGUUAGGUUAUUGUUGCCCAUGUAUAUCUAUACAAAUAUGAUAGAGAGGACAAAAAAAUAACACGGUGAUCACAGUAGAAGCAGAAAAAAGGGACGUUAUACUUAUUUUGUCUUCCAAAAAUCAAAACAAGUUCACAAGAUAGGAUAUUGAGAUCCAGUGUUUUUCUAUCCCAUUUAAAUAUUUGUUUUUCAUGUUGAUGAAUUUCAUACUCAUAAAAGUUAAAGUUAUAAUAUGAUAUGCUAUGAUAUGAAUCAUAUGACCAUUUCGGUACAAUGAUAUGAUAUGAGAUGAGCUCUUACCGAAUUUAAAGAUUUAAGACAUUAUGAUAUUUUGACACAUGCUUUAAAAUUUUUAUAAGGGAUUGCACCAUAAAUUUUUAUAUCCUACUGAGUAUUCUCAUGUACUCACCAUUUUUCCUACACCUCAUAGCUUAGAUCGGGUCGUGUCGGAGCACGGUGGUUCGAUGGUGUGGUUGUGCCUCAUUUUGCUAGAUAAAGAUGUAAUUUAGAACGUAAUUUUAUUUCUUUUAAGUUUAUUGUAAAAGACGCUUAUUUUUAAAAAAAAAAAUUUUAAAAAAUUCGUACAUGUUUAUUCGCAGAUGAAUAUAUGUAGUUUGCAUUUUAAAUAAAAUUUGAAUUAAAUAUUAUUUCUUCUACUGAUUUCAUUGUUUAAAAGUAAUUGGUUAUGUAGCCUUGUUCGUGUGAAAGAUUAAUGUUAUGUACUUUUUCGUGACCUUCCCAGACUUCAUGAAAAUUUAAGGUCAAAUCAAUGAUUCCUUACUUGUCACAUCACGGUUUCAUUGUCUCCCUUAGGUAUACUACACGACAAAUUGGAGGCUUUAAACAUGGUUGACUGGUGGACAUAUCCAUACAUUAAAUAUAUGUCUCAUUGCCUUGUGAUGUAGUGUGUGAAUUCUUUAAUAAAGUAAGACAACUUUUUGGGAGUAUUCUCUCAUUUUGGAGCGUGUCCCAAGUCUUGAAAAAAGAAAAAAGCAUAUUAACUUUGAUUGGGAAUUUCACUUAUUCUAUGUAAAUAUAUGGAAUUCAUCUCAUAUAUAUAUAAUGUCAGAUGGUAAUUGUUUCACACGUGAACAAUUAAAAGAACGGGGUUUUUUCUCUAAUCAUUAAAUUGCAAAUUUUAUGUGCUCUUUUUUUUUUUUUAAAUGUACACGUGGAAGAUAUGGUGUAGGAAAAUAUUUUUUCUUUCCUUUCUAUUGAUUAAUAUGUAUUUCUUUUUACGCAAAUUUGAGUAAAUUACCAUUUCAUAACUAUAUAUUUUAUUGUGCCACGCUAUUUAAAUUUACAUGAAAAUUUUGGUAACAAUUCAAACCUUUAAUUAAAUUUGGGUCGUUGCAUUUUAUCUUCCCAUUCAUAUAAUUUUUUAGGGUAAAAAGGGUACUUCCCUCCAAUAUCAUAUUUUUUUAUUCAUAAUCUCUUUUCCUUUUCUAGAUUUUUGGUCUGUUUUCAUUCUAAUUUCAACAUUCUUUUGAUCUUCCUCUAAUAAAGCUUUUAUUUCUACUUCUUUGUACUUUCCAAGAUUCCUAUAUUAUUCAAUAUCUAUAUAUCUAAAAAAAAUUUCAUCUUCGCUUUCGUCUUCACUUUGCACUUCUUCACUAUAUAUAUAUAUAUAUAUAUAUAUAUAUUCUUCUUUCAUUCUCAUCUUUUUUUUUUGUCUGAUAAUUAUAAUUUUCAAUAUAAUACUUAGAGUUCCAUUACUAUUUUUAUAAAUGAUAUUAUAUUUGGUAUCAAUAUUGGUUUUUUCAAAAAAUUUCUAUGUUCCAAUCUAAAUCUGCAUUUAUUUCUAAAGUGAAUUUUUUUUAGCUAGGAUGGUUUUUAUACCGUUUAGUUCUAAUAAAAUAAUUAUUUGAUUAUGUUCAAAUUUAUAAUUAGUAGUGCUAUUUUCACUAAAUCUUCUUAUAAAUCUGUACCAAUUAACAAAUUAUCUCAUCUCUUUUCCUUUUUGUUCUAGUAACAUAAUUGUUUGAUCAUUUCUAAUUUAUAAUUAGUAUUGCUAUUUUCACUGAAUCUUCCAAUCGAUCCUGUACAAAUUAACAAAUUAUCCGCAUCUCUUUUCAUUCGAUAUCCUUUAGAUUUCACUCAUAUUUUAAUGUCUAUAUAAAAAAUUUUUGUUUUAACUAAACAAUAUAGUGUAAGUGAUGUAGAUUGAAUCUACAAACACACGACAACAAUAACGAAACGGAUUGAAUUCAGAAACAAACUUUUAUUAUUUCGUGAACAACCAAGAAAACCUUAGGAGGCGUCUUGUGGCGUCUUAAAUAUGAAAGAAAAGAUAACCUACUGGGCUAGCAGUCCCAAAAUGGGCUGGGCUACAAAAUGGAAAUAACAAAUGCUGAAAAUAAAUAACACAAAAACUUAAAAUGCUGUUUUGACACACUAAACGACUUCAAAUGCCCAAAAACCCUCGUACAUCACAGCAAAGCUGUGAGUUCAAUCUGAAACGCUCGCUACCUUUCCGAAAUGGGGUUAUGGGCCCAAAACGGACACCAAAUGCAAAAGUUACAUCAAUUUCUUUGAAAGCCGACCAUCCAACUGUUCGGGUAUGCCAAUACCUGUUCCUCCACAUAAACCUCAUCAUUCUCCGGGGGAUCAAUGGGAUUCGCCCUCGAAUCAAAAUCGGUAGCACUAUCUCCCACGUUGUCUCCAUGGUAUGGCAAAAGAUGCUUUACAUUAAACACAUCAGAAGUCCGUAUAUGGGAAGGAAGUCGAAGGCGAUAGGCGUUGGGGUUGAUCUUCUCCACAAUUUCCACUGGACCAAUGGUACGAGGUGAUAACUUCGAAUGCUCAACGUCAAACUCAACAGGACGUCGAUGCCGAUCAGCCGCCUCUUUAUACUUACGGUUGGACUCUAGCAGAUUAGCUCGUUUUUCCUCGUGAACUUGUUGCAAACUACGAACAAAGUCAAUAGCUGUCCCAUGCAGCCGAGUCUUAGAGGACAGAGCCAAUAAAUCAACAGGGCUGCGGGGCAGAAUACUAUACACAACCUGGAAUGGACUGAAAUCGGUGCUUCUAUUUCUAGCAUGAUUAUACACAAACUAUGCUUGGCUAAGCCGCUAAUCCCAUGAGCGUAGAUUAUCCCCAACCAAGCACCGCAACAAGUCACCCAAAGAACGAUUAACUACCUCAGUUUGCCCAUCAGUUUGAGGGUGAUAAGCACUACUAAAAUUGAGCGACGUGUUAACUGACUUCCAUAAACUCCGCCAAAAGUGACCGAUGAACCUCGUGUCUCUGUCAGACACGAUGGAAGUGGGCAACCCAUGCAACCGAUAAAUUUCUCUGAAAAAUAGUUGAGAAACUUUGACAGCAUCAAUGGUGCGCUUGCAGGGAAUGAAGUGCACCAUUUUAGAAAAACGAUCUACCACCACAAAGAUGGAAUCAUUACCACGUUGUGUGCGCGGUAAACUCAGGACAAAAUCCAUGCUAAUAUCAGUCCACGGAGCUGAAGGCACUGGUAAGGGUCGAUAAAGACCAGCGUUUGUGGCUUUCCCCUUUGUCACGUGGCACACCCUGCAUCGUGAGACAAACUUUUCCACUUCACGACGCAUAGUAGGCCAGAAAAAUGAACCGCUAAUCAAAGCCAAAGUACGAUCUCGCCCAACAUGACCUUCACCAUGAAACUCCUCAAUCAAUUCAAACGAAGGCUGCAAUCUGGUAUACACAACUGAAUACCUCUAAACACAUACCCAUCCUCUAACAGAAAAGAGGAAUGGGGUCCCUGCAGUAAACUGUGAUAGAUGGGGCCAAAAUAAGGGUCAUCAGCAUAAAGAGAGACGAAGGUCUCAAACCCGGUGACCGCUACCUGUAGCCGCGCUAAUAACCCAUGCCGCCGACUGAGCACAUCUGCCACACGAUUAGAAGAACCAACCUGAUGUUUAAUGACAAAGUUGAACUGUUGCAAAAAGGCAACCCAUGAUGCAUGACGGGCAGAUACAGACUCCUUGCUUGACAAAUGCUUGAGGGCUUUAUGAUCACUGUAUAAGACAAAUUCUCGCUGAAACAGAUAAUGUCGCCAAUGGCGAAUGGCCUGAACAACAGCUUAAAGCUCUGCGUCGUAAGUGCUAUACCUUCCACGAGCCCCUACCAACUUCUGACUGAAAUAAGCUACUGGUUUUCCUUCCUGACUGAGGACAGCUCCAAUACCUAAUUUAGAGGCAUCACCAUGUAAUGCAAAAGAUUUUGUGAAAUCAGGCAACGCAAGUAUCGGGGCUGAAGUCAGACGCUCCUUAAUGAUCAAAAAUGCUUUCUCAGCUUCGGGUGUCCACUGAAACUUACUCUCCUUCAUGCAAUCAGUAAUGGGAGACAUAAUGGUGCUAAAAUGCUGAGUAAAUCGUCGAUAAAACGACGCUAAACCGUGGAAACUCCGCACAUCAGAAACUGACUGUGGACGCGGCCGCUGCCGAAUCGCAUCAACCUUAGCUGCAUCCACCGUUACCCCACCGGCUGACACAACAUAUCCCAAAAACAAAACACUAUUGGUAUAGAACACGCACUUCUUAGUGGCUGCAAAGAACUUCUCCUUGCGUAAAACAGUAAGGACUUCCCUUAGAUGCACACCAUGAGACUCCUCCGACCCACUGUACACCAAUAUGUUAUCGAAGUAUACAACAACUCACUUACCAAUAAACGGUCGAAGUGCUUGGUUCAUCUCCCGCAUGAACGUGCUCGGUGCAUUGGAUAGUCCAAACGGCAUAACUAGCCACUCAAAUAAUCCCUCCCGUGUCUUAAAUGCUGUCUUCCACUCAUCACCAGGACGGACUCUUAUCUGAUGGUAACCACUUUUCAAGUCCAGUUUGGUAAACACGGUUGCGCCAGCCAAUUGAUCAAGCAAGUCAUCUAGCCUCAGUAUCGAAAAGCGAUAACUAACUGUUAUUUUGUUGAUGGCCCUGCUAUCUAUACACAUCCGAUAACUUCCAUCUUUUUUUGGCACUAGGAGUGUGGGGACUGCACAUGGGCUGAGGCUCUCUCUGAUGUACCCCUUCUGCACCAACUCCUCUACUUGUCUCCUCAACUCCUCAUGUUCCACUAGGCUCAUUCGAUAAUGUGGGCGAUUAGGCAAUGACGCGCCCGGUACCAAAUCAAUGUGAUAUUGCAUAUCCCGCAAAGGCGGAAGACCCUGUAGAAGGUCAUCCGGAAACACAUCAUGAAACUCAAACACCAAGGCGGCAACUUUGGGGUGAAGACCCGUCCCCUCGGCUGCCAUAGGAACUGUCGACACUCCUAUCGCCUCAGUUCCCACUAACAACAGUACAACACUUUCUGCCAGCAUCUCACACACAAAUAAAGAUCGGGAAAGUAGAUUACUACUGUCCCCUGCCGAAGACAGACACUGCGUAUCUUUGGAGGGUAGUAGUACAAUCUUUUUACCCGAAAAGGUGAAUGUAUAUGCAUUUCGACGCCCUUCAUGUCACACAUCCCUAUCAAACUGCCAUGAACGACCCAACAACAAAUGACACGCAUCCAUCGGCACCACAUCACACCAAACACUAUCACGAUACACACUGCCAAUAGAAAAAGAUACCAACACACGGCUAGUAACACGAAUUUCAUUACCUCGUCUCAACCAUGCUAGGCUAUAGGGAGCAAGAUGAGGUUCGGUGCUUAACUGUAGCUUCUGCAUGGCCGCUUCAGAUAUCACAUUUUCGAAACUGCCCGAAUCAAUGAUGAACCUACACACCUUUCCUCCAAUGGUACACGUAGACAGAAAGAUAUUGUUCCGCUGCAGGUCCUCAGACGACCCCUUAGGCGUAAGGCACGCCCAUCGGAUCACCAAAAGAGGCCCCGUGUCACCUGUAUGCACAAUUUCAGCCUCUUCUCCUUCAUUCUCCACAUGAACAGGAUCGUUAACAUCGGCUUGUGUUGUCCUUCCAAUGAACAAACCUGGGCGUGGCUACCCAUAAGAUGGACAGUUCUUCCUCAAAUGACCAAAACCACCACAACCAAAACACUGACUUCCACGCCCUCGUCCACCAAGAGGAGCCCAACCACCCGGAUUAGCGGUUGGAGGAACCACUGGCCGAGUGUUCCGAUCAACGCCCUGACCCCCAGAUGUAAAGGAUUGGGACGGACUAGAUGUGAGAUUUGGGGCGAAUUUUCGACCCCCACCUCCAGAUGGACCACCAGAAAUGCCUACUACAGAACGACGUUGUUGUUGAUUUUCAGCCUGAAGUGCUCGCUGGUGAGCCUCAGAAACAGAUACCGGCGAGAACAUAUUUAGGACGUCUUGCAAAUUCAAUCGUAGUCCAACAAUAUAGCGCGCUACCAACUGAUCUUCUGAUUCUCCCACAUCAUUUCACGCUAUCAGUUGGUAAAACUCUGUGGAAUAAGCAUCUACAGAUCGAUUGCCUUGUCUCAAAUUCUGUAAGCGCUGAUACAAAGUCCUAGAAUAAUUAAAGGGAAGAAACACUGCCUUCAACUGUUUCUUCAUUUUUUCCCAUGACUGGACUUUCGCCUUACCCUGACGGAUCCGAUUUUGCUUCAGUUGCUGCCACCACGCAGCAGCACGACCACGCAGACGGGUCGCCACCAAAGGUACCCUUUUAUUGUCGGGCACUUCUUUAUAAUCCAAGAUCUCCUCUACUGCCGCCAGCCAAUCGAGGAAUUCAUCUGCCUCAAUUCCACCGUGAAAUUCAGGUAUAUCAACCUUGAAUCCGGAUUCCCAUCGCUGAAACGCGUCUUGCUGUUGCACACGAGGCUGUUGAACACGAUCGCCACGUGCCUUUGACAAGGUCUCCUCAUCCGACCUCUCCCCUGAUUCAGAUCCCCCUCCACCAUCACUCACUGGGGCACGACGUGGAGGAGCAGGAGGUGUUCCGUUCUGCACAACCUCUGCUGCCCACGUCAUGAAUUGAUCAAAUCGGAUUGUCAACGCCUCAACUUGAUUACGCAGAUCUGCAACCUCAUCAAUCUGGCCACCACGGCCACCACGUCCUCUCCCACACACCAUGCUCUGAUACCAAAAUGAUGUAGAUUGAAUCUACAAACACACGACAACAAUAACCAAACGGAUUGAAUUCAGAAACAAACUUUUAUUAUUUCAUGAACAACCAAGAAAACCCUAGGAGACGUCUUAUGGCGUCUUAAAUAUGAAAGAAAAGAUAACCUACUGGGCCAGCAGUCUCAAAAUGGGCUGGGCUACAAAAUGGAAAUAACAAAUGCUGAAAAUAAAUAACACAAAAACUUAAAAUGCUGUUUUGACACACUAAACGACUUCAAAUGUCCAAAAACCCUCGUACAUCACAGCAAAGCUGUGAGUUCAAUCCGAAACGCUCGCUACCUUUUUGAAAUGGGGUUAUGGGCCCAAAACGGACACCAAACGCAAAAGUUACAUCAAUCUCUUUGAAAGCCGACCAUCCAACCGUUCCAUGUAUGCCAAUGCCUGUUCCUCCACAUAAACCUCAUCAGUAAGGUAAAUUAUAACUCCUUUAUUAUUCAUAUCUAAUUUUGUUCUUCCUAAUAGUCCUUAUUCUAAAAUUGUAAAUCUGUUAUCAUAUAAACAUAUUUAUAUUUUAGCUCCUAAAUUUUCUCUAUGUAGCCUUUUUACUACUACUAUAAUUAAUCCUAAAUGAGGUCGUUGAAGAUUUUUAUUAACAAUUUCUUCAUACGAUUCUUUUUCUAUUAGUUUUGAAGAUACGAAUUGGUCUUCAUGUGUACAUGAAACAUGUCUUUCUGCAUAAUAUUGAUAUAUUAAAGACUUGUUAAAGAUAUAUUCCUUUCUUAUAAAUGUCUAAAACUUUUUCAAAUUUUUAACGUAUUUUAUCUAAAAGUUUUUAUCUGUUCCUCAACAUCUAUUAAAGAUUCUAAUCUUGUUUCCGAUUCUAUUUUUUUCUUAACUUAAUGAUCUUAUUAAAGGAUUGCUUAACAUUCUACUACAAGCCACAAUUUAUUUUCCUUUAUUCAAUACGUAUAAAUCCACUUAGUGUUCUUAAAUCUGCUAGAUUCUUUAGUUUUUCCCAAGUCUAAAUUUUCUAACUUAUUUAUUAAAAUGUCAGUCUUGUUUAUGAGUAUCUAUUGAUUUUUCUUUUUCUAAUUUUUGUGUUCUACUUUCUAAUUUGUUGAAGCUAAUCUUUUGUAAAUUAUUACAAUUUUCUUGUAAAUUUUCAAUCUGUUAUAGAGAUUUUUCUAUGGAAUUUUUAUAUAUAUUUCACUUGUGUUGCAAAACUUCAUUUUUUGUAUUUCACAAUUUUGAUUUCUAAUAUAUUCUAAAUUAUUUUCUAAGGUCUUUAUGUUUUUACUUAUUGCUCGUUGAGAUAUUUAUUUCUAAUCUUUCUUCUAGAUUUACAAUUAAAUCUACAAUAUUAUUAACUGUUUAUCUUCAAAACGUAAAAGAUGUUAAAACUUCUCUCAACAUAUGCAAUUGUAACUGGUACAUCAGUAAUAUUCUAUAAACAAAUCACACAUUUAAAAAACAACCGUUAUUUUUAUAUCGUCUAAAACUUUGUUAACCUCUUUGGUGUCUUCUAACAAAUGAUUUUUAAUCAUUUGUUGCUUAGAAAAUAAAUUUAUGUUUAUAAAUAUCAUAAUCCUUGUCAUGCUUAAUUUUUUUCAAGCUUAUUGCAUCAACACCUCAAACAAUUAUCUUCUCAGUUUGCAAAUUUUUUUAAAUCAAACAAAAAAUCAAAAGCAUUUUCAUAUUUUAAAAAUUGUUCAAAGAUUAACCUAGGAGAAGAAAGAACUUAGUCAACUAUAGAUAAUAAAUAAUAAACUCUAAAAGAUUUCUCAGCAUAAUGUUUUAUCUCACCUUUAACAUUUUGAUCAAAGUGCUUCUUUCUAUGAUAAUACAUGAAAUGUAGAUUCAACUUCAACUCAAGCAACGAUUUCUUUAAGAGUAAUCUUGUCAGAUUCAAAUUCAGUUUCUCUACAUAUUUCAAAGAAUAAAAUAUGUUCUUUUAAAGUUGAUAAUAGUAACGCCAAUAUACAUAUUCUUAUUUUGUAACAUUUUUCUUACUCUAAUAAUGGUACACAAUGUAUUACACCAAUAAUCAUGUCAAAUAAGAACUCAAAAUUCUUAUUGUCAUAAGAUAAAUUUUUAGCAUCCCCAAAUAUCUUAGCAUCAUCACAUGUUUUCCCUAAGUGUCUUAAAGCAGCUUUUAUUUCUGAUGAUUAAAUUUUAUUGCUUUGGCAUUUCCAACUUAGCGUUCUUAAUGUGUUUGUGAAAGUGCCUUAAGUCUUAGAUCUUUCACAUUAUCCCGAAGAAUUUUUCAUUGCUUUGUAGAAGAUGAAAAUAAUAUAUGUACAAUUUCAAAAAACAUUUAGCUUCGAUAAAAAAAUUUGUCAUAUCACAAAGUUCAAUAAUGUAAGACCCCUUUUUUGUGUGAAAUUUUCUUUUAUAUGUAUACACACACACACACACCCCUUGCAGCCAAAUAAGGAAACAAAGCAACAAAUGGAAACAAACGGUGUAUGGAAACUCUAUUCUUAUUCUUCUUCUCUUUGGCACUUCAUUUUAAGUUGGUGGGAAAAUAUUAAAAGAGCGUAACUUUGACAAAAUCUAUUGGACCUUGAUUGCAAGACUCAAUGGUAAAUAUACCAGCCUACUCUUGGUUGCUCCAAACAAAUGGGGUGCAUAUUACAUUAGAUUGCACAAUUUCUUAAACAAAAUGACAAUCCUCGUAAGAUGUUUAGUUCGUUCAUAUAAAGCAAUCGUAUAACUUCUUGAUUGUCACCAAACAAUUUGGGUGAAGAAAAAGUGGCAAGCCCCAAAUCUCCAUGUAGGCAAUCAAGUUACUUCACUAGUGAUUGAGGACAUAGCGUGAUUUAUGAAGCUUCUGCACUAGAGUGCUCAAUAACAUUCAAUUUAUUGCUUUUCAUCUCACUAACUUACCCCCAAAAGAUGUAUAAUAUCCAAUUGUAGAUUUGCAAUUAGAAUCAUUAUAUGCAUCAAUGUCUUUCUAGAUCCAACACAUUCUCAGAGUAGGAAUUGCGAUCCCUAGAAAUAUUUUCUCAUCCCCAGAUCCUUAUUAAACAACCUUUGUGUAAUAGUAUUUAAGUUUUGAGAUUUUAACGUCAUCUUCACAUGUAAUUACAAUGUCAUCAAUACAUACCAAUAUGAUCGUGGCACUUGUAGCUCCUUUUAAGCAACUAAUGAGAGGGUUAAGUAGAGAUCAUUUUAAAGUUAUUUUCCAGAAGAAUAGUAGCUUUAGCAUGUUGAAAGUUGAUUCAGAAAUUAUCCAAAUUUAAUUUAGUCUUUAAUAUUUAUUUUUCAUGCAGAUUCUUGCUGCUUAAUUCACUAUUUUUUAUUAAUAAAUAAGUCUGAAAGUAGUGGCAAUAAUAUAUGAUAUUAGUUGAAAUUUUUUAGCUUUUCAGUUUGCUUGUAAGCCUUUAAAUAAGCACUUUCAAUUCUGGAAUAAAUGAAGCGGCAGAUAACUUGCAUAUUCUGCAUUUUUUAGUUUUAUUUUCUCUCUGCAAUUUCCUUUUUUAAUACUCCACUACUCUAAAUUCCCAACAAGGCAUACCAAGCUAAAGGUGACUACUUGAGCUUAUACAAAGCCUUCUAUCGAAAUGUGAGUCUCGCCUAUGACACGGUGGGACAUUUAUAUAAACUUCUUCUUGCAAAAAUGCAUUUUUUUCACGUUCUUUGAAAUAAUUUUUAUCCUUGACCACGAAAAAGAUAAGUACUUUAGCCAUGUUUGGUGUAGUUAAACUUUAAAUAUUUACUAGAAUUUUAUAAAAGUUGAUGAGAUGUGUAGUUGAAAAGUUGUGAAUUUCAUAAAAUGUGUGAUUAAAAUUAAUUGUUCACUUUAACUUACAUCAGACAAAGGGUAAACAACAACAUGAACAAAAGUUUUCCUAUAGCAUUUUGCACAUGUUCAAGUAAAACCAGUUACAAACUCGUGUCAUUCAAUAAUGUCACCACUCUUGUAUUUAUUCUUGCAAGUCCAGCUACAGCUCAAUGUUUUCUUUACCCAUGGCAGCUUAACAAUUUCCUUGCUUUUGUUCUUAUCAAGAGCACUUAGUUAAUUUUCCAUAGCUUUUCUCGAAUGAUGUCUGAAUUUUCUUUGACAUAAUCUUGGUUUUUGAUGGUCAAAUAGCUAAGAAUACAUAAUAUGAUUGUGCCACAUUUUCGUAUGUCAAAUACGCUUGCAUAGGAUAGUUGACAUCUGUAUUUUAAAAUCCAUGCAUAUGUUUCGCAUAUGUUUGAUGUAUUUUCGAAACACCUUGUAUAUAGGGUAUGCACUUGAUAAUGUGGUCAACCCAUUUUGUUGAUCGUAUAUGCACACUUAAAAACGCCAAAAUGCACAUUCAUUUCUAUUAAAAAUCGUGUCAAAAUUAGUGUGGCAAAGCCAAUGCAUUUUCAUCUUAAAAAAAUGUAAAUUGAGCUCAAUAAAUAUCAAAUUAGCCCAAAUCACCCAACUUCAUGGAUUAUAUACAACAAUAUGUAAGUAUUUAUGUUUAUAAAAAAAAAAAAUCAGAAAUCAAGAAUUUUUUUUCGUAGAGUUGCAAACUAAAUACAUCGAACUCGAGCCUCCUUCUUCUUCUGUCUUCCGCUAGUUUUACUAGCAAGUGAUGCUAGUUGUGUCCAAUCUUGAAUUGUUGAUGAUUAUGAUAAUGAAGAGGAGAUUACCAUUAAUAUCUUACCAUCUACAAGAAGUAAUACAAGUUUUUCAAUUGAAAUGAGGGAACAUGAUAAAGAUGACUUUGUAUUGGAGAACGCAAAAAGAUGAUUUGGAUGAAAAAGAGGAGAAUGAAUUGGAAUCUGAUAAACAACUAGACAAGAUUUAGAAUUUUUUAAAUCGAUGUCUGUGUCUAAUCUAAUUAUAAGAAUUGAUUAUCAAGUAAUUGUAGUAUUUAUAUUUUUGAGCAAUAUAUUUUUGUUGAAAUUAUGAAAAAAAAAUAUGAAGUUCAAGAAUUGUAGUGUUUAUAAUUUUAACCGAUACAUACAUACAUAUUUAUUGAAAAUUUGAAGAACAUGUAUAAGGUUUAGAGAAUCCAUUACUUUAUUUAUUUAUUAGUUUAGAAUAUUUAAAAUAAUAUCAAAAGUUGGAAAAUAUAUAAUUGUGUAUAUGCUUCGCAUAAGCACGCAUAUGCUUGUAAUGCUUGAUGGUUAACCGAAAUGUAUUGCUAUGCAUUAGUAUUUUAGAACCUAGGUGAAAUUAUAAUACGUGAGAAGCUAUCUAUCUACUUGAUUUUCUUUGAAGCAUAGAGUCCACUAAGAGUUUGAAUUUCUUCAUUGUGAGCUACAAUUUCACUCGUAAUCUCUGAUUCUAAGAAUUUCUCAAGUUCUUUCCUUAAAAGAAAUAAAACCACCAAUUACUUGUGGGAGAGAAAGCAGAUCAUAUACAUUCCCUUCCUAAGUUGAUUGUCAAAUCUUAUUAUUUCCAUAUACGAUUUCAAUUCUCAAACUAUACAUCAGGGGUGAUGUUAAAAUUAGGGUGUGACUCGAAUUCUAUUUUGAAGAUAAUUGGAGAUUCUAAUUAAAGUCAACUUAAGAAGAAUUCUAUUUGAAAUGCUUCUUGGAAUCUUAUUCAAAGUCUAUUUGGCAAAUUCUGUUGAAAUUCUAUUUGAAAGCCCAAUUGGGAGUUAAAAUUUGUAUUGAACUUGAAGAGAACAAGAUAUGGACAAAAGGAAUGACGAAAAACAUCAUUGGAGCAAUAUUUCCCGAGAUCGGGUGCUCCAACGCCAUGUUGCGGCUCUAGAAGAAAAAAAAGAACAGUGGUUGUGAACCCUGGCACCGGUUGGAUGCCUUGGGCCAAGAGGAUGAUGGUGUCCCAGCGCCAUCUGUAUAAGAAAAAUCCUAUUUUGACGUUGAUUCUUGAAUUUUACUUCAACCAGAAUUUCACUAUAUAUACUUAGCACUUCAUUCUUUUUAGAUUAUGCUAGACAAAAUAUAAAUAUAAAAUCAUUGUAUUCUUUCUCCAUAUUUUAAUAAAUUCUCCUUUUCUCUACAAAUUAUUUUGUUCUUGAGUUUGUGAUCAAUUACUAAUUACUUAAUAUUGUGCCAUGUUUUAUUUUUUUGCCCAUUAUUACAAUAAUUAGUAUCAGAGCGAAGGUUUUAUUCAUUGGAGAUUUUAUUUUGGGAUGGCAACCAUGAAGUUAGAUAUUUUUCUUUUGGAUUGCAGCAUAAGAUUUUCAUUGUUGCAAGUAAAAAUGUGAGCAAUACUCACUCAAAUGAAUUUGGACGAUACAUUGUUGGGAUUUGACAAGAUGCCCACAACUUGGAAUAAGGAGGAGAAACAACGUAGGAAUCUAAAUAUCCUAUAACAAAUUCAUCUUCAUCUUUUUGAAUAAUAUUCUCUAUGAGGUUUUGAAAGAGAAGUCCACUACUGCGUUAUGUUUGACAUUUAGUAAUUACGCAUGACAAAGAGUCUAACUAGCAAAUUGUACUUGAAGCAACACCUUUAUUCUCAUUGUAUGACAGAAAUUGCAUCUCUUAAAUAACACCCAGUUGUUUUUAAAGAUAUCGUAGCUGAUUAGGAACCCUUGGAAGUUAUAUAUGAUGAAGAAUAUUUUGGUUUAAUAUUGUUGUGUUCAUAUAUAUAUGAUGCCCUAUAUUUAAAGGAGAAGAUGAAGCAUCUCGUUAGAACUGAGGCUCAUGGAGAUGCCCUUAUUGUUGAUGGUAGUUGUUCAAGGAGCUAAAAAGGUCUAACUUUACAAAUAAAAUUUGUAAUUAUUACAAGAAAAAGGGACACUUGGUUACCUAUUGCUAUAAUUACAAAAUAAAGAAAAAUUGGCCGCAAAUAAUAAGAAGAGAAAGCAAUUAGGUACUCUAGGUGAAGCUAGUGUUGCAAGAACGUUUCACAAUGAUGGAGAUAUUUUGAUUGUUUCUGAUGGCGUCAUGGCGACUUCAAACAUAAAGAGGAUUUGAUUUUUGAUAUGGCUUGCACUUUUCAUAUGUGUUCUAGGAUUCAUUUACAACAUAUGAAGAAGUUUCCAAAAGUGUUGUGAUGAUCGAUAAUAAUACACCUUGUCGGAUAGCUGUUAUAAGAAAGAUCAAACUUAAGUUGUUUGACAGAAAUAUCAGAACACUUGAUGCAGUCAACAUGUUCCUAAUUUAAAAAAAAAAAUCUUACCUCCUUGAGUACCCUUGACUUGAAAGGGAACAAAUUCAUUGGUGAAGGCAGAGUCUUAAAGGUUUGUAAAAGUGCUCAUAUUGUGUUGCAGGGAUAGGAAAAGACCUAAUUAUAUGUCUUGUCAAUUCCUAUAGAAUCUCUGAUCAGUCAUCACAAAUUUGUAGCUCAAAUGGAUUGUGAGUUUGGUUUAGUAUCAUCAGAGUUUUGCUUGGGGUCUACUUUGAUGAAUAUAGGAAUGUAAACAAGUCAAGUCGAACCGAGCCGAGUAAUUUAUUUGUAUAUUUCACUACAACAAAAACAGCAUUUUGUAACGUUCAAAAAAUGUUGCUUAAAACCUUUUGCAACGUUCGGCCACAUGUUGCUAAUCCCGAUGUUGCCGUAGAGUAAAAGGAUAAGGCAACAUUUUUCGAACAUUUUGCAAAAAUCUCUUUCACAAUGUUUCUCAAACGUUGCAAAAAGAACUUUCACAAUGUUUUUCGAAAGUUGCAAAAAGAACUUUCGCGACAUUUUUCGAACAUUGCCAAAAACCUUUUCGCAAUGUUUUUUUGACCUUUUUACAAUGUUUUUCGAACGUUUUUAAAAAUCUUUUUGCUGCAUUUUUCGAACGUUGCUAAAAGGCGAAGGGACGAGUUGCUGGUCGCGAAGAGUGAGGAGUAAAAUUUGUCGUUUGAGGAGUAUGAUCUUUUUGUGUUUUUUUUCUAGUCAUCCAUUAAUAGUCCAAAACUUUAAAAAAAAUGAUAAUAAAAGUUAUUUUGAUUAGGCCCAAAUAUCAUUUCAAAUUUUUGCAACGUUUUAUAAACAUUGCGAAAGAAAAAACUUUUGGCAACAUUUCAUAAACGUUGCGAAGAAAACUUUUUAUAACAUUUCAUAAGUGUUGCGAAAGAUAAAGUUUUUUGCAACGUGUCAUAAACGUUGCGAAAGACAAAUCUUUUUGCAACGUUAAAUAAACGUUGCAAAAAGGCAAUAUUGGCAACAAUUCACUUAAAAAAUGUUGCUAAAGCUCAAUUAUGCUGAGCAAUGGCAACAUUCAUGUAUUGGAAUGUUGCGAUAGUCCUCUUUAGCGACAUUUACUUGACAAAUGUUGCCUUUUGCAUGUUGCAAAAAGCCAUUUUCGUUGUAGUGUUUAAUUUUGAACGUGUCUCUUAACAUGUAGAUCGUAUACAUUUUUCUAUUAAAAACUUCAGACUAAUUUUUUUGGUCAAUGAUUAUCAUCCUGAAUCUUUGUUAGAGUCUAAUUUGACUAUGUGAGAUUAAUCAUUUUCGAUAAAAAGCCAAGAAUUUGUUGGUUUUCUUCUCUCAUAUAUGGUCCAAUAUUCUUCGGAAUUCAAACCUUGUUGAGAGUUCCAUUAAAGAUCAAAAAUUGCCGAAACAAUAACUUGAAGAUCCUUAGCUUGAUAUGAUGGUAUAAUCAAUUUUACAGGCUGACACCAUCUUCAAGGAUUAGAAGGAAGCAUUAUCUUGCAGUCAUCUUUGACACAGGAAAUUAAAGGCAAUUGUAAAUGCCUUUUUCAUUUAAAAAACAUGGGCCAAAAAUGGCCGGUAUUGGUAUGCCUAAUAGAGGCUGGCUCGGGCUCGGGGGCCAAUACUCAAAAAUGAGGCUCGACCCAAAGCCGAACCUGAGGAGAGUCUCAACAGGCCGUCGCCUCAGGGCCCAACAAUUAAAGGGGCCCAAAAAGAACUUUUGUUUACAUUUUUUUGUUGAAAACCCAGCACACGAGCCAGAUUCUCUGCUGGAGGGAAAAAAAUUGUAAUUGAAGAAAUGCACAAAUUUUGGGUUUUAGAACUCAGAUCUGUGUGAAGAUACACCGCCGAGUUACCGACGUACUAGAAGUUUAUAUUCUUCUGCCCUUCACCGCCAUACUUUACUCAAGGAGGCAGGAGUCGCAAUUGACUUCAAUCACCGCCACAAUGGAAAAUCUAGAGAGCUUUAGUCGACGAGUUUAACAUCUGUAUAUAUGCUGAUUGCUGUGUGUAUAAACAGGACAAUGAGAGAUAGAAAGUGGUGUGUGAGAGAAGAGUGAGUGAGAGAGAGAGAGUGUGUGUGUGUGUGUGUGUGUGUGUGAUAAUUACAAUCUAUAUCAUUAUGUGUGUGUGAGAGUAGAGUGUCAGAGAAAAAGAAUGAGGGUAGAGAGAGUGCAUAUUCACAUUGCGAAGGAAGUAGAGGUUUUACUUUUUUGACGUUUAUACUUUUUUUAGUGUUAGAAAUGGGAAAUUUGUACAAGUAAAGAAAAAAUAACAAAUGUAUUUUCUCAUUUGAAAAUUUGUUUUGAAAAUGCUUUUCAUACUUUUAAAAUUCUAAAAUUUUGAACUAUACAAUGGACUGUUAUAAACUUUUUUCAUAGUAGUCAAACCUUGAAAAUUUUCUUAUUUUUGUGAGAACGGAAAAAAAACUUUCUUUAAUUUCAAUAGCAUGUUUUACAUAACUCAGAAGUUAAUUGAAACAAGAAAUUAUUCUUAUCUUCUGUUGGUUUAUAAGCUCAAAGUAUUGAUUUUGAUCUUACCAAACAGGUAGGUUGAAACAAGGAAAUUGUGAACAACGUUAUGUUGAGAAUAAUGAUUUUUUUUUGUGUAAAUGAUAGAAAGGAUUGUUGAAUUUGGUUCAAUGAUGAAAGAACACAUUCAACGUGCUCAAACACUUGAGAUUCAUCAUAUAUAUCUUGGUCCUAUAAUUCAAAAUGCAAUGAUGCAAAAGUUGGCAAGCGAGGUUAGUAGUGCAAUUAUCCCAAAUCUGAACUAUGCAAAAUAUUUUUAUGUCAUACUUGAUUGCACUCCAAAUUUCAUUUUAUUUGUUAUUUUAUUAUUGAUUUUAAAUUAACAAAGUUAGUUCGCAAAACUCUUAUAAACGAAAAAAAAAAAUUUACUCGCUAGAUACAAUUUAGGAGCCCAAAUUCAGAAGUUCGCCUCAAGCCCCGUGAAACACAGGUACGACCCUGGCUCGACCCAAGUCGAGGCUUGAUUCCAAUGAGCCGCGAGAUGAGCCAGCACGGAUUUUUCCCGGGCCGAGCCUUGAGCCGCUCGAGCCGAAUUGACAUCCCUAAAUGAAUACAUUUAAGUCAAGUUUGAAAGUUAUAGAUAAUUUCGCUACCACCAUUACCAGUGGUUUUUUUCAAUCACUUGCUAGAAACAAAAUCGUUUGUGAUAUUUUGCCUUUACGUAGGUAUAAGAUGUAGAUUUAGUUGCAUACAUUUUGAAUGUGGUUGAAGGUAUUGAUUCUAGCCAAGAUUUUUUGUUGAAGCAUUUUGUGGUGAUUCUAUUAUAGGUUAUUCGUGAUUUGAGCAACUUUGGUGUCUAAGGUAGUUCUUAGAAUUUUGUUACUCAGUUUUUGGAGUUUGAACCUAUUUUAGGUUUUGUGGUAGAGGUAAAGGUAGAUGAUAUUUUAAAGUUGGAAAUUUUGAUAGAAAAUUUCUUUUGUGUUUUUGACACAAAGUUGAAGUUUAAUCCUCAUAGUAGAAUUUGUCUUUAGGUGGAGAUUCUUUGAACUUUAUUCAUGGCAGUGAAUUUGUGUGAAGGCAGAGUUUGUAGAAUUAGGAUGUCAUCUAAUUUCUAUUUUAAACAUAAUUGAAAAUUCUAAUUAAAGUUGACUUAAGAAGAAUUCUAUUUAGAAUGCAUUUUGGAAUUUUAUCCGAAAUCAAUUUGAUAAAUUCUAGUUGAAGUUAUAUUCGAAAGCCCAAUUGAGAGUAAAAAUUUGUAUUGGACUUGAAGAGGAUAAGGUACGAACAAAGGAAUAAAGGAAAAUAUCAAUGGAGCAAUAUUUUGCAAGAUUGGGCGCCCCAGUGCCUUGUCUCUGCGCCUAGAGAGAAAAAGGAAAUAGCGGUUGAGCGCCUCAAUGCUAGGAGAGCUAAUUCUUGCAUUCUACUUCAAUUGGAACUCCAAAAUUGGACUUCUAUAUAUAUUUGGCUCUAUACCUUAUUUUAGAAUAAAUUAGACACAGCAUAAAAAAAUUACUGUAUUCUUUCUCCAUAUUGUAAUGAAAUUUUCUUUCCUCCGCAAAUUAUUUUGUUCUUGAGUUUGUGAUCAAUUAGUUCAUAUUGUGUCAUAUUUUCUUUCCUUGCCUAUUAUUACAACAGGUAACAAAACUUGCGAUAGCCACAUUUCAAUAAAUAUACAUAUUUCUUUGUACAAGAACAUGAAGAGAAGAUACACUUCAAUGCCCCAGCAUCAAACUUAAGGUGCACAACUUAUACAAUCAAAUACUCUCAAGUGAAAAAUAUUUGGACUAAAGCCCGACCUAAUUUAAGAAUAUGUUGUAUUUUUCUUCUUCGUCUCAACAUUUUAUUGUGGGGUCAAGUGCAACUAUAAGAUGUAUAAUUCCAUGUCUAUGGAGAUUGUAGCGGAAAUCCCUCGAUAAAUUUUGACUCCGGACUCAGAAAACAAUCAAACAAACACCGAUUUACCUUGGUUCGACCCAAGACUUUUGCAUUCACUUUGGAUUGCCCAACUCUCUCAAACCCUUCAAAAGGAGAAGGGAUGGUGGUGGUAAUAGGAAGGAGAGGAAGAGGCAACAAUGAUGUGAAUCACUCCAACAAACCCUCCAAGUCGACCGCCCCUCAACCUUCUUGGCCCCCUCCCUCUCACGGCCCUCUCUUUCACACACACCCAUUCACCAUCAUCGAGAAAACGGCUGAGAAUAAAUGGAUAUAUAUAUAUAUAUAUAGUCUAGGUUAGACACACAACUUGGGGCAAAAACUUGUGCAAAAGGGCUUCUUAAAACCUAAACUAAUGGGCUACCAAUUACUCCAACCUCCAAUCUACUAAUUCAACAAAUACCCCAAAGCCCAACACUAACCAAGACUUGCGUCAUCCAAAAGUGUAGUUCGUCUCUGAGUCGAGUCAAGUCCAUGGUAUCGAUAAAUAAUCGACAACUAUUUUAAAUCAUUGGGUAUCAAAAAACCCAACAGAGAUGUUCAUGAAAAUAGUUAACCUUUUAUCUAGUGUCAUUGUAAAAUCUAAAAAAAUUAACCCUGGCAUGGAAUUAAUUAAUUAAUUAACAAAAUUAUGUUAAGGACGUUAAUAAAUAAAAUUCUUGCAAUUUCUAACUAUUUGAAUGGGUAAAAGAUAUUAUCCAAUAUCGUGUUAAAGUUAAUAUGGUUCAAAUUCAAGUGAAAAUUGGGCACAAGAGAAUAAAUAAUCCGGCAUGUAUGCUUUACUACAAGAACCAUGAAAAUAACACGAUAGAGAAUUUUUGAAUUUCUUUAUUAUAAAGUGGAAAAACCUAUAGAUCGUUAUUUGGGGUGUAUAUUUUUGUACAGAAAUUACAAUUUGUAUGAAAAUAACAUGAAUGAAUAUUUUCAUUUGUAUAGAAAUUUUUCUCAUAGAAUUCUACCAGAAUACUCUCGUGUGUAGGCCCCAUAUUUUGAUAAAAAAAAAAUGCCAAAAAAUUCUCUCACCUCUCCUCUGUGAGUCAAUCCUAUCAUUUCUGUGUGCUUCCAUCCGUACAUGUUGAAGUGCUCCUAUAGAAUAUGAAUAAAUGAUUUCUUUUCUUUCUUGAUAGUUUAAGCGCCUGUCCAGCACCAAUUUCUCCCAGAUUUUCAUUAAUUUUUCUCACCGUUGGAGCAGGUUCCAAGUGUGAGAAGCAAGUCAACAAAGCUGUCUACUUUGCCUAGAAGUUGACCGAAGUGUACAGUGACCUACCAGUUGAAUUUUCUUAGUAUUCUGUAUAGGUUGAAUCAACAAAACCGGCAAAGCAUUUACGCUUAGACGGGAAAUUCGGGAAUCUGUCGACAUAACACACCUAUAGCAAAGUUGUAUACUCAAAGUGCAGCUUUGGCCCAUUUGAACGCCAUUAAUUUUCAUUCUAUUAAAUUUUAUUUUUCUCUUUCUUAUUUUCAAUCAUAUAAUUUUAUAUAAAAUAAUAUUACACAUAAAUCGAAAUUUUUUUUUUCUUUUUUAACUACUCAUUUUUCAAAAAGAUACUGCCCUUGUUUGAACCCCAUUCUUUUGAAGAAAUUCAUUUUUCAACAAUGUUUUGAUAUCAUUUCAACCACAAAAUUUUCAAUAAAAUAAUAUUACACGCAAAUCCAAAAAUUGUCCUUAUUUUUUAACCACACAUUUUCCAUUAAUACACUAUUCAAAAAUUUAUUCUUCCCAAAAAAAUGGGGCUCAAACAAGGGUACUAUUUUAUGCAUUUUCAUUUCUACAAAAUGGGGGCAUCACUUUAUUUCCAAAAGCCUAGGACCAUUUGAUAUGGCCCCACUUGGCCCCUAUCAAAUAUCAUUUUUUUCUCUUCUAUUUUCAACCAUACAAUUUUUCAUAAAAUAAUAUUAUACGUAAUUCGAAAAAAUUUUACCAUUCCACCCAUUUUCAUUUUAAAAAAUGGGGGCCAUGAUGUUAUAAUCAAAAUAUUUUGGCAAAAAAAGUGCACCCAAACAAGGCUAAGUUUGUACGUAGGGAUGGCAAUCGGGCUCGCCGGCUCGGGCCGCCUGUGGCUCGGCUCGGGAAAAGCCCGAGCCGGCUCGGCUCGGCUCGGGGCUCGGUAGACCCGAGCCUAAGCUCGGGCCGAGCUCCAUUUUGGGGACACGGGCUUUGCCCGAGCCGGCCCGUGAGCUCGCGAGCUUUUUAAUAAAAAAAAAAAAAAAAAAAAAAAAAAAAAAAAAAAUUUUAAAAAAAAAAAAAAAAAAAAAAAAAAAAAAAAAAAAAAAAAAAAAAAAAAAAAAAAAAAAAAAAAAAAAUUNNNNNNNNNNNNNNNNNNNNNNNNNNNNNNNNNNNNNNNNNNNNNNNNNNNNNNNNNNNNNNNNNNNNNNNNNNNNNNNNNNNNNNNNNNNNNNNNNNNNNNNNNNNNNNNNNNNNNNNNNNNNNNNNNNNNNNNNNNNNNNNNNNNNNNNNNNNNNNNNNNNNNNNNNNNNNNNNNNNNNNNNNNNNNNNNNNNNNNNNNNNNNNNNNNNNNNNNNNNNNNNNNNNNNNNNNNNNNNNNNNNNNNNNNNNNNNNNNNNNNNNNNNNNNNNNNNNNNNNNNNNNNNNNNNNNNNNNNNNNNNNNNNNNNNNNNNNNNNNNNNNNNNNNNNNNNNNNNNNNNNNNNNNNNNNNNNNNNNNNNNNNNNNNNNNNNNNNNNNNNNNNNNNNNNNNNNNNNNNNNNNNNNNNNNNNNNNNNNNNNNNNNNNNNNNNNNNNNNNNNNNNNNNNNNNNNNNNNNNNNNNNNNNNNNNNNNNNNNNNNNNNNNNNNNNNNNNNNNNNNNNNNNNNNNNNNNNNNNNNNNNNNNNNNNNNNNNNNNNNNNNNNNNNNNNNNNNNNNNNNNNNNNNNNNNNNNNNNNNNNNNNNNNNNNNNNNNNNNNNNNNNNNNNNNNNNNNNNNNNNNNNNNNNNNNNNNNNNNNNNNNNNNNNNNNNNNNNNNNNNNNNNNNNNNNNNNNNNNNNNNNNNNNNNNNNNNNNNNNNNNNNNNNNNNNNNNNNNNNNNNNNNNNNNNNNNNNNNNNNNNNNNNNNNNNNNNNNNNNNNNNNNNNNNNNNNNNNNNNNNNNNNNNNNNNNNNNNNNNNNNNNNNNNNNNNNNNNNNNNNNNNNNNNNNNNNNNNNNNNNNNNNNNNNNNNNNNNNNNNNNNNNNNNNNNNNNNNNNNNNNNNNNNNNNNNNNNNNNNNNNNNNNNNNNNNNNNNNNNNNNNNNNNNNNNNNNNNNNNNNNNNNNNNNNNNNNNNNNNNNNNNNNNNNNNNNNNNNNNNNNNNNNNNNNNNNNNNNNNNNNNNNNNNNNNNNNNNNNNNNNNNNNNNNNNNNNNGGGCCGGGCCCGGAGCCGAAAUUUUAGGCUCGCGAGCCGGCUCGGCCCGGCUCGUUUACAUCCCUAUUUGUACGUAGUCGUAUCAAAGCGUCUAAAUGACAUAGAUAGAAAAAAUGAAUCUAACGUGUAUAUGAAAAAAUGUAAAAGAAAUAAAUAAUUGUAUCGUAAUUUAAACUCUUAAAUUUGAUAUGAACAUGUAAGAAUAUCCUCAAGUACACAUAUUGAGUUUUUAUUAAAUGCAAGUGUAUUGAGCAUAAUACUAAUGCAAUGCAAAGUGCAUACUUGGCCCAUUGAAUUGAGCGGACUUUGAGAGAGAGAGAGAGAGAGCUCUAUGUGUGAAAAUUUUGUGACUUGUUUUCACUUUCUAGCACAUUUCCUGGACCUAGCCGAUUUAAUACAUCUAUUUACAACAUAUUUGAUAAGGUGAAAUUGAGAUAUUAAGCACUAUUAAUGAGAAAAAGAUCGUCCAAUCUUAUAAAAGAUUGUCGAAAAUUGAAAAUUGUUGCAUAUCAAACAAACCCAAAGAACUAACGAUUGAAAUUUUUGACAAGACAACUUUAUGAUAUUCUAAAUGUACUGUAGUCACUGAUCCAAUAUGUUGAGAAAAAUGUAGGGAAAUCUGAAACUUAAUGAACUCCAAGGCACAAAAAACGUUAUCUUUUAAGAGACGUUUCUCCCCUAUCCAACGAAGUCACAACUGGGAUAUGAUAGAAAAUCUCUCUCACGAUACAAUGGAGGUGUUUGAUUUAAAUUGUGACUAUUUAAUCAAAUCAAGAAGACACUCGAGAAGAACUGAUAAUGUCAAGAGAAAUAGAGAAGAAUAAUUUUUUAAUAUGUUUUGCAAACGAGAAUUCGCUCAGAAUUUAUAGAAAUUGAGGCAACCGUUUGAAUAGAUGUGUCCCUUGAAAUGAAAAACACAUCUGUUGGAAGUGACUGUUAAAAACGAACAGAUGCACCUAGUCGGGACGGCAAAUCAUUCGCAAAACAAAAAAUAAAUACAUGCAAAAUGAUAAAAAAUAUCUAACACAAUAUGAUGCAAUACUGAAUUAAGUGAAAAAUAGAAUCCAUUAGUCGACUCUAAAUUCAUUAUAAAUAAGAUUUCAUUCGUUGUUAUUUAUUAUUGGCCAUUGCAUAUUAAUUUAUAUAAGUAUAUUCUAAAUAACUUGGCUGCAUUUUAUUGUCAAUUUUUGCUUUCUUCCCCUUAUCCGGCAGCCUAAUUAUUUGCACCAUAAAAUAUUAAUAAUUAGUUGCGUUUGAAAAGGGGAAUGUUUUUGUCAUCUAGAAAACAAAGCUAUCAUGUUGAAAGCGUUACUCGAUGAUUUAUAAACUGAUCCAAAAUAUCAGGAAUCUACUUUACAAAGCCAAAUUAGUGGGUUGACUGACUUAUGAUUACGACGAUUCCUAUAAAUAUCAAAAGGAAAUGUUCAAAGAAUAUUAAAUUGUAGACAAAUACAAAUAAUAAUGACAAGAAUAUGAAGUUAAUUUUUUAUUUUUCUUUUUUUUUCAUAAAAACGUAUUAUUAUGCUAAUAAAAGUUCCAAGUUAAAGUCUCAUAAAUUGAAAAAUGUGCAAGUGACAUCCAAAGAAAAAUUGAAUACAAUCUACAUACAAUGGACUGUGUUGAAAAUUUAAAUAAUUUAGCACAUGUUUGACAAAGGUUUUUGAGAUUAUAAGUCGGUGGAUCCGAUGAAUAUCAAAUGUAUUGUUGAAAAUGCAAGUUAACCUCUUUUUUUAGAUAGAUGUUUCUAAUAUUAAACUAUUUAAUAUGCCUCCUGGCUCCUAUUCUCCACGUUUUACGAGUUAUGACUUGUCAAUAAUUUAUUGGAUAAAUAGUCAUUUAGACAGCAAAUCUCAACUUCUACACUAAUAAUUUCUCUCCCUCCCCCCCUCCCCCCCUCCUCUUCAACUAUUUAAUAUGCCUACGGCUUCCACGUUUUACACAUAAUUUCUCGUUCUCUCCUUCUCCUUUCUAGAUCUAUUUCAUACUUCCACGAUGAAGUUGGAAGAGAAAGGCACUGAUUACACACAGGACGGGACUGUUGAUCUAAAAGGUAGACCUAUCCUGAGAUCAAACACUGGCAAAUGGAAAACUUGUUAUUUCUUUGUUGGUAAGUGAAAAAAACUGGUAGGGUCUACCUAAUUUUCGAUUCUAAACAUGCCAUGAUAUCAUUUUAUCAAGGUUUGCUUUAGAAUUUUCUACAAACUGAGAACGAUUAGAUUUGAACGAAGAAGUUUUGCUUCAGAAUUUCGUGUGCUAAUAGAAACAUAACUCUUUUAGUUAAAUCUUUUGCUUUGAGUAUGAAAAUUUAGAAUAGAAUUUAUGGAUCCUCAUUGUGAUAUUACAGGGUAUGAAAUUUUUGAGAGGAUGGCAUAUCAUGGUAUUGCAUCAAACUUAGUAAUUUAUUUGACACGGAAGCUCCAUGAAGGCACUGUGACAUCUUCAAACAAUGUCACCAACUGGGUUGGUACUGUAUGGUUGACACCCCUUCUGGGUGCUUAUAUUGCUGACACUUUUCUUGGUCGAUACUGGACUUUCAUCGUUGCAUCAGCCAUUUACCUUGUGGUACUUCCUUUGAUUUCAUUUGAUCUCGAUUCUCAUGGUGUAACUUUAUCGUGCAAGCUAAACAGAACAAGACAGUAUAAAUAACAAUAUUUUCUUAAUCUAUCGGAUCAUGCUUUUAAGACAACAUAAAAAUACGCAACAUUAAACAUGAACGGACAGUAAAGUGGACAUGUUUUUACUUUCUUUUUCUUGUUUCGCAUUCUCUAGUAUUAUAUAUUACGGCUUGCACCAUUAUUAUAAUCAUUUAAACACGAUCACGAAAUCCUUAUAAGAUCAGGGAAAACAAUUCUUGGUCAUAUAUUCGUUCCUUGUAACAGGGAAUGUGCUUAUUGACGCUAGCAGUUUCAUUGCCCGGACUGAGGCCUCCGUCUUGUGGGCACCAAGUAAAGGAGGUAGAUUGCGAUAGACAUGCCUCAACAUUUCAAGUCGGCAUCUUCUACUGUGCAUUAUACAUAAUUGCAGUUGGAACAGGCGGAACAAAGCCUAAUAUCUCUACAAUGGGAGCAGAUCAAUUUGAUGAUUUUGAGCAUAAAGAAAGGUUACAAAAGCUCUCAUUCUUCAACUGGUGGAUGUUUAGUGUCUUCAUUGGCAUCCUUUUCUCCAACACUUUCCUUAUUUACAUUCAAGACAAUGUGGGGUGGGAACUUGGCUAUGGCCUCCCUACACUUGGGCUCACAGUAUCGAUACUUUUCUUCAUUGUGGGUACACGUUAUUAUAGACACAAACCCCCAUCAGAUAGCCCGUUGAAUCGAAUGGCUAGGGUGCUUGUAGCCACCGUAAGAAAGUGGAAGGUAGUCAUCCCUGACGAACCAAAGGAACUUUAUGAGCUGAGCUUGGAAGAGUACUCCAAACCUGGCAUGUUUAGAAUUGACCACACCAAUUCUCUCAGGUGCAUAUUUUUCUCCCGAAUAAAGAUACUUGGACAAGGCCAUGUAGGCCCUGCCUGUGGGAGUGCCUUGGAUGUCCGUCCAGCAUAACCCUUUGCUCCCAUUCUAAGUCUUUUUAGCAUGUGUAACAACUAAUAGAAAUCCCACGUCACUCGUGGAAGGUCUGUCUUAUGGGUUUAUAAGCACAUUAGUACCCUCCUCUUUCAAAGUCGAUUUUAAACGUAACCCACUCUCAUUUCACUUCUGCAGCCUCCUGGACAAAGCAGCAGUCGAAAUCGGACAAAAUUCGCCAUGGAUGUUAUGUCCGGUGACACAAGUUGAACAAACCAAACAAAUGAUAAAAAUGAUUCCAAUCUUGCUUGCAACUUUCGUUCCCGCUACUAUGUUCGCACAGACAAACACUCUCUUUAUCAAGCAAGGCACAACUUUGGAAAAAAGCAUUGGUCCCCAUUUCAAAAUUCCUCCAGGAUGUCUCUCGGCAUUUGUGACUAUUUUCAUGUUGACUAGCCUCGUACUAUAUGACCGGUUCUUCGUUCCCUUUGUACGAAGAUACACGAAGAAUCCUAGAGGGAUCACCUUGUUGCAGAGGUUUGGGAUCGGCCUCGUGUUGCAUAUCAUAGUCAUGGGAACUGCUUGUUUAGCAGAAAGAAGGCGUCUAAGGGUUGCUAAAGAGAACGAAAUCUUUGAGAAAAAUCAAAUCGUUCCUCUUUCGAUCUUCAUUCUUCUACCACAGUUUGCUCUAAUGGGGGUAGCUGAUACCUUCGUAGAAGUUGCGAAAAUCGAGUUCUUCUAUGAUCAAGCACCUGAAGGCAUGAAAAGCCUCGGAACUGCCUAUUUUACGACUAGUUUUGGAGUUGGAUACUUCAUAAGUAGUUUUCUGUUGAAAACUGUGGCUGACAUUACCGAGAAACGUGGCAAAGGAUGGAUUUUGGACAACCUAAACGUCUCUCGUUUGGACCAUUAUUAUGCAUUUUUGGCUGUGCUGUGCUUUCUCAACUUACUUUACUUUCUGCUAGUUGCAAAGCUCUUUGUUUACAACACAGAACUGAAGGAUACCGAAACGGAGUUGCAUGAAGCAAUCG